GAGGUUAUAGUUCAUUCAGUUUCAAGAAAGAAAAAUAGCCUUGAUCGAGUGGAAAGAUUACAAAUUCACCGGUUUGGCUUGGUCCUCAUCUUGAAAAUUCCAUGGAUAAAUUAGUGACAUCUUACCAGAAGAAAUUGGAAGCACAUGCAAAUGGAUAUGUGGCUGAUCGACUAACGAGUAUAGACAUUAGCUAAAAUCCUGAAUUUCUACAGCUAUCAGGGAAUGAACAGGAAGACAGGAAAUUUCUUUUUCUUGCAGGAAUAAAAGUAGCAAACACUCUGCAAUAUGAUCAACAAUGUGGUAUCAGACGUGGAGAUAAAUAGAACUUUCUGUGCCACCAAUUGAAUGGGCGGUAUGUUUCUAGACGUGUCUCAAAACUUUAGGCUUCUAAGCAGAACUAUCGUUCUGCUGAUAAAAGAAGUGGGCAGCUCUCGUUCAGGCAAGAACUUUCAAGCUUCUUCAAUCAUGAACACCCAAUUGAUGACUAGAAAACUGUUGCAGAGAGAAAGAAACAUGAACAUUUCCGUUACUCUUCUUUCAAUUCCUCCAGGUUCGUGAACAUCAAAAUCUACGAGGUUCUGAUAAGUUAUCUUGGAACCCAGGAGACCAGAGAGUUUCAUUUGCAGCAGUAAGCUGAGUCUAGAAUCUAACCUAAGGUGAAGAAAUUGAAGAAGUUCAAGGACGUUAUACACAGCACGUAGAAACGAAAGAUCAAGCAAAACAGUGGACCCGAAAACUCAGCCAAGAAAAUAAAAACCGAAUUACCCAUGCAUUUACCAUCAUUGCAGGUUUGAGAAUGAGGGUGAUCUUGGCAAAAGCAUAUGAAAGUAUUGUUCUCGAACCCACACCGUCCCUCACUUUCCUCGCAGUUGCUGCAAUUAAUUGCAGUCCAGUUCAAAAGGAACCCAAUCUCCAUAAUCUCACUGUAAUUCAUAGUCGCCAAGCUAGCGUUAUUUGCAUUGACAUCAACGUGUACACUAACUGCAGAGUCGCAGGUGCUGAUGACAGAAUUCAAAUAUGUUUCCUGCGAUACUUCCUCGUGAAAAGACGCAAAGGAGUGGUGGGUGGAGUUCCUAGCACAGUCCACCGGAUAUGUAGAAUCUGGCGGUUGCAAGGUGCAAUUAUAGUAGAAGAAGAAAUCAGCAUUUGUGGAACUCAGAUUGAAAGGCGUUCCUUUGAAGCUGAUAUUAUGCCGCGGAGCAUCACAGGUGUCAUGGUACACGAAGGCAUCAACCAGGAGGAUAGAAUGGUUGGCGUAGAAGAUAUCCUUGAUGAAGAACUCACUGUCCGAGAAAUUCAGGAAAGGAAGAAUCCCUACACAGGUGAUCUCGAAAUUCGGAUGGCCACAAUAGGACUCAGGUUCGCCCGAAAUCCAAAAAGGGUAGCUGAUGUUUGGGCCAUAUCCGCAGCUCCGAGGCGCGCAGGCCUCGUACUGCGCAUCCUCCGACACAGCCCUAUAGACUAAGCUGGCGAAGAUGACGACAAGGGCCAACCGGCGACAACCAGCUCCGCAGAUGAAGCUCUGGAGAUUCAUCUGGGACUGGAAGGAGGAGGCAGAGGACAGCAGAAGAUAGGAGAAAGAGGCAGGAGAGGGUGUGGAAAGAGCAAUUUGCAGAAUAUUCAAAAUGGGGUUGGUUUGAACCGGUCCUGAAACUCCAGUCGCUGUCGUUGUGCUGGUUCAUCGACUUUGAAUCGAAGAAUGCCGAGCGGAGACGGAAAGUGGCUCCGGGGCGCGCAUUAGUCAAACGCCUCAUGGCUUACGCGGGGGAAUUUUUCGCCCCUGGAAAAAAAAACCUUUAAGAGGAACAAACCAGGAAACUUCCUAGUCAAAGGGGACUUAGGUUGGAGUACCCACCAACGUUUUUUCCGAAAUGUUGACUUUAAUGAUCUUACCUAAUCAUUAAGAACAUAUCCUAACUAAGCAAUGCAACUUAAUUAUUGGUUCUUGAUCUUUUUUAUUUUUAAUUUUUUUAAUUUUCCGAUACCAAACUUUAGUGCUAAUGAAAAAUUAAUCACAUUUCCCUGGAUUCUUAACUCACUUCGAAGUUCCUACAACCCUAAGCGUAGCUUACGACCCAACGGAGUCUUGGAAUUAGUCAACGUACGUUGACUUCGAUGAUCCUAUACUCUAAAUUAUGGGCCCAAAUCCACAUCGAUGGGCCCAUUUUUGGGCUCCCUUUCAUGGGCCUGAAUUAAGAGUCAAAUGGGGGCUAAAAGGAAGUCCAAUCUAAAUUGCUUUCCUCAGGAGCUCCUCCUCCGUUGACCGUUGACAAUUCAACAUUGUGACGUGUUUGGCAAACAACGGACCUUCGUGACUAGUCAGCGAAAACGACUCUCUCUCAUCCUCUCUCUCUCUCUCUCUCUCGGGAAGAAUUGCUGGCCAAGCUGUAGCUAGGUUGAAAUUUCCUCUUGCCUUGUGCCACCAAAGAGAAAAACGAGAGAAAAGUCUUAAUUCUUGUCCCGAGAUAUUCUUAGAUGGAGGAAAACAAAAUAAAGAGCAGCGCCAUCGAAUUUUCAACAAAAGAAACAAGCGGAUCACAUUCGGUCAAAUUGGAUUUUUCUCUGGACAAAUUCUUGGGGUUCAUUGGCCAUAUGAUCUCUGUGGAAGUAAUCGAAACUAACUCCGCAGAAGCUCAAGGUUUGGUGAUUUCGUGCAUAUUCCACAUGGUCGAUAAUAGAAUCCCAUGCGCCGGUAUGAACAAGAACCCACCAAAUGAAGUAGAGAAUUAUCACUUGGGAAUGCUACCUAAAGAACGUACCAGGGUCAUUGCAGGUACGAGCGUUGGGUUUGUUUCGGCAAUAACAUGUGAAACUAGAUGAUGAAGAAGAGGUGUUGCUACCGCAAAACCCGAGAGAAGUACAAGUUGGUCACUCAGGGUGGUCACUAUACUGAACAUCGAACCCUUGAUUCAAAGCUUCCUGCAAGCUGAUAUCGCGUCUUCCGACAUCAUUGAGUGCACUCCAAAGAACAGGACCUUGAUGCUCGUGACACAGUUGGUGAUGAAACUACAGAGCCCUCUGUCCAAGAAGAUGUCAUCUAUGAAGAAAGCCGACUUCCUGACGACAUCGUAGAAGCACUUGAACUCGUUGCUUAUGUUCUUCAUUGUGUCCAAACAUCCAUAGAAGAUGUUGAGGCUCUUAACGACUAGGGUCAUAUGGAAGAGAGUGGAAUCCAUUAUGCUAGUAGUCCUAAACUCGUGCAAACACGUACCCUCCGUCAGAUCUAUCCUAGUGAUUGUCAUCGUACGAAGAUGUUGAUCAAUCUUGAGGACUCGAUACUUCUGCUCUUGGUACUCAAAUAUAGGGAAUUCGUUCUCAUAGCAGUCGACCCUGAAUGCUAGAAGUCCACAGAAUUGGGGUCGGCUGCUUCCCCAGAAAGGAUAAGUAUUAUUUGAGACGGUUCCGCAAUUAAAAGAGCGGCGGCAUUCAGUAUAGUGGACAUUGUCGUCUCCCUCGCAUAAAAGAACUUGUGGGAUUAUGAGGCCGAUGAGGAUGAAGACGAGGAUGGAGCAUGAAGGGGAGGAGAGAAGGAGAGUGGCUGUGUUGCCCAUUUGAGUAAGUUCAUGCUCCCAUGGGUAGAGAAUAAUUGUGGAACGAGUGUUUAGAGUUCAGAGGGGCAAGCUGAGAAUGGAGAAAUUCUUUUUGUAUUCACUUUCUGCGGACUCAAGUGUGAAAGAGAUGGAUGUCGUUAAUUCUUCCUCACUAUAAUACAGAAAACUAUUCUGACUGUUGACUUUGAUUGAGAUCAGUUUUAGUCUCCUAAAUUUCGUGGAGGUAAAAUCAAAGGGAUGGCUAUCGAGCGUUGAGACUGGGUCAGGGGAAGUGAUGAGGAAGACAGAGGAAACAUGCCAAGCAAUUUCCUCCGGAGUUCUUCCUAUGUAGUUGAAAAUGUAAAGUGAAACCUUUUUUAAGGUUCUCACUGUGGAAAAAGUCUAGCCCUUUCGAGGGGUCAAGAGUUGAUGAUGUGGAAAGUAAUGAGCAAGUCAAACCUAAAUUUUAGGUUAAUUGACUUGUCCGUGAUGUGAAAUAUUACACUAAACUCGGAACAUCUUCGCUCGUCGUAUUUAAACCGUUGGAUCUUGCGGGUUUGCAGAUACAGACCUAAUGAUCCAACAGUUAAGGCAGGGAAGGCUGUUGAGAAUGGGGUGAUAAAGUUUUAGGACUUGGAGUCUAAAUUUUGGCAUGAUUAUGUCGCAGUGAGAAUGAGAUUACUGCACUUUAUCCUAUCAGAGAGAAGGGCAUGCCCAGCCAAAUGAGACUAUCAGGCUUUUAGGGGGCAUGAGCGGAUCGUUUUUCCAAAUAACAAUCAAACCCAGCAAUCCCUCCCAUGGAAUAAUAGUAACUAAUUGAAAUCCACAAGUUAGGGGAGAGUAAGCAUACAUACCCGGUCGGCCGCAAGUCGUUGAAUAGACUCUGUCAGGGCAAAAACAAUUGAAUUCUCGCCCUGGCCAGCCAUACCCGCAUCUUCCCCCGGAUUUAUUGCAACUUUCGCACUGCAAAGUGUUGAGAAUCCAGGUGAUCUCAAAGCUUCUGUUGAGGAUCUCGCUAAUAGUAGAUUUGUUGUUGCCGUCCAUUGAAGGUGGUGGAAAACCUAGAAGUUCACUUUUGGAAAUCGGGACAUGAACAAUGGAACUGCAUGGGUCGCGCGGUGGCUUUGGAAGGUCAACCCCGGGAACAAAGUAGCCAUCUUGAGAAUUGGGACAAGAGAACCGAUAAGGUGGAGAGGUCGGCGGUAUGUGGUUUGGCCAUGAGUCGCAAUCGAAGAAUAAGGUGGAAUUGAGGUCAUUGGAAGUGUAGUCGAAGAGAUCCAAGUCUAAAGUGGUUUCAUUAUAUGUUUCAAGACAUAUAUCUUCUGGUAAAUCCAACCUCGCCACCACAAGGAUCUUUGUGCUGGUAUUCAUGUGGAUCACUCGAUAUUCCAGGGACUCCAUGGACAGGGUCAGUUCAUCUCCAUCGCAGUUGAGCUCGUAGUCUGGAUGCCCACAGUGACUCGGUCGCAUAUUAUCCCUAAAAGGAUAGCUGAUUUCUUGACCUCCGCAAUUAGAAGGAGCGCACUUUUGGAACAAUGGGAACGCGCUGGCAGCUGGCGCCAGGAAGUGAAUUUGGAGGGAGAUGAGGAAGAAGAGCAAGGAGAGAGAGGAACAUGACAUGGUAAGAUCCAUUUGAAGGGAGCUGGAGUUGAAGCAAAACAAGGAGGAGGGUAUAUAUAAAGGAAGAGGAUGCAGAGAGACAAAUAAUAAUGCUGGUUUUGGAAUGGAGGACUUGACCCGAUGCACUAAUGAGAACCUCUCGCCUUGGCCUCACGAAAGACCAAGACUUUGGCGCGGUGAGACAAAAGCUAAGAGGAAAAGAAGGAGAACAAGGCACGUGGAAACAAAGCCAAGUAGCUUGAGCUGCCAGCUAAUUGUAAAGUUGACUUGGGACGACUUGGACUAAUAUUCCCCAAUUUACAAUUCCUACAGGCAGCCCCUGACUAAUCAAUGAGCUUUGCCAAUUUCCUUCACGGUUCACUUUGAGGAAACUUCAAUAAGGACCUCACGAACGUCGUUUGCAGCGUCUAGACAGAAGCAUGGCCAUCACCUAGACUAUAGAACAGAAGGGAUUGGAGCCUCAGAACUGAGGCGGCUAAACUUCCUCUGGAGGAGUUUCUAUUUAUUUUGCCUAGUCAUCUUUUUUGAACUGAUUUGACAGGUGAUAUUGACAUAUCAUCAGCCCAAACUGCAACUUAGGUAAAAUCACCGGGUCGAAAAGGGCCGCAACUCCUCGGCCAAGCUGAAUUGAGCCCAUCUCUCGUGAUUUACGAUGAUGAUGAUCCACAUUGGAUCUUUAGUUAGGAAGCAAUAGCUUGCCAUCUUUUUCAUGACGGAAAUUGCUCAGGACUCAAGUACUGAAAAUAAGACUUGAGCAACGGCAGUUAGUAUAAUGGACAUCGUUUUCUCCCUCGCAUAAAAGAACUUGUGAAACGAUGAGGACAACGAGGACGAAGACGAGGAUGGAGUGUGAAGGGAAGCAGAGAAGGAGAGUGGCUGUGUCACCCAUUUGAAUAAGUUCAUGCUCUCAUGGAUAAAGAAUAUCAUGUGGAGUGAGGGUUUGGAGUUCAGAGGGGCAAGCUGAGGAUGGAGAAAUUCUUUUUUUAUUUACUUACUUUCUCCGGCCUGAAGUGUGAAAGAGAUCGAUGUGGUGAAUUCCUCGGUAAAUAGAGGAAGCUAUUAUGAGCAUGGACUUUGACCGACAUUAGUUUCAGUCUUAUGAUAUAUCGUGAAGGAGGGAAAUAAAAAGAAAGAAUGGCUAUCGAAUGUCGAAACUGGGUGUGGGGGUGGAAGUGACGAGGAAGACAGUGGCCAGGAAAUAUGCGAAGCAAUUUCACCCGAAGUUCUUCCUAUGGAAUCGAAAUUGACAAGUGAAACCUUUCUUCAAGGUUCUCACCGUGGAAAAAGACAAGUCCAUUUGAGGGGUCAAGAGUUCAUGUUGUGGAAAGUAAAGAACAAGUCAAACCUAAAUUUUAGGUUGAUUGACUUGUCAACUAACUCAUUCUGAUUUAAAUUACUUGUCUAUGAUGUGAGAUUUUACAGUAAACUUGAAGCAUCUUCGCUUGUCGCAUUUAAAUUGUUGGAUCUCGGGGGUUUGCAGAUCCCGAGUUAAUGAUCCAACAGUUAAGGCGAGGAAGGUUUUUGAGUAUAGGGUGUUAAAGUUUUAGGACUUAAAAAGUCUAAAGUGUAACACAAUCAUGCAAGUCACAGCAAGGAUGACUGCACUUCGUUUGAGGGAAGAAUAUGCCCAGCAAUUCUUCUCAUUGAACAACUUUUAGCUAAUUGAAAAACCACAUGUUAGAUGAGAGUAAGCAUACAUACUUGAAGGGACGAUUGCCGGUACUGGUGGUAUUGAAGGGACGCUCGCCGGUAUUGGCGUUUUGUGGCAGAUUGCCGGAUAGGCUGCAUCACGGCAAAAACAAUUGAAUUCUUGCCUUGUCCAGUCAUACCCNNNNNNNNNNNNNNNNNNNNNNNNNNNNNNNNNNNNNNNNNNNNNNNNNNNNNNNNNNNNNNNNNNNNNNNNNNNNNNNNNNNNNNNNNNNNNNNNNNNNCUUCACAUAGCGAUGUGUUGGCAAUCCCAGGUGAUCUCAAAGCCUCUAUUGAGAAUGUCGCUAAUAUUAUCACCAAAGUCGAUGCCUGCCGAAGGUGGUGGUAAACCUAUAGGUUCACUUUUUGAAAUCGGGACAUGAACAAUGGGACUGCAUCGCUUGGGCAGUAGGUUUGAUAGGUUUACACUGAGAACAAAGUAGCCAAAUUGAGACUCGGGACAAGAGAACCCAUAAUAAGAUGGAAGGGUUGGCCACAAGUGGCAAUUGUAAAUUAAGGUGGAAUUGAGGUUAUUGGAAGUGUAGUUGAAGAGAUUCAAGUCUAAAGUGGUUUCGUUAUAUGUUUCAAGACAUAUACUGUCUGAUAAAUCUGACCUCGCCACCACAAGGAUCUGCGCGCUCCCAUUCAUGUGGAUCACUUGAUAUUUUUGAGACGCCAUGGACAGAAUCGGGCUAAAUCCGUCACAGUCAAGCUCAUAGCCUGGAUACCCACAGUAUUCUGGUUGCCUUAUAAGCCUGAAAGGAUAGCUGAUUCGUAUAUAUCCACAAAGAAAAGGAGCGCAUUCUUGGAAUGGCCGGAAGUAGCCGGAAGCUCGCACGAGGAAGUGAAUUUGGAGGGUGAUGAAGAAGAGCAAGGAGAGAGAGGAACGUGGCGUGGUAAGAUCCAUCUGAAGGGAGAUGGUGUUGGAGCAAAAUAAAGAGGGGUACAUAUGAAGGGACGUGGAGGGUGGAAAUGAAAAAAGAUGGCUAUCGAACGUUAAAAUUGGGUCUAGCAGAGGAGGUGAUGGGGAAGAUGCGGUCCGGAAACAUGCAAAGCAAUUUUCUCCGAAUUUCUCCCCAUGUUAUAAUCGAAAAGUGAAAACUUUCUUCUAGGUUUUCACUGAAAAAGUCUAGCCCUUUUAAGGGGUCGAGUUCGUGUCAUGUGAAGUAAAGAACAAGUCAAACUUAAAUUUCUCAUUACUUGACUCAUUGGCUACGUCUGAUUUAAAAUACUUGUCCACAAUGUGAAAUUUACGUUAAGCUCGGAGCAUCUUCACCCACUGUAUUUAAACUGUUGGAUCUACCGGGUUCGCAUAUACCAACCUAAAGAUCCAACAGUUGAGGCAAGGAAGGUUGCUAAGAAUGAGCUGAUAAAGUUUUAGGACUUGGGAGUCUAAAUUGUAACAUGAUCAUGCCAUAGCCAGGAUGAGAUGACUGCACUUCAUUAAAUAUUCGAGGGAAGGGCGUGCACAGCAAAAUGAGAUUGUCAGGCUUUUAGGGGCAUGAGCGGGUCGUUUUCCAAAUAACAAGCAAGCCCAGCAAUCCUUCUCAUGGAAGAACAUUAGCUAAUUGAGAACCACGCAUUAGGUGAGAGUAGGCAUACAUACCUUGUUUGCCACAAGUCGUUGAAUGGACUCCGUCAGGGCAGAAACAAUUAAAUCGUAGCCUUUUCCGGUCAUAACCACAUCUUCCCCCUGAUUUGUUGCAUUUUUCGCAUUGCGAUGUGUCAAUGAUCCAGGUGAUCUCAAAGCCUUUUCUCAGGAACUCACUAAUAGCAGCAUUAGAAGCACUAUGAUGGCUGCCCUCCGGUGGUGCUGCUAGACCCGGAGCUUCACUAUGUGAAUUUGGGACAAGGACACUGAAGUUGCAUCGCUUAUGUAGUGGUUUUGCACGAUUAGCAUAUAGGGCAAAGUAGCCAAGUCCAUACAGGGGACAAUGGAACCAAUGAUAAUGUCGAGGGGGCCACAAUAAAUUGCAAUUAUAGAAUAAGGAGGAAUUGAAGUAACGUGAAGUGUAGUUGAAGAGACUGAAGUUUAAAGAGGUGUUGACAAGUAUUCUAGGACAUACAUCGUCCCAUAAAUCUGUCCUCGCCACCUCAAGGACAUGCUCGCUCCAAUCUAUGUGGAUCACGCGAUAUUUCAGGGACUCCAUGGACAGGGUUGUGUAAUUUCCGUCACAGUCAAGCUCGUAGCCUGGAUACCCACAGUAACUUGGUCGCCUGAUAUGCCUGAAAGGAUAGCUGAUUUGUUGCUUUCCGCAAUCAAAAGGAGUGCAAUCUUGGAAUGGCUGGAAUCCGCCAGAAGCUGGCAUAGGGAACUGAAUAUGGAGGGAGAUGAAGAAGAAGAGCAAGGAGAGAGAGGAACACGACAUGGUAAGAUCCAUCCGGAGGGAGAUGGUGUUGGAGCAAACAAGGAGGGUACAUAUAUAAAGGAAGAGGAUGCAGAGGGAUAAAGAAUGAUGUUGCUUUUGGAACGACUUGACCCCAAUGCACCAACGAGAAUCACUUGAUAUGGCCUCCCGAAGACCAAGACUUUGGGGGCGGGGAGACAAAAGCUGAGAAGAAAAGCAGAACAAAGCACGUGGAAACAAAGCCAAGUAGCUUGCGCUGCUGGCUAAUUGUGAACUUGACUUGAGGAGGACUUGGAAUAGUAUUCCCCAUUUCCCAAUUCCUACGCGCAGGCGUAGCCCCAAUUAAUCAACAAGCUUUGCCAAUCUCGUAGACAAUUCAAUCGAGGACAAUUCAAUAAGGAUCUCAAGAACAUAGUUAGCAACGUUCUAGACGGAUGCAGGGCCAUCGCCUGGACUAGAAAAUAGAAGGGGAUUAGAACCUCGGAACUAAGGCGGUUAAAUUGUCAUCUGGACUAGUUUCUCUUAAGCUUUGCCAUCUUUUUUGAAUUGAUUUGACUGAUGAUAUCGACGCAUCAUCAGCCCAAAGAAGCAGACCAGGUUAAUAUCAGUGGAUCCCAAAGGCCCAAGAUUCCUUGGCCGAGCUGAAUUGGGCCCAUCUUUCGUGAGUUACAAUGAUGAUGAUCCACAUUGGAUCUUUAGCUAGGAAGCAAUAAGCUUGCCAUCUUUUUCACGACAGAAUUUGCUCAGUUCCAUAAAUCGCUUAGGCUUUAAGUAUUGAAAAUAAGAUUUCUGCUCUCGGUACUCAAAGAUAGGGAGUUAUCCUCAUAGCACUCGACCUUGCACAGAAUUGGGGUGGGCAGCCUCCCUAGAAAGAGUAAAUUAUAUUUGCAACGAUUCCACAAUUAAAAGAGCGGUGGCAGUCGGUUUAGUGGACAUUUUUGUCUCCCUCAUACAAAAGAACUUGUGGAAUGAUGAGGUUGACGAGGACGAAGACUAGGAUGGAGUGUGAAGUGGAGGAGAGAAGAAGAGUGGCUGCGUCACCCAUUUGAGCAAGUUCAUGCUCUCAUGGGUGGAGAAUAUCAUGUGGAAUGAGGGGUUUAGUGUUCAGAGGGGCUAUUCUGACCAUGGACUGAAGUGUGAAAGAGAUGGAUCUGGUUAAUACCUCUUCAGUAUAAUAGAGGAAGCUAUACUGACCGUCGACUUUGAUCGAGAUCAGUUUCAGUCUUCAAUGCGAAAAAGUCUAGCCCAUUUGAUGGGUCAAGAGUUCAUGUCACGUGAAGUAAACAACAAGGCAAACCUAAAAUUUGGGUUAAUUGAUUUAUCAUCUAACACAAUCUAAUUUAAAUUACCUUUCCAUGAUGUGAAAUUUCACAGUAAAUUUAGAGUAUCCUCACUCAUUGUAUUUAAACUAUUGGAUCUUAAGGGUACAAAGAUACUGGCCUAAUGAUCGAACUGUUAAGGUUGUUGAAUGGGGUGAUAAGGUUUUAAGGCUUGGACUCUAAAUUGCAUCAUGACCAUGUCAUAGCGAAGAUGAGAUGACUGCACUUCAGGCAUGCCCAGCAAAAUGAGAUUGUCAAGCUUUUAGGGGCAUGAGCGGGUCGCUUCCCAGUUAACAAGCAAAGGAAAGAGUAUGCGCAACAAUCUUAUCACUCUCAUUGAACAACUUGAGCUUAUUAGAAACCACUAAUUAGCAACCGUGACUCUAGCAUACAUACCUGAAGGUGCGGGGCAGGUCGUUGGAUAGGCUUUGUCACGGCAAAAACAACUGAAUUCUUGCCUUGUCCAGUUAUACCCACAUCUUCCCCCUGAUUUAGUGCAAUUUUCGCACAGAGAUGUGUUGGCAAUCCAAGUAAUCUCAAAGCCAUUUUUCAGGAUGUCUCUAACAGUAUCACGACUAAUGUUAGCGCUCUUGCUGCCCUCCAAUAUUGGUAUAAAUGGGACGAAGACACUGAAGUUGCAUAGCUUGCGUAGUUUGCUUAGGGGGUCCACUUUGAAAGCAAAGUAGCCAUCUCCAGACGCAGGACAAGAGAACCGAUCAGGUUGAGGGGUUGACGGUGAGUUGCAAUUGUAGAAUAAGGUAGAAUUGAGGUAAUGGGAAGCGUAGUUGAAGAGACUGGAGUUUAAAGUGGUGUUGACAGGUGUUCCACGACAUAUAUCUUUCAAUAAAUCCAUCCUCGCAACCUUAAGGAUCUGCUCGCUCCAAUCCAUGUGGAUCACCUGAUACUCCAGGGACUCCAUGGACAGAAGGGUCAGGUUACCUCCAUCACAGUCAAGCUCGUAGCCUGGAUACCCACAGUAACUCGGUCGCUCAUUAUGCUUGAAAGGAUAGCUAAUUUUUUUAUCUCCGCAAACGAAAGGAGCGCACUGUUGGAAUGGCAGGAAUUUGCCGGAAGUUGACACCAGGAAGUGAAUAUGGAGGGUGAAGAUGAAGAGCAAGAACAGAGAUGAACACGACAUGGUAAGGUCCAUUAGGAGGGAGAUGGUGUUGGAGCAAAACAAGGAAAGGGUAAAUGUAAAUGAAGAGGAUGCAGAGGAUAAGAACAAUGCUGCUUUGAGAAUUAUUUGAACCCAAUGCACCAAUGAGAGCCACUUGAUUUGGCCUCCCGGAAGACCAAGACUUUGGCGCAUUGAGACAAAGGCUGACAAGAAAAUAAGAAGCACAAGGCGCGUGGAAACAAAGCCAAGUAGCUUGAGCUGCUGGCUAGCUGUAGACUUGACUUAAGGACGACUUGGACUAUUAUUACCCAUUUUACAAUUCGUACACGCGGCCUUCAACUAGUGAACGAGCUUGGCCAAUCUCCUUGACAAUUCAAUCAAGGACACUUCAAUAAGGACCUCGAGAACAUAGUUAGCUGCAUUCUAGCAGAAGCAGGGCCAUUGUUAGACUAGAAAACAGAAGGGAAUCGUAGCUUCCGAAUUGAGGCGGCUAAAUCGUCAUCAGGACGAAAUUUAUUAAGCUUUGCCUAUUCAUCUUUUUUUGAAUUGAUUUGACUGGUUCUAUCCAGGUUGCAAUCAAUGGAUAGAACCACUUUCCAAAUUGCACCCAAAAAAAAAAAAAAAUUUGUCGCUUCCAUUCGUUACACACAAGUCCUUAUACUUAAUCAAUCUCAAGAGAAAAUUUACUUUAAAUCAGAGUGUUAAAGUAUCCCACAUCAUUUAUCUACAAAAAUUUGUAUUCUAUUUAUAUACAUAUGGUCUUCAUCCACAUAUUGUUUUUAGUUUUUUAAUUAGACAUUAAACAUGACAUCGGAGUCAAAUUCCUGUUCAAUUUAUUUCGCGUGUACUGUCCCUUGUUAAUUAAAUUAUUUGUGCCGUUCAUAAUCUAAUUUAUAUGGGAGAGGGUGUUAAAUUACUUUUUCAUUUUCUUUAUAUACAUGUUAUUUCUCCCAAUUUAUUAGUUUAAAAUUUUAUAUUAAACUUUCUAACAGGGGGAUACACGCGCACAAGUGACUACCAUUCUAAAUUUGAAAAGGGAUAAAUUGACCAGCCAAAUAUAUACUUUUCUAAUUCUUAAAGCUGCGGAAACUUCAAAAAAUGCAGAAUAAGUAACGAGCGUUGAAAAAACAAGCAUGGCAAGCGGACCAUUUCCCGAGAAAGACAGAAAAUAAACAGGCACAAACCUCAAUCCUACCUUUGCAAACCGAACCGUCCGUGUGAUUUGACCCGUCCUUGCAGAAGCACAGCAAGUCCCCUGUCUGGUUGAACGCGCAUCGCCCGCCGGAGUGCUCGCACUUGCCGCACUCCUUUGCCACCUUCCAGUCCAGCACAAACCAUUCCCUGAUCGCACCAGCGUACUCCUCCGCCGCCGUGACCUCCGUCCGCUUCACCACUGCCACCUCCUCCUCCUCGCAGCUCCGCUCCUUAUCGAAAUCAGCCGCCUCCUCCGGGCUCAUGUCCACAAACACACACGACUGGUUAUCACCAGAUCGCAAGCAAUCGUUGGCCCCUUCGGCGGGGAGGGGCGACCCUAGAGGAGCGCUGCAGUUGAAGAAGAAGGUCAGAUUGACGAUGGAGUUGUAACCGAGGGGGAGCGAGUCAAUCGUGAGGUUGCGGUGGGUCCUGGGGCAUUCCUGGCGGGCGACGGGAAUGUCGACGAGAGUUAGGGUUGCUUCGGUGUAGUUGAUAUCGGUGACGAAGUAGGCGUCGUCCGGAAGGAGGAGGAUUGGGUGAGGGGAGCCAUACGGGCAAUCGAGGCCGAGGCCUGGGAAUCCGCAGUGCACGGGGGCAUCGCUUUCGAUCCAGAAUGGAUAUUGGAUGAAGACGUUGCCGCAUGGGAACGAGGACAAGACGGGGUCGCAAAUGGUCGAGAAAUUGGAGUGGACUCCAUGGAAGCUCGCGGAGGAGACGAAGAAGAAGAGGAGGAGGGAGAGAGAAGGGGAGAGAAUGCAGAGUAGGUGGUGGCUUGGCAUUUUCUUUGUCCUUCUCUUGGCGAGGAACAAGAUGAUCGUCUGGCGAUUUAGAAUGGACGGCCUAUUUAAUAAAAGUGGUCAAAGUCUUGCAUUGGAAUUUGGGACUAAAGGUUACAAAUUUUUUUUUUUGUGGUCAAUGCCUACACAAAUUUGACUUUGAUAUGUUUUUUUUUUUUUUUGUGUGCAACGUUCAAGUAAUCCUACGUGAAAAAAAAAUUUCUAAUACAUUGAUAACGAUUUAAUAUGGUCAUAAGUCAUUGGCGAAAAAAUAAUGUAUAAUUACACCAUUGUGUAUAAUUUUAUGUGUUGGUCUUUAUGCAUAAUCUCCUUAAGUUCUGCUACUGCUUUGGUCUGAGUUUUUCCCCAAGGUGGGGAGUUCUUCUUCAGCAUGGAUUGCAAAGGGAUCAGAAGUUUUGCAAUAUUUGGGACAAAGACUCUGAGAUAAUUGAUUAUCCCGAGAAAUUGCUGAACUUGCUUUGUUGUGAAAUUGUCCUGAGGAAACUUCAAUAAUUCUUCCACAAUCUCAUGGUUGGCUUAUUCAAUUAAGGAAGAAGUUGGAGACUUCAUUGGACCAUAAAUUUUUAUUUAUUUAUUUAUCUUGUUUAUUAUUUUUUCUAAUAUCAAUUUUUCUUUCAAAGGAAAGGCAUGAUUUAGAGCUUAAUACAGCCUUUUUUGAAAAUCAAUUAGGGCUUGAUUGCACUUUUUAUAAAAUAUAUUUAGGGGACUUUAAUUUAGUGUAAUUAUUCAUGAUUAAAUUUUAUGAAUUACAGUCUUUAACAAUUAAAGUAGCGGUCGUCGGCAUUUUCUAUGUUGAGAAAUCUUGAAGAAGUUGAUGGAUCUUGCAAUUCAAAUCUAAUACGGAGAGGAAGAAAUUACCAGAGAAAUUUAUGGAUUUUGAAAUUCAAACUCAACGUGUUAUAUUCUCUUUAAGGUUGUAGUCUUCAAUAAGUUCAUGACUUGAUGGAGUUUGAUUCAAUAGCUUGUGUCAUAUAUGUGACCACAUCGACAUUAAGCCACAAAUGAUUUUAAAUCAUUGCAAGUAAAUUUUGAUAUGCAACGGGGACUAUAAUCGUUGUAAUGCUCUAGUUGCAUUAAAAUAGACGAAGGGCCCGUGAACUUCACAUUCAUUUUGGAUAUUAAAGCUAGAAAUCAAAUAUAGGUGUGAACUUGGCGUAGAUUCUUUCACUUUUGUCCCUUUCGUUGAGAUAGUUUCCAGGAAACAUGACAUUUGGAGAUAGUCGUCAAGUCCGACUUUAAACAAUUAAUUACGCCUCAAAAUGCCAAUGCACAAUUGCCCUUCUAUUUAGAGGUGAAUCUCUUUGGUGGGUUUCUCAAGUAAAGAAAAUUACCCAAUUAAUCUCCAAAUUAUUGUACGAAAGUAAAUUAAUCUUAAAAUUUUCAAUUUUACCAAUUUAGUCAUAAACUUCUGCACGCAAUUCCAAUGUAGUAUUUCCGGUUAAUUUAUACUAGAAAUUAUUGAUGUGAUAGCCCAUUUAUCACCAUCCGUCUUAUGUGGCACAUUGCCAUGUCAACGAUUUCAGGUGAAAAUCGAUCGAAAAGACUUUAUUGGAAUUUCCCAUGAAGAUAUAAAAUUAGAAAGUUUAGAACUAAAUUGACAUUCACACAAUAAAUAUAUGACUGAUCAGCUUGUUCUCCCUCUCGAGGAAUUAUGUCUCUAGGAGAUACAAAAUUCCACAUCAUGCUGAUGAAUUAGAGAAAACACAGCAAAUAAUCAAAGCAUUAUGUUGUUGUGUAUCAAGACAUAAUCAACAAUCGGAAUAAAUCACGUCCGAGGGACAUUGCAAUAUGUGAAUUUCAGUGGUUAUUAUAGACAUUUAAGAUGUGCAACACUUUCCUUCUUUCUCAAUUUGGUAAGCUAGGCGAAAUUUCUUUCCAUGACUCUUAAGAGAAUGUUCAAUUCAUCGAAUCUAGAAGAAGUGGCCAAACAUAUUUCUCAUAAAAAAAAAUUAACAAUAACAAAAGAGAUGAUCACAUCAUCUCGACAGGGAUUGGGUUCAUGUGGGUCUAGAUUGGCAAGGUCAUGUGACCCUUGGUGUCACCUUGCUUGAGAUCGCAAGACCUUGGCAUCGUCUCAUCUAGCCUCUAAGACAGUUCGUUCCUCACCGAUGAUUGAUCUGUUUCCAAGACGGAGAUAAUGAGCAGUAGCUGUGUGCUCUGUUUCACCUGUUAAUUUAUUUAUUUAUUUUUUUUUCAACUUAAAAACUAUUUUGCAAAAAUACACCAAAAUUCACUUAAUUUAAUGGAAUUUGCUUUAAGUAAAUGCACCUUGAAUCAAAGAUUUUCGAGAAAUUAUUUUGCAUGUUUGAGCAGUCCUAUGUGUAUAAAAAGUUCCAAUAUAGUAAUAACAACAUACUAUAGUCAUAGGUCACUAAUGUAGAAAUAGCAUUUAAAUAUGCGAGCAUAUAGAAUUAUAUGUUAGUCUCUACGUCGGUCUCUACAAAUUAUCAUGAGCCGUUCACUAGAAUUUGACUUGUAUGUUGUUUGAUCCAUCUAUUGGGUUAGUGUUCCUCACAAAUUGGAUCCUGCAACGAAAUAUCUUUCAUCGGAAGUUGUUCUUCAGUUUUUAUUAGAGGAGAGAGGUAUUGUGGCAACUUCAGAUAGAAAAUAUCAUUAGUCAACAAGAAAAACCCGAAGUUUACUUCAAAUAUAUGUACAAAAAUCGUGCUGAAAUUUAAUCAACAAUAAAUCUUGAGAAUGCAAAGAUGCUACAAUAGAAUUUAACUGAUGACGUGACAAUUGGGAUAGACAUACACACUAAAAUUUAAUUGACGAUGUGGAUUUGGAAACUACAUCUAAGAAAUAUGCCGAAGUUUAAUUGACGAUGUGAGUCUAGAAAAUAAAACUACAACGCAGAAAAGUAAAGAUAACUAAAGAAUAGUAGACUUAUUCAUUUGUGUGUUGGGGGGCCUUCACAUACAAACAAUGGUAUGUAUAGUGGUUGUGCCAUAACCAUCUCUAACCAGUUCUCCUACAUUUAUAGCCAUGUUCCCUCAUCUCUGAAAAUCUUGGGCUCAUUCUCUCAUGAUGCCAUGAUUUAGUCUUCCAAGUGAUUAAUCCCUUAAAAUUGCAUUUUGGUUACUCCGCGACUUCUUGAACCCUAUUGCCUCACUCACCAAUGAUUUCAAACUCAUAACAGCUUUUUGACAUCCUCUAGGUAUCCAACUUACUUUUGAUACCUCAAAUUGGUAAUCCGUAGUUCCUUUUAAUCAAUACCCUUAUUGACUAUCACCUAUUCAUUUGUCAUCAUACAUCGACAACUGAUAAGUAAUUGCUCAUAUCAUUUGAAAUAAUUAUUUGAUAAAAAUAAUUUUAUUAUCGAUAAUAAAUUAUGUCUAAAUACUUUUAUAGACAAUAUAAAUAUUUUUUAUUUAUUUAUUUUUACAACAAUAUAAGUAAUUAUUUUUAUAAAAUGUAUUUCAAUUUAUUCAUUUUUUGUGAAAUAAACCAAAGCUUUUAAAGUCUAAUCAAUGGUUUAAAGUUCGACUAUUAUAUCACUCUCUGCAAUGUCAUGUUUCGUGGAAAAUGUCUCGAUGGAAAGACAAAAGUGAGAGAGUCAAUGCUCCUUUCGUGCUUGCUUCCUUGGCGUCCACAUGCAAAACCGGAAAGGCAGCCAAAAAGGAGAAACUAAGGAAGACCAGAAAAGUACACUUUAAUUGUUCAGCGUUUACGCUGAUUUGAAGGAGUAAAAAAUCGAAGGUUUUUUUUUUUUUUUCCAACCAGGUUGAGUUACUAGGCUGAAGCCUGGUGAGGUCGCCCUGAGGCUGAAACUCACCUAGGCGAGGGUGACCUCUGGCGAGGACUCCCCUAGCUAGAUUUGGCGAGGCCGGCCCUCGCUCAAGCCAGGGUGACCUCACCCGAUGUUGCCAUCGCCCGGCCGACGCCUAGCGAGGCUACCCUAGCCUAGGUGCAGAUCAACCUCGCUUGGCCUGGGCGAGGGUCGGCCUCGCUUAGGCAACCCUUGCCGAGCCGCGCUUGGGCAAGGGCUUCCCUCGCCGGGGCUCACCCUUGCCUAAUCGGGCCUCGCUUGUGGUGGGCGAGGCUAGCUAGUUGGCUGUGGCCGGUGGUUGGCCAGCCAUUGGAAAAGGCCAAGAAGAAAGCCAAAAAGAAAAGAAAGAAAAAAAUUCAAAAAAUAUUAAAAUAUUAUUAAAAUUGUCCACGUCAGCGCCGACGGUCCUAUGUGGCACCGUUGGCAUCCAUGUCCAUAUUUUCUUGCCAAAAUUGUAUGAAUGGACUCAAUUGGUAAGAAGUGAAAAUGUUUAGGACUGAAUUGGCAAAAGUACAAUAAGUUUAAGAUUUUUUGGACAAUUUUUCCAAACCGAGUUGAUUCUAACAUUGGAAUGGAAAGGAAACGACCAGGCUUGUCCUGGCUUUGACCUUAAAGGGUUCGAUUUGAUGUCAACACUAAAAGGAGACAACCAUGCUUAUUCUCAAGAUCACUAAUUUAGCAUAGAUAAUAAGGAAUUGCUAAAAAUUUGAUCACACUUAAUCAUGAAGGAAGUUGGUGUGUUUACAAUUGUAACAUUUGCUGCCUAGCUAGUUCUUAAUCCAUAAUAAAAUCUUUAAAUGAAACGACAAAUCUCUCAACUAUACUUGUUAAAUGAAUUGAGCCUAUCUGAUUCAAGAGUUCAUGUGAAUUGGAUUUGCAUGCCUGCAUUAUUCGAGCAGCCAAUGUUGAUGUAUCAAUGACCCACACAGAAAAUUUGCCCUGAAAAGUCUUGAGGAACAAACCAUGAAACUUCCUAGUCAACGGGACCUCUAAAUUACAAUUAGGUUGGAGGAUCCGCCAACGUGUUGAAAUUGAUGAUCUUCCACAUUCCAUGAAACUUCCGAGUUAGAGGAACCUCUAAAUUACUCUUAGGAACAAACCUCCCGUUAUACAAUUUCUACUAAGCAGUGCAAAUCAAUUGUAGAAUUUUUCUUUUUCUUUUCUUCCAAUAUACAAAACUUUAGUGCUAACAAAAAUCAAUUGUUUAAAUUAUGUUACACAUUUAAAUUGAAAUUCUUGUCCCGUUUCGGAGUUCCCACUCCCUUUAAUGUAAUUUAUAACCAAAUGUAGUCAUGGGUUUAGUAAACACCAGUGGCAAGUUUCUUGAAUCACAGUGUUUAUUAGUUUUUUAUGUGGUAACAAAAAUUUUCGUUGUGUAAUUUUGAUACAUUCUCUUUUAUACUUUUAGUCUUCGAUAAGAUAAUAACUCGAUGUCAAUGCAGAAACUCACAAAUCCCACAAAGUUGCAUGGAAUGUAGUAUGCUCACCAAAAAGGGAGGGAGGUCUAGGCUUGCUCGAUCUGAAACUUUGGAAUAAAGUAUUGAUGGCAUGCUUUAAAGCCUCAUCAAUCUUCCAUCCUCAUCCCUGUGGAGUACUUAGGUUCAAAUAUUAAAUGCAUAGGUACUCCCAUUAUGCAACUCAACAUAAAGGGCAAUAUGGCUUGAAAUUAACGAUGCAUUCUCAAGCUAAGACAUGCUCUAAUGCCUAUUAUCUCUAGCGAAACAUAUUGUUGCAAAGAGGUAUACGAGGAAUUUAGACAAGAGGACCGGCCGUGGACUGGUAUCAAUUAAUUUGGACCAGCGGUAUCAGCAAGCAUAAUUUUAUUGGUUGGCUUGUUUGCAAAGAUAGACUACUAACAGCAAUAGCCAUAUCAUGGUUGGUUGUCUUCAGUAGAUACUAAGGGCGCGUUUGGUAACGUUUCUAUUCUUUUUUUGUUCCAGGGAACAGAAACAAAAAAAAAGUGUUUCUGUUCCGGGGAACAAUUUUUGAACAAAAGAACGCGUUUGGUAACGUUUGUUCCGGGAAUAAAAAAUGAAUAGAAACACGUUUGGUAAAUUUUAUUAUUUUUUUGUUUCUUUUAAUUUUUUAAACAUUUUUAUUUUAUUUUUCAUUUUUUCCUUUAUUUUUUCUUUUUUCUUUUUUCGGCCGGUCACUGGCCUUCGGCGACCGGCCGACGGGGCCGGCAGCCUCGCCUAGCCACGGCGAGGCCGAGCCUCGCCGUGCCAAGGCGAGGCUCCGGCAAGGUCGCCGACCCUCGACGGCGUCGCUGGCCCUCGACGGCCGGUCGCCGACCAUGGCCGAGGCCGGCAACCGGCGAAAGAAAAAAGAAGAAAAAAAAGAAGAAGAGAAGAAGAAGAGAGAGAAGAGAACAGAAAAAUCCGUACAUAAGUGUUUCUUCAUUUUUGUUUAUGCAACAAGAAACAACAAUUUGUUGUUUCUUUUUUUUGUUCUUAUUUUGUUCCGGGAACAAAAAAACAAAAAAAGAACAGAUUGCGUUUCUGUUCUUUUUUUGUUCCCGAGAACAAAAUCCGUACAGAAGUGUUCCAGAAACGUUUCUUUGGAACGUUUCCAUGCACGCCCUAAGGCUGCGUUUGGUAGUCCGGAUUUGAGUCUGGAUAGGAUAAUUUGUUAUCCUAUCCAAUGUUUGGGAAUGUCCACCGGAUCGGACAAACCCGGAUACAUCCGGAUAAAACGCCGGAUAAAAAAUCCGAGGGAGGGGGUGGGAUAAGCUCGGAUUGGAUAAGAAUUUUUUUUUUUUUUUAAGGAAAGAAAAAACUUAACAAAAAGAGAAGAUAUCAUAAGCAUCUACGUCAAAUGGAUGCCUCCGUCUCUCCGAUUCAUUGUUAGCCCUCUUCUUCCACUUCUUCUCCCAUCUUCGCAUCUCGCCGUUUUCAAUGGUGGCCACAAUUCCUAGAUCUAGGGCUUUUCCAUGGCAUUUAAUUAAUUGAAUUUUCUAUUUUUUAAUUUUAUAAUUUAAUUGAAUAUCAUAUUUAUUUUUUAAUCUUAUCCUGAAAUGCACCAAACACUUGAUAGGAUUAGACAUGUCCGCAUUUAUUAUCCAGAGGAUUUAAUAUCCUACUUCAUCUAAUUAAUGAUAUUCACAUAUUUACACCAAAAAAGAUAAUAACUCGAUGGAUUGAGAUUGAUAUCUUGUAUCAUAUAUGUGGCUAUAGUGAGAGUAAGGGAUUAAUCAUCUUAAAUCUUGGACGAAUAAAACUUCAUGUGCAAUUGAGUACUACAAUAUCAAGGAUUUUUCAUUUUCUAGAAUUCUCGAAUAUAAUACAAUAAUAUUGAAAAACUAUUACAGAGCAAAGGUCCAAUUAUAGUGCCAAACACAUAAACAAUGUAUAUGAAGAGCAUUAUUACCAUAACAUAUAUGCGAAAGUAUUGAAGCUCGAAAUCAAUGAUCGUCACCAUUGAUGCAAUUAACAGCCAUAAUAUAAUAGAGGAUGUUAGUAUUCUUGUAUAUGGUAGCUAGCCUACGUGAAUAUUCAGAUGAUGAUGUGACGUUAGGUAAAUUAAAUUCAGUCCAUUAAAUUAAUUACUAAGUGAUGUCCCAAACUAUAUAAGUAAUUUUUUUUAUUUAUUUAUCUAGUAUACUUAGCGUAUUCUUCAACCUAUUUCUUUCACUUUCAACUUUGUAUAUGUAAUAUGCACCGCAUUGGGAAAAAUGUUUGGCUGUGAAGGAAUGUCUUGGUCUUGGUCAUCGAAAACAACCGUGUUUCCCAAGUUGCGCAUGAAUUAUGCGAACGGAUUGAAAGUGGAAAAAGCUGAGGAAAAGAGCGGCACUGGAGGAUUCUUCAUUUUCUAGACUUCUCGAGUAUAAUACAAUAAUAUUGAAAAACUAUUACAGAGCAAAGGUCCAAUCGUCAUGCCAAACACAUAGAACACUAUAGAUGAAGAGCAUUAAUACCACAGCAUAUGAAAGUAUGGAAGCUUGAAAUCCAUCAUCGUCACACCAUGCAUCAAUGCAAUUAACAGCCAUGAUAUAAUAGAGGAUGUUAGUAUUCUUGUAUAUGGUAGCUAGCCUAUGUGAAUAUUCAGAUGAUGAGGUGACGUUAGGUAAAUUAAAGUUGGUCCAUUAAAUUAAUUACUAAGUGAUGUCCCAAACUACAUAAGUAAUUUUUUUAGUCAUCUAGCAUACUUAGCGUUAUUCUUCGACCUAUUUCUUUCCCUUUCAACUUUGUAUAUGUAAUAUGCACCGAAUGGGAAAAAAUGUCUGGCGGUGAAGGAAUGUCUUGGUCUUGGUCAUCGCAGACAACCGUGUUUCCCAGGUCGUCUACCAGCUUCAAAGUUGAAAGCCGAAUCUUCACGUUGGAGUCAAAGUGGAAUAGGACUUUGACCGUAAAAAGAAAACAAUAAAGAAAAGGAAUAGUGCGGACUUGUUGAUUGGGUCAGAGAAAAAAAAGAAACAAACAGGAAAUGAACUCUUUGUUUGAGUCGACAAAAGUUCAGACGGAUGGCCAAUGCAUUCACCUUCGUUUGAGAGCGUGUGAGCAGCUACCAAAGCUCUCUCGUGGGCUAAAAACGGGCCUCAUUUUGAAGCCCAUCUGCUGGGUUAGCGCCCCGGCCCACUUGAGAGGGCCUUAAUUGGUAUGACAAGCUUAACGUGUUUGUGAAAUAUAAAAUGAUCCGUAAGCCUCGUUCCCGUUUAUUAUGGUAUAUUUUUUUAUUAUUUUGUAUUUAUUUUAACUUAUUAUUUUUAUUAUAGUUAUGCCUAUGAGAAAAUUUUAAAAUCAAAAUGUCCCUAAUCGUGAUGAGAAGUAGCAAGCAAUGUGAUUACUAAAUGAUACAUGCAAUUUUUUGGGUUAAGGGGCCAAUUUAUGUCAUAAAUUAGAUCCGUAAUAUUGAUAGAAAUGCUACGGAAAUCCAAAUGUGAAAAUUUAUAUGUCAACAAUACCCUUUUCACUCUUUUUUUAGUCACACUUGUAGAAUUCAACCGAGACAUCUCAUCACAAAUUUAUAAACAGCCCAAUUAUCAUUAAUUUUGCAAUUGCUUUUUUUUUUUUUUCCAAAUAGUAUGUUACAAACUAUGUUGGUCUCAUAUAAUUAAUAUUGAAUAACCCUAACUUGAGUUAUUACUCUCUUGUAGAGAUGAACUUACACAUGGACAAGCUGCAAGCAAUUUUGAGGGUGAUGACAAAAUGGGUUUGAGAGGAAUUUACAAGGCAUCAACACUACCUUUUAGCAUUUGCACAACUUGAGUCAUACAUGGUCAAGCUCUCAGAUUGAUUUGAAUGCACUAUGAGCCAAUUAUAAUAAUCUUCUUCACGAUUACUUUGUCCUCCUCAUUUGUGAUCCUGAGUAGUCCAAUCUCUUCUUGGAGCUCUAGACGUACCCAAUGAGGGAAGUAUGCUUCGAUGGUUUGAUCUACUGUGACUUUGAUACUUUUUUAGCUAUUCUGUUAGUUUGUUGCUGGUUUUGUGGACAAGGCAAGCUAUAAGUGGGCAACAUGGGUUUAUGGUUAAGUUUUAGUAUGUAUUAAGCAUUUUUUUAGUUUUCUGAAUUAUAUAUACAGCUUUUGCUGUCAACUCCUCUGUUCUUUCGAAAACAACGAUUGCGGAGGAUAAGAGAAAGAGGUAGGAGAGAGUGCGAAAAGCAUUUGUAAAAAAAUCAAAUGGAGUUGGUUUGAAUUGGUUCUAACUCCUAUCACUGUUGUGUGCUAGUUCUUCAACUUUGAAGCCAACACCAAGCAAGGCAGAAAGUGGGAAGCAUGCAUAUGUAUCGAAUCAAAGCAUGUAUGGUCCAUGCUUGGAUCCACACUCAUUAUAGUGCUUAUGCUAAUUAUAAAUAAGGUCAUGUCACAAUCAAAACAUAUAGCAUGAUAGAGUUAAUUAUAUGUAUAGUUCAAAUCGAUCAAUGUUACCUAUUUCGAUUGAACACCUCGUCAGAUUUUAGCACCACUAGAAUAGACGGGAGCUUUCUCUCUUUCCUUCCUUCCUUCCUUCCUUCCUCCUUCCUUCCUUCCUUUCUUUCUUUCUUGUUUGGUCGUAUGCACAAGAAAAUCCCACAAAAAAAAGCAAGUUAUUUUGGUCCAACAUUUGAAAUUUUUACUGUGAAUUUGGUGUAGCUCCAGCUUCACUUAAUACUUUUUAACUAUUGGAUCUUGUGGGACACAUAUACCAACCUCUGCAUGUUGAAAGGAAGAUCAAGCAAAACAAUAGAUAUGAAAACUCAGUCAAGAAGCAAAAACAGGAAAAAAAAAAAAAAAAACUCCCCCAUCCACUUACCAUCAUUGCAGCUUCGAGGAUGAGGACCAUCUUGGCAAAAACAAACAAAAUCAUCGUUCUCGAAUCCACACCACCCCUCACUUCCCUCGCAGUUGCUACAAUUAAAUGCGGUCUAGUUCAAAAGGAAUCCCACCUCCAUAAUCUCACAGAAGUUCAUAGUCGCCAAGCUAUCGAUAUUUGUAUUAACAUAAUCAGGUACACUAACUGAAGAGUUGCAGGAACUGAUGGCAUAAUACAAAUAUAUUUCCUGCGAUACUUCCUCGAGAAAAUAAGCAAAAUAGUGGUGGGUGGAGUUGCUAGCACAGUCCACUAGAUAUGUAAAAUUUGGCGGCGGUGAGGUGCAAUUAUAAUAGAAGAAGAAAUCGGCAUUAGUGGAACUGAGAAUGAGAGGCGUGCUUUCGAGGUUGAUAUUACGUGGUGGAGCACCACAAGUGUCAUGGUACAUGAGGGCAUCAACCAGGAGGAUAGAAUGGUUCGUGUAGGAGAUUUCCUUGAUGAUGAACUCACUGACCGAAAAAUUCAGGACUGGGAAUAUCCCUAUGCAGGUGAUCUUGAAAUUCGGAUAGCCACAAUAGGAGUCUUGCUCGCCCGAAAUCCAGAAAGGGUAGCUGAUGUUUGAGCCAUAUCCACAGUUCCGAGGUGUGCAGGCCUCAUACUGCGCAUCUUCAGAUACAACCUAAUAGACUAAGCUAACGAAGACAACGACAAGGGCCAACUGGCAACAAUUAGCUCCGUAGUUGAAGCUCUAGAGAUUCAUUUGGACUAGAAGGAGGUAGAGCAGGAUAGAAGAGAAAUCAAAUGGAGUUAGUUUGAAUUGGUCCUAGCUUCGAUAACUGUCGUGCACUAGUUCAUCGACUUCGAAGCAAAUGCCAAGCGAGGCAGAAAUUGGUCCCAUGCGUGCAUUAUUCAAGCACCCAAUGUAAAUGCAUUGUUGUCAUACACGGAAAAUCUGCACUAGAAAGUCUAGAGGAACCGACCAUGAUACUUCCUAGUCGAAGGGACCUCUUAAUAACGAUUACAUUGGAGGGCCUGCUUACGUGUUGAAGUGUCAGAAUUGAUGAUGAUCUACCAAAUCAUUAGGAACAAACCUUGAACCAUCUGAGCCAAAGGGACCUCUAAAUUACACUCGGAACAAAGUUCCCGUUACAAAAAUAUUAGGAAAAAAGUAUCAAUUCAGUUCUAUACCUAUUAUAUGAAUGUCAAUUCAGUCAUAAUUUUUUCAAAUUUAUUAUGAUAAUUAUAAGUUUGACAAGAUAUUCUUACGUAGUUUUUUUGACCGAUUGCUGUCGGAGAUCCUUGACGUGAGAAUCCACAUAUAGUACGAUCAGCGAUGAUUGGACACCAUAUUAGCAAUUUCCAGCGUCAGUUUUUCGGAAGAACUACUUUGAAAUUUUGAGUAAAUGUUUAGGACUACAUUGAUAAAAUUGAUAAAUGCAUGACAAAAUUAGCAUUUACACAAUAAAUUUGGGACUAACUAGGUAAUUAUCCCACAAUUCUUACUAAGCAACGCAAAAAAUUGUUCAUUUUUUAUCAUUUCAUCCACCAUACAAAUUUUAGUGCUUGCAAAAAAUAAAAAAUUAAAUAAUUUAUGUUGCAUAUUUCCUUGGGAGUUUUGUCCCACAUUGGAGUUGCAACUCCCUUUAAUGUAGCCUAUGACCCAAUGCUGUCAUGGUGUUAGUAAACACCUGCGUUUGAUUGUCUUAAAUCUCAGUUAUUAUUAGUAAGUUUUGAGGUAGCGAAAUUUUUGUGAUUAACUUUUAUAGAAUACAGUGUCUACGGAAAGUUGCAGGAAUUGGCAUUUUUUAUGUUCUCUCUUACACUUUUAUAACCAGUAAUUAUAUAACUCGGUGGCUCGUAUUAUAUAUGUGGCUACGAUUAAGAGAUUAACGAUCUCAAAUCAUUAUGAACAAAAUUUAAUACGUAAUCAAGAACUAUAAGAUUGUAGUAUUUUCAUUUUCUAAAUUCUCGAUUACAAUACUUUACAGAAUAAUAAUCCUGGGAAACUGAUAGAGAAAAAAUGUCUAAACAUCAUACCAAAUACAUAUAUACAUAUGAUAUACAUGAAAGCAUUGAAUUUCGAAAUUUGGACUGCCGGCACCGUGCAUUGACGCAAUAAAUUAUGUCUACAAUUUAAGUCAUGUACAAAAUCUGAUCCAUUUGGCGGAUUUAUUGAUAUUUUUUCAAAAUCUAAAUGCGCAUUUUUUUUUUAAUACGAAUCAUAGCUGGUUCUUUGGACUUGAGCAAGUCCUUAAAUUGCUCAUGGAAGGUAAAGGUGGGAGAACCGCCCUAGGGUGAGAGACCCCGUGCUUGCCUUCCCUAGCCUCCCAGUUGGCUGGAAAAUAUCAACUGGGAAUUAGGGGGGCUAAUGGUGAUGAAGGUAAACAUCAUUUUUUGAGCAAUCUAGGCUACGACUGGGCUGGCAUCGGGUAACCAAACCCUGUCCCUCGCCCGGCGUGAAUGAGUGAGGGUGAAAUGCCCUCUGCUGGCUGAACAUGCCUAUGGCACUUCUUGUAUUUUCAUUAUAUUACGUACACGAUGAGAAGACGCUUCUUUUGAAUAUAUGCAAAAGGAAGGGCUCAAAUAUAUUUUCUAAAAGAAGUCGUGGACGUCUCUGCUAAAUGGCACUUGAAGUAUAUGCGGGUCCAGGUCAGAAGCAGUAGAUAUGUUGACCCCUAUAAAUACUCUAUUACAAACUAUGUUAGUCUGAUGUAAUUGAUAUUGAAUUGUCCCAAGUCAAGUAAUUUCUCUCUGGCAUAGACGAACUUUCACAUUGACAAGCCUCGGGUGAUCUUGAGAGCGAUGACAAGGAUGGUUUAGGAGGAAUUUGUAAGGUCUCAACACUACUUUUUAGCAUCUCCACAACUUUGGUCAUCGAUGGUCGAGCUCUCGGAUCGAUCUGAAUGCACCAUAAGCCUAUUACAAUCAUCUUCUUUGCAAUUCCUUCGUCCUCCUCAUUUGUGAUCCCAUGUAGGCCAAGCUUUUCUCAGAGCUCCAAGCGUCGGCGGACCCAAUGAGGAAAGUAUAUUUCACUUGUAUGAUCUACCGUGACUUCAAUGUUUUUCCUCUUGCUAACCAUCUCUAGAACUAUCAUGCCAUAACUAUAGACAUCCGAUUUGUGAGAAACCCCUCCGAUGUUCCUUAUGAUUAGCUCCAGAGCAAUAUAUCCAGCGGUGCCUCGGGCACCAAGCAAUGACAUGAUGCUCUCUUCUCUUGGGCAUAUUUUGGAAAGACCAAAGUCGGAAAUCUUGGGAUGAUAGUUUGCAUCAAGAAGAAUGUUGUGAGGUUUUAUGUGGAAGUGCAAGAUCCUUGUAUUACAUCCUCUACGCAAGUACUCUAGCCCGUGAGCUAUGCUCAGCAAAAUCUGGUACAAUAUGUCCCAACUCAAUUGAUGAUCUACCUCCAAAGUGUUACUCCUGUUGAAUAUGAAUUUUUCGAGUGAUCCAUUGGGCAUGAACUCAUAAACCAAAGCUCUUUUGCUUCCUUCAAAACAAAACCCCAAAAGGUUAAGAACAUUGAUAUGAGAAGUCCUACUUAUGCUCACAACUUCAUUGAAAAAAUCUUCAGCAUUGCCUUUCGGCUUCUUUAGAAGCUUUACUACCACAAAUUGAUCAUCUCGAAGCUUGCCUUUAUACAUGCAGCCAUAGCCUCCCUCACCUAACUUUUCUUUGAAAGAGUUGGUCAUCCUCUUGAUGUCUUUGUAGGUGUAUCUUCUCGGACGAGUCCCUCAAUCUUCAUUUCGCCAUUGAAAUGUUCGCUCCUAUGCUUUAUCAAAUCCAUAAUAAUUUCAAUCACUGGUUUCUUCCUGAAGGGAAGCAUUAAAAUAAGGGUGAUCCCAAUUCCGGCUCCCGAUGCAGCCAUUCCUGAAAAAAAUGGAGAAUAAUUUUGAAUAGCAAUCUCACUUCUUCAAGGCUUCUAGAAUAUUUUGGAAAUAUUGAUUCCAUUGAGCAACGAUGCAAGAUUACUGCCAAAAAGUCGCAACAAAUUGCAGAGGAGAAUGUAGAGAAGCGGAAGAGAAAGUCUUGAAAUAAUUACCUAUUUCAAUUUUCAGUCCAACCCUUUGUUUUCUUGAGACAAUAGUCAUCAAGAGUGAAAAAUGUGUCAACGAAUUGCAAACUGAUAACUUCAAAGUGUCUAAGAGAUAUAAAGAUCAGGCACAUCAUGAGGUAAUAGAUCAUUCUGUUUCAAGGAAGUAAACCACCCCCCCCUACCCCGCCCCGAACGCGCCCCAAUAUUACAGAUUCCCCAGUUUGGAUCAAUUAGUGACAUUUUUACCAGAGUAAUUGGAAACACUUGCCAAUGGAUCCUGUGCCUGAUUGACUAACAAGUAUAGACAUUAGCUAAAAUCCUUAAUUCUAGAGCUAUCAGGGAAUGAACAGGAAGACAGCAAAAAAUAUUAGCUGGUCUAGAAGUAGCAAACACGCUGCAAUAUGAUCGACAAUGUGGUGUCAGAGGCGGAGACAGAAAUUUCUGUGUAUUGAAUGGGCGGUAUAUUAUGGACAUGUCUCAACUCUUUUAGCCUCUAAGCGGACCUAUAGGAUUGAAUAGAAGUCGUCCCGCGAAUAAAACAAGUGGGCAGCUCAUGUUCAGGCAAGAAUUUUGAAGUUUCUUGAAUCGUGUACACCCAAUUGAUGACUAGAUAACUAUUGCAGAAAGAUACAAACAUAGAAAGAUAGAAACAUCAAAAUAUGAGGUUCCCAUAAGAUGUCUUGGGACCCAACAGAUCGGACACUUUUGUUUGCAGCGGUAAGCGAGUCCACAGUCUAAGCUAGGGCGAAGAAAUUGGAAAAGCUUGAGGACAUUAUCCACGGCACGUAUAAAGAGUAAUUAAAUAACAGUGAAAACAUUUUCAGUAUUUAUUUCUCCACUAUCAUCAUGAACAAAAUUUUCAUUGAUUGUGCAAAGAUAGAAUUAAGUGCGCAGUUCACCUCUAUCAAUAAUAUAUUUCAACUAUCCGAGCGAUCAGAUUUUAGCACCAUUUGUGGAGACGUAGUUUUCCUUUUCAUUUGGUUGUGUUCAUAAUAAAAGCCCAAGAAGAAACCAGUAGUUUUAGCCCAACCCUUGCAGAAUUUUACAGUGAAGUUGGAGCAUCUUCACUCAAUUUAUUUAUACCUUUUGAUGUUAUGGGUAGCAGAUGCCGACCUAAAGAUCUAACUGUUAAUUGCAGUCCAGUUCAAUAGGAACCCCUUCUUCAAGCUAGUGAUUCAAGCUAGUGAAAUCGGCAUUAACAGAAACAGGAGUGCUAAAUGUGGAAUAGCAGGAGCGGACGACAGAAUAGUAAUCCAUUUCCUGCAAUGCUUCCUUGGGAAAAAAAAAGAAAAAGAAAAAGAAAAGCAAAAGAAUGGCGCAUGGAGUUGCCAACUCAGUCCACUGGACUUGUAAAAACAUGUUGGCUACGAGGUGCAACUAUAGUAAAAGAACAGAUCAGCAUUAGUGGAACUGAGAUUGAAAGUCGUCCUCUUGAGGUUGAUAUUAUGGGGUCGGAGCAUCACAGGAUUCCUGCUACACAGGGGCAUUAGCCUGGAGGAACCAAUUGUUCGCAUAAAAGAUAUCAUUGAUAGUGAAUUCCCUGUCCGAGAAAGUCAGGACAAGAUAUAUCAUUUUGCAGGUAAUUUUGAAAUUCAGAUAGCCCCAAUAGGACUCUUGUUCACCAUAAAUCCUAAAAGGGUAGCUAAUGUUCAGCCCAUAUCUACAAUUCCGAGGCAUGCAAGCCUCGUAUUGUGCAUCAUCCGAUAGAGCCACAUAGACUAAGUUGGUGAAGAUGAUGAUGAUGACUGAUUGGUGACAAUUAGCUACUCACAUGAAGUUUUGUGAUUCAUCUGGACCGGAAGGAGGCAGAGUAUUGCAGAGGACAGAAGAAAUAGGUAGGAGAGAGAGCGUGGAAAGCAUUUGCAAAAAAAUCAAAUGGAGUCAAUCUGAGUUGGUCCUAACUCCUAUCACUGUUGUGUCUCGUGUGCUGCCUUGUUUGGCCCUUCUCUCCUCUGCUGUGGCUGUUGUUUUAGCCUUUUUCUUUGCUGCUAUUCUUUCUUUCCCUGUUCUGCAGCUUUACCCCCAGUACCCUUCCACUCGUUUGACUACCUUGUCUUCUGAGUUUAAGCUUUUUGGUUCCAGGGUCCUUAGCUGUACAAUUGUAUAGCCUCUUGGUUCAAAAGUCAAUAUAAUACUUACCUUUUACCAAAAAAAAAAAAAAAAAAAACUCCUAUCACUGUUGUGUGCUAGUUCUUCAACUUCAAAGCCAAUAUCAAGUGAGGCAAAAAGUGGCCUGAAGCGUGCAUAUGUAUCGAAUUGAAGCAUAUAUGGCCAUGCUUGGAUCCACACUCAUUAUAGUGCUUAUACUAAUAAUAAAUAAGGUCAUGUCACAAUGAAAACCUAUAGCAUGAUGGAGUUAAUUAUAUUACAAUUCAAAUAUAUGAAUGUUACAUAUUUCAACUCAACACUUCAUCAGAUUUUAGCACCACUAUUCACGGAAGCUAUCUUUCUUUCUUUCUUUUGUUUGAUCCUGUGCACAAGAAAAUCCCACAAAGAAAAGCAAGUUGUUUUGGUCCAACAUUUGAAAAUUUUUACUAUGAAUAUGGUGUAGCUUCAGCCUCACUCAAUACAUUUUAACCAUUGGAUCUUGUGGAAUGCAGAUACCAACCUCCGCACAUAGAAAUGAAAGAUCAAGCAAAAUAGUAGAUUUGAAAACUUAGUCAAGAAGAAAAAACCGAAAAAACUCCCCCAUGCACUCAACAUGAUAGAAGGUUUGAGAAUGAGGACCGUUUGGGCAAAGGCAAACAAAAUUAUUGUUCUCGAACCUGCACCGUCCCUCACUUCCCUCGCAGUUGCUGCAAUUAAUUGCAGUCCAGUUCAAAAGGAACCCCAUCUCCGUAAUCUCACUAUAAUUCAUAGUCCUUAAGCUAGCGAUAUUUGGAUUGACGUCAAUAGGUAGUAGCAGGAGCUGACCGCAGAAUACAAAUCUAUUUCCUGCGAUCCUUCCCUACGAUCCUUCCUCAAGAAAAAAAAAGCAAAAGAGUGGUGGGUGGAGUUGCUAGUACAGUCCACGGGAUAUGUAAAACCUAUGGGCUGCUAGGUGCAAUUGUGGUUGAAGAAUAAAUCGGCAUUUGCGGAACUAAGAUUGAAAGACGUCCUUUCAAUGCUGAUAUUACGCAGCAGAGCACCAUAGGAGUCCAGGUACACGAGGGCAUUAACCAGAAGGAACGAAUGGUUUGCAUAGAAGAUAUCCUCGAUCAUGAACUCACUGUCCGAGAAAGUAGGCUAGGGUAUAUAUCUUUGAGGUAAUCUGGAAAUUCGGAUAGCCACAAUAGGACUCCUGCUUGCCGGAAAUCCAAAAAGGGUAGCUGAUGUUUGCGCCAUAUCCGCAAUUCAGUGGCACGCAGGCCUCGUAUUGUGCAUCCUCUGCUACAGCCUGAUAGACUAAUCUGGCGAAGACGACAACGAGGACUAAGCUGAAGCUUUGGAGAUUCAUUUGGGACUGGAAGAAGGAGGCAGAGCAGGAUGGGUGAGAAUUCAAAUGGAGUUGGUUUGAAUUGGCCCUAGCUCAAAUGGCAAGCGAAGCGAGGUAGAAAGUGGUCCUAUGCGUGCAUUAUUCAAGCACCCAAUGUAAAUGCAUCAUUGUCUGCAUCGGAAAAUCUGCCCCAGAAAAUCUUGAGGAACAAACCAUGAAACUUCAGUCAAAAGGACCUCUUAAUUACAGUUAGGCCGGAGGGCCCGCCAAGGUGUUGAAAUGUUGACAUUGAUGAUGAUUUGGCUAACCAUUAGGAACAAACCAUGAAACUUCCGAGCAAAAUCUCACGUUUUACAAAUCCUGGGAAAAUUACCAAUUGAGUUUUAAAUUUAAUAUAUGAGUGUCAAUUCAGUCCUAAAUUUUUCAAAUUCAUUAAUAUACUCUUUAAUCUUUGCUAGAAAUUCCAAUACACUUUUUCCGAAAAAUUGCGAUCGAAUAUUGCUGAUAUGGCGAUCCUUAAGUUGUUAAUGUCAACUUGCCACUUAAGAUGAUCGGUGAUAAUUGUACGUCAUGCCAACAAUUUCUUGUAUCAAUUGAUCAAAAUGAUUAUAUUGAAAUUUCACGUAAAUAUUUACCAUUAUAUUGGCAAAAUUGAAAAACUUACGACUAAAUUGAUAUUUGUACAAUAAGUUUAUGACCAAUUUGAUAAUUAUCUUUUUUUAUAGCAUAUUUCCUGGGGGUUUUUUCUAAUAAUAUAUACUGCUAAGAAUAAUAUUAAUACAUAUAUAAUGGGGAGAUUUCGUCCAAAAUUAAUUCAUAAAAAAUCGAGUACUUGAGUUAUCAAAUGCUGUUCGUCUUGUAAAUAGAAUCGAGCCCCUGAUAAUUUUGUCUAUCAUGGACGGAAUUAAUCACCGAUCUGAUGAGAACGAGUCAUACUGUGGCGUUGGUCCGCAGUGACGUCAAGCACGAAGAAUUCAUAUUUAUCUGCAAGAGGCGGGGACUCUCGUCCACUUUCGAUUUCAUUCAUAUGACUUACUGCGCUACGCGGGAAACAUGUUUGCCUGGGAAGGAAUAUCUCAGUCUUGUACAUAAUUAUUUAAUAAAACAACCGUGUUUCCCUUCUGGCGCACAGAUUAUAUUAAGGUAGUUGAAAGUGGAGAAAGGCAGGGUAUAGUCACCCAUAAAAGGGAAAAAAAAAUGACCCCUAAGAAGCAUCCACACUUUUCAAAAGCCUUCGCGUUGUGUCGGACAUUUUGAUAUGUAUUCAACACUCUUGAACGCUCUCUGACACUCGAUAACUAAUCAACAUAAAAUUAUAAAAGACUGAUUCUACCAAAGAUAUUGCUGCUUGACGUUAAAACACAUACAUCUUAUCAAAAAGGAGCUUAUUACUUUGUAAGACCGUGACAUUUUGCUCAUAUUCGAAUUUGAACUCUGAAGUUUAAUCUCUAAUGAGGAUGAAUUGAGGAAAUAAAGAUUGAUACAAAAUAAGUACAUCGAUCUUACCAUUAAUACUUCCGCCAAGAUGAGCUCCUUCAAAUCAGAAUAGCAGAUUAGAAAUAUGCAGAGUAGAAAAUUGUGGAAUUUCUAUUAUUUGAUGAAUCAUAAUGAAGUAUGGAGUUUGUUGAUAGGUUUUAUGAGAUAACUAUCUAAGAUAAUAUAUCAAAUUUACAUAACCAAAUUUGUAACCAGCUGCCAUCAUUUCCAAGAUACUGGACAGGCAGUUGUCAAGAGGCUAGUGUAGCAGAGCUAGGAUCAGGUCGGGGGAGGGGGGUGUUUCCAAAUUUGGUUACAAAUUCCCCCCACAGUUAACCAUUCCGUUUUAUUUACGUGGAACAGGGGCUCCAAUAACCACGGCCUUUGUUUGAGGUCCUUAGGCUGGACCAAGCUCUUAGAUAUAUGUAUUAUUAUAAAAGAUGGAAAAUCAAGGAAAAAAUAUCGUCUAACCUACACGGAUGUGACUGAAGAGAGAGAGAGAAAGAGAGAGAGAGAGAGAGAGGGCAGCGGCCAAUACGUGCCUUGCCGUGUGGGUGGCCACCAAAGCUCUCUCCUGGGCUCUGAUGCACGAAUCCAACGGAUGGGCUUCAAAAUGAGGCCCGUUCUUCAUGGUUAAUUGGUGUGACAAACUUAAUGUGUCUGUGAAAUAUAAAAUGAUCGGCGACCUUUCCCUUUUUUCAUUGUAUAUUUUUUAUUUUUAUAUUUGUUCUAAGUUAUUAUUCUUAUUUGUUAUUAUUUUUAUUUCAGUUAUGCCUAUGCCAUGCCGUAGUGAAAAUUUUAACAUCACAAUGUCCCUAAUUGUGAUGGGAUGUAGCGAGCAAUGUGCAUACUAAAUAAUACGGGAACGAUUUUUGGGUUAGGGGGGCCAAUUUAUGUCAUAAAUUAGAUCCCUAAUAUUGAUAAAAAUGAAAUAGAGACCCAUAUAUGAAAAUUUCGGUGUCAACAAUACACUUUUCACUUAUUUUUGAGUCAUACUUGUAGAAAUUCAACCUACACAUCUAAUCAAAAAUUUAUGAAAAGCUCAAUAAUCAUUAAUUUUGUAGUUGCUUAGUCUGUUACAAACUGUGUUUGUCUUGUAUAAUUGAUAAUGAACAAUUCCAACUUGAGUCAUUACUCUCUUGUAGAUACGAACUUUCACAUGGACAAGCCGCAAGCGAUCUUGAGGGUGAUGAAAAAAUGGGUUUGGGAGGAAUUUGCAAGGCCUCAACACUUCCUUUUAGCAUCUCCACAACUUGGGUCAUACAUGGUCAAGCUCUUGGAUCGAUUUGAAUGCACCAUAGGCCUAUUAUAAUCAUCUUCUUCAUGAUUGCUUCAUCCUCCUCAUUUGUGAUCCCAAGCAGUCCAAGCUCUUGUUGAAGCUCUAGGCAUCAGUAGACCCAAUGAGGGAAGUAUGCCUCACUGGUUCGAUCUAUUGUGACUUCAAUAUUUUUUCUCUUACCGACCAUCUCUAGAACCAUCAUACCAUAGCUAUAGACAUCCGAUUUGUGAGAAACCACUCCAAUGUUCCUUAUGAUCAACUCUAGAGCAAUGUAUCCUACAAUGCCCCUAGCACAAAGCAAUGACACGAUGCUCUCUUCUCUUGGGCAUAUUUUGGCAAGACCAAAGUCAGAAAUCUUGGGACAAUAGUUUGUGUCAAGGAGAAUGUUAUGAGGCUUUAUAUCAAAGUACAAGAUCCUUGUUUUGCAUCAUCUAUGCAAGUACUCUAGCCCAUGAGCUAUGCCGAGCAAAAUCUAGUACAAUGUGUCCCAACUCAAUUGUUGAUCUAGCUCCAAAGUGGAAGAGAGAGUCUUGAAUUAAUUACCUAUUCCAACUUUAAGACCAAUCUUUUUGUUUCCUGGGACUGUCGUCAUCAAAAGUGAAAAAUGUGUCAACGAAUUGCAAACGGAUGAUUUCAAAGUGUCUAAGAUAUAUAAAGAUCAGGGUACAUCAUGAGGUUAUAGCACAUUCCAUUUCAAGAAAGAAAAUCCAUAGCCAUUAGGGCUAGGGAAAUUGGCAUUUAUGUAAACAGGUAUGCUAACUGCAGAGUAGCAGGAGCUGAUGGCAGAAUAGUAAUUCAUUUCCUGCAAUUGCUUCCAUGGAAAAACUAGGAAGAACAGAAGCCAUGGCUAUUCUAUCAGAUCGCUCUCGGUUCAUGUAUCGUUUUAGGCAGAAAUCCAAACAAAGCUUUUCGGGCAAUGUAGUGGAUGGUACGAACAAGACAUUCAACACACUACAGAAGUCGAUGUUGAACCGUUUCGUGGUCACGUACCUACCCAAAAAGAGAGGCUAAGCUCUCAUGCUCAAUUCAGAAGAGAAAACAAAGACGAAAGUGUGCCAACUGCUAUGUCUCAUCCACAUAAUAUUGCCAUCUCAGUAAAGAUGCCCGGUAUGGAAGAAUAUGAUAACAAACAAAGGAAAAAUACCAUAAUGUGGCUGUCCUCUUUACCUCACUCAUGCACAUUACCUCACUACUGUACAUAUCGGCAAUCUUCAGAAGAUCUCGUCUCCUGCAAUGGCAACCUAACCACUGGCAUUGGGUGUCGAAUCAUUGCUAACCCAUUUCGCUGCAACUGAAACCGGUGAAAAUGUUAAUGGAUUGUUCUUCAACAGAACAGCAUCAUCUGAUAUAUUAUUCGUUUGGUCUGACUUCUCCAUGUUGUCUCCACGGUUUUGUAUUUCCUUUAGUGUAUCCAAUACCUCUUCCAUGGAUGGCCUCAUGUCGUGGCCUUCUUCCAAGCACUGGAACCCCAACUCUGCCACCGCAGUAAUCAUUUCUCUAGUCCUAUUGUCUGUAUCAAACCCAAGAUUUUGAUCUACAAGCUCGUGCAACGCGUGGCUUUGGAUCUUGUUAAUGGCCAGGGCGGAUAGAUUUAUCUCAUGGCGAUGCCUCAUGAUAUCAACGGCUGGCAAGGAAGAUAUGAGCUCCAUUAAGACUACUCCAAAGCUAUAUACAUCGCUCUUCUCAGUCAAUUGGUAGCAUUGAAGGUAUUCUGGAUCAAUAAAACCUGGUGUUCCUUGCGGAGCAGUUGAAACAUGAGUGACAUUAACUGGGAAGAGGCGCGACAAAUGGAAAUCCGCAACCUUGACUCUAAAAUUCUCGUCCAGUAGGAUGUGGCUGGUCUUCACAUCUCGGUGGAUAACAUCAGAUGCGUGGAGAUACACCAAUGCGUUUGCGGUUUCUAUGGCUAUGUUCAAACGGGUGGACCAUGGGGGUGAGCUGGGUUUAGCUAAAUCGCCAUGAAUAUGAUCAGCCACUGUGCCGUUUGGCACAUAUUCAUACACAAGCAGGAGUCUACGGCUCUGCCGGGAGGUGCAGCCAUACAGUGAGACUAGAUUUGGGUGGCGUAAGCAAGCAAGUAUUUCGACUUCAUUCAUGAACUGCUCAACUCUUUUGUAGUUGCUUUCAUACAAUCUCUUGACUGCAACUACACGUCCAUCUUGAAGUUUGCCUGCAAAACUUGUUAAGGUUAUGGCAAAAUCAUUGAUGACGGGUUCACUAACUAUGGACAGUUUUAGUGUUGCUCUUACCUUUGAAAACGGUGCCAAAGCCUCCAUCACCAAGUUCUGCUGCUGGAUCGAAAUUGUUGGUAGCAUUCUUAAGUUCGUUGUAGUCAAAGAUGGGCAGUCCAUGGUAGACACUGCCCUUCUCAAAAUCUGUCCUGGAGGAGUAAAUUGAGGAGGUGCUUCUCGAGGCAAAGGAUGACUGCUUAUAUUUUUUUCUUUGGCGAGAUCGAUAGAUGAAGAUAAUAAUUGCUAUGAUCGCAAUUCCGCCUGCUGUUCCACUUGCUGAAGCAAAACCUGAUUUUAGGGGAGAGAGAGCACAUCAUUAGAAAUAUUGAUUCCAUUGAGCAAUGAUGCAAGCUUACUGUAAAAAAUUCGGGACAAAUUGCAGAGGAGAAUGUAGAGAAGUGGAAGAGAGUCUUGAAAUAUUUACCUACUACUAGUUUCCGUCUUUUCUUUGAUUCUCCUGAGACAGUAGUCAUCAAAAGUCAAAAAUUUGUCAACGAAGUGCAAACAGGUCAUUUAAAGGUGUCUAGGAGAAAUAAAGAUCAGAGCAUAUCAUGAGGUUAUAGCUCAUUCAGUUUCAAGAAAGAAAAAAUGCCAUGAUCGAGUGAAAAUAUUACAAAUUCAACAGUUUGGCUCGAUCCUCCUAUUGAAUUUUUCACGGAUCAAUUAGUGGCAUGCUACCAGAAGAAAUUGGAAACACAUAAAAAUGGAUAUAUGGCCGAUUGACUAACGAGUAUGGACAUUAGCUAAAAUCCUGAAUUUCUAGAGUUAUCAGGGGAUGAACAGGAAGACAGGAAAAUAAAAUUUCUUGCUGGUAUAAAAGUAGCAAACACCCUGCAAUAUGAUCAACAAUGUGGUAUCAGAUGCGGAGAUAGAUAAAACUUUCUGUGCCACUAAUUGAAUCGGCAGUAUGUUUCUAGACAUGUCUCAAAACUUUCGGCUUCUAAGCAGAACUAUCGUUCUGCUGAUAAAAAGAAGUGGGCCGCUCAUGUUCAGGCAAGAACUUUCAAGCUUCUUGAAUCAUGAACACCCAAUUGAUAACUCGUAAUUUGUUGCAGAAAGAAACACGAACAUUUCCAUUACUCUUUCUUUCAAUUCCUCCAGGUUUGCGAACAUCAAAAUCUACGAGGUUCCAAUAAGUUAUCUUGGAACCCAAGAGAUCAGAGAGUUUCAUUUGCAGCAGUAAGCAAGUCUAGAAUCUAAGCUAAGGCGAAGAAAUUGAAGAAGUUAAAGCACAUUAUCCACAGCACGUAGAAACGAAAGAUCAAGCAGAACAGUAGACCCGAUGUUGGUGUUUGUGCGGAAGCGUGUGUUUGAUGUGUGUGCAAGGUGUGUUAAUGUGUGUGUGCAAGGUGGUGUUAGAAGAGAAUACAAGGGAACAAAAAAGGAACUUUUAUUUAUUGUUUAUUGUAGUACAAAGGGAAGGGGAGGAGCUUGCUUACAUUUCUUCUUCUACUAUGCUCUCCCCUCUUUCUUAUUUAUAAGGUGCUCUACCAACAUUCUAGAUUUGUGUAGAAUGUUGUCCACUUAGACUUAAUCCAGAGAGUUCUAGAUUGUAAUUUAUCAUCUCUUCUUCUAGAGAGUUCUACACAUAUGCUUCUACAUUUUUCUUUGCCACCUAAGCUAGAUUUUCUUAAGGAUUUUUCUUGACUUUUCUAGCUCAAAUCUUUAAUGAAGUUUCUAGAAUUUGGAUCAAUAGUUCAACACCCGAAAACUCAGUCAAGAAAAAAAAUAAAACCGAAUCAACCAUGCAUUUACCAUCAUUGCAGGAUUGAGAAUAAGGACCAUCUUGGCAAAAGCAAACGAAAUUAUUGUUCUCGAAUCCACACCGUCCCUCACUUUCCUCACAGUCGUUGCAAUCAAUUGCGGUCCAGUUCAAAAGGAACCCCAUCUCCAUAAUCUUACGGUAAUCCAUAGUCGCCAAGCUAGUGGUAUUUGCAUUAACAUGAACAGGUACACUAACUGGAGAACUGCAGGAGCCGACGGCAGAAUACACAGCCGUUUCUUGCAAUGCUUCCUUGGGGAAAAGAGCAAAAGAAUAGUUGUAGUUGCUAGGACAGCUCACUGGAUAUGCAAAAUUUGGCGGCGGCAGUGAGGUGCAAUUAUUGUAGAAGAAGAAAUCGGCAUUAGUGGAACUCAGAUUGAAAGGCGUCCUUUCAAAGCUGAUAUUAUGUGGCGGAGCACCGCAGUUGUCAUUGUACACAAGGGCAUCAACCAGGAGGAUAGAAUGGUUUGCAUGAAAGAUUUCCUUGAUGAUGAACUCACCCUCCGGGAAAUUCAGGACAGGGUAUUUCUCUACACAGGUAAUCUCAAAAUUCGGAUAGCCACAAUAGGACUCUUGCUCCCCUGAAAUCCAAAAGGGGUAGCUGAUGUUGGGGCCAUAUCCAUAGUUCCAAGGUGCACAGGUCUCGUACUUCACAUCAUCCGCUACAGCCUGAUAGACUAAGCUGGCCAGGACAACGACAAGGACCAAGCGGUGACAACAAGCUCCGCAGAUGAAGCUUUGGAGAUUCAUUUGGGACUGGAAGGAGGCAGAGAGGAUUGCAGAAACAGGCAGGAGAGGGUGUGGAAAGCAAUUUGCAGAAAAGUCAAAAUGGGGUUGGUUUGAACUGGUCCUAGAACUCCAGCCGCUGUCGUUGUGCUGGUUCAUCGACUUAGAAGAGAGGAAUACCGAACGGAGACGGAAAGUGGCUCCGGAGCGCGCAUUAGUCAAACGCCUCAUGGCUUACGCGGAGGAAUUUUUCGCCCCUUGGAAAAAAAAAAAAAGGCUUAAGAGGAACAAACCAGGAAACUUCCUAGUCAAAGGGGCCUUAGGUUGGAGGACACACCAACAUUUUUUUCGAAAUGUUGACUUUGAUGAUCUUGCCUAAUCAUUAGGAACAUAUCCUAACUAGGCAAUGAAACUUAAUUAUUGGUUCUUGAUCUUUUUUAUCUUUUAUUUUUUAAUUUUCCAAUACCAAACUUUAGUGUUAAUGAAAAAUUAAUCACAUUUCCCUGGAUUCUUAUCUGACGUCGAAGUUCCUACAACCCUAAGUGUAGCUUACGACCCAACGGAGUCUUGGAAUUAGUCAACGUACGUUGACUUCGAUGAUCCUAUAGUCUAAAUUAUGGGCCCAAAGCCACAUUGAUGGGCCCAUUUUUGGGCUCCCUUUCAUGGGCCUGAAUUAAGAGUCAAAUGGGGGCCGAAAGGAAGUCCAAUCUAAAUUGCCUUACUCAGGAGCUCCUCCUCCGUUGACCAUUGACAAUUCAACAUUGUGACGUGUUUGGCUCGCAACGGACCUUCGUGACUAGUCAGCGAAAACGACUCUCUCUCUCUCUCUCUCUCUCUCUCUCUUUCUUUCUGUCUGUCUCUCUCCCUCUCUCGUGAAGAAUUGCUGGCCAAGCAGUAGCUAGGUUGAAAUUUCCUCUUGCUUUGUGCCACCAAAGAGAAAAACGAGAGAAAAGUCUUAAUUCUUGUCCCGAGAUAUUCUUAGGGGUGCAUGAUAACCAAAAUUUAUGUUCCAGAAAUAAUUUUUCUAUUCCAGACCUGUUUUUGGAAUAUAAACCUAUUUGAUAAACCUACUCAGUUUUUUUAUUUCUGAAAUAGAUUUCUAUUCCAGAAAUUGAUUUGGAAGAGAAAUCAGAAAUAAUUUCUCCCACUAAACCCUAAUUUCGGUGAGUCCUCCCUCAUCUCCUCUAUGUCUACCUCCUCCUCCUCCUUUGCCUCUCCUCAUUUUAUUAAAAAUAAAAAUAAAUAAAAGUAAAUAUAUUCAUUUUAUUCAUUUAAAAAUAAAUAUAAAUUUAUUCAAAUAAAUUUAUUAAAAAUAAAUAAAUUAUUUUUAUUUAUCAUUUUAUUUUUAGUUUAUUAAAAAUAAUAAAUUAUUUUUAUUUAUCAUUUUAUUUUUAGUUUAUUAAAAAUAAUAAAUUAUUUUUACUAAAAAUAUUUUUAUUUGCCUUGAGUGUUUUGCCAAAUAAAUUUAUUUUUAUUUUUAAUUUUUAUUCAUUUUAAAAUAAAUUUAUUCGUAAAAUAAAAUAAAAUAAAUAAAAUAAAAUAAAUUUAUUUUUAAGGAUAUUUUUAUUUUAAAAUAAAAUAAUAUUUUUAUUUUAUUUUUUAUGAUUUAUUUUAUUCUUUAUUUUUUUGUAACUAAAUCAUUUUUAUUUUUAUUUUUUAUAUUAAAGGUCGUCAGUCGUCGCCACGGCCAUUCAAAAGAAAUAAAUUUUAUGUCGUUAUCAAACGGUUAUUUUUGCUUAGAAACUCUUUUAGAAAUAGAAAUAGAAAAAUCUAUUUCUGUUCCAGAAACUAUUUCUAGAAUAGAAUGAUUGUCAUGCGCGCCCUUAGAUGAAGGAAGACAAAAUAAAGAGCAGUGCCAUCGAAUUUUCAACAAAAGAAACAAGCGGAUCACAUUCGGUGAAAUUGGAUUUUUCUCUGGACAAAUUCUUGGGGUUCAUUGGCCAUAUGAUCUCUGUGGAACUAAUUGAAACUAACUCCGCAGAAGCUCAGGGUUUGGAGAUUUCGUGCAUAUUCCAAAUGGUCGAUAAUAGAAUCCCAUGCGCAAGUAUGAACAAGAACCCACCAAAUGACGUAGAGAAUGAUCACCUGGGAGUGCUACCAAAAGAACGUACCAGGGUCAUUGCAGGUACGAGGGUGGGGUUUGUCUCGGCGAUAACAUGUGAAACUAGAUGAUGAAGAAGAGGCGUUGCUACCGCAAAAUCCGUCAGAAGAAGCACAAGUUGGGCACUCAGGGUGGUCACUAUACUGAACAUCGAACCCUUGAUUCAAAGCUUCCUGCAAGCUGAUAUUGCGUCUUCCAACAUCAUCGAGUGCACUCCAAAGAACAGGAACCUUGAUGCUCGUGACACAGUUGGUGAUGAAACUACAGAGCCCUCUGUCCAAGAAGAUGUCAUCUAUGAAGAAAGCCAACUUCCUAACGACAUUGUAGAAGCACUCAAACUCGUUGCUUAUGUUCUUCAUUGUGUCCAAACAUCCAUAGAAGAUGUUGAGGCUCUUAACGACUGGGGUCAUAUGGAAGAGAGUGGAAUCCAUUAUGCUAGUAUUCCUAAACUCGUGCAAACACGUACCCUCCAUCAGAUCUAUCCUAGUGAUUGUCAUCGUACGAAGAUGUUGAUCAAUCUUGAGGACUCGAUACUUCUGCUCUUGGUACUCAAAUAUAGGGAAUUCGUCCUCAUAGCACUCGACCCUGAAUGGUGGAAGUCCACAGAAUUGGGGUCGGCUGCUUCCCCAGAAAGGAUAAGUAAUAUUUGAGAUGGUUCCGCAAUUAAAAGAGCGGCGGCAUUCAGUAUAGUAGACAUCAUCGUCUCCCUCACAUAAAAGAACUUGUGGGACGAUAAGGAUGAUGAGGAUGAAGACGAGCACGGAGCUUGUAGGGGAGGAGAGGAGGAGAGUAGCUGUGUCACCCAUUUGAGUAAGUUCAUGCUCUCACGGGUGGAGAAUAAAUUGUGGAACGAGGCUUUAGAGUUCAGAGGGGCAAGCUGAGGAUGUAGAAAUUCUUUUAGUAUUCACUUUCUCCGGACUCAAGCGUGAAAGAGAUGGAUGUCGCUAAUUCUUCUUCAGUAUGAUAUAGAAAUCUAUUUUGACCGUCGACUUUGACCGAGACCAGUUUUAGUCUUCUGAAAUUUCGUGGGGGGAAAUCAAAGGGUUGCUAUCAAGCAUUGAAACUGGGUCUGGGGGUGGAAGUGAUGAGGAAGACAGAGGAAACAUGCAAAGCAAUUUCCUCCCGAGUUCUUCCUGUGAAGUUGAAAUUGAUAAGUGAAACCCUUUUUUCAAGGUUCCCACUGUGGAAAAAGCCUAGCCCAUUUGAAGGGUCAAGAGUUGACGCUGUGGAAACUAAAGAACAAGUCAAAUUUAAAUUUUAGGUUGAUUGACUUAUGCUAACGUGUUCCGAUUUAAAUUACUGGUCCAUUAUGUGAAAUUUUAAGGUAAACUCGGAGCAUCAUCGCUCGUCAUAUUUGAACCGUUGGAUCUUGCAGGUUUGCAGAUACAGACAUAAUGAUCCAACAGUUAAGGCAAGGAAGGUUGCAGAGGAAAAUGAGAUUGUGAACCUUUAGGGGCAGGGGUGGGUCGUUUUCCAAUUGGGUAUGCCCAGCAAUACUUCUCAUUGAACAACUAUAGCUAUUUGAAAACCACAUAUUGGGUGAGAGUAAGCAUACAUACCCGAAGGGAUAAUUCUCGGUGCUGGCGGUUUCGAAGGGACAUUUGCUGGUAUUGGCGAUCCGGGGCAGGUCGUCAGAUAGGGACCAUCAGGGCAAAAACAAUUGAAAUUUUCCCCUGUCCAGCCAUACCCACAUCUUCCCCCAGAUUUAUUGCAACUUUCGCACUGCGAAGAAGUGUUGAGAAUCCAGGUGAUCUCAAAGCCUUUGUUGAGGAUCUCACUAAUCGUAGCACUCUCGUUGCCAUCCAGCCAAGGUGGUGGAAAACCUAGGGUUUCACUUUUUGAAAUCGGGACAUGAACAAUGGAACUGCAUGGGUCAGGCAGUGGCUUUGGAAGGUCGACCCCGAGAAAAAAGUAGCCAUCUUGAGACUCGGGACAAGAGAACCGAUAAGGUGGAGAGGUUGGCCACGGAGGGUUCGGCCAUGAGUAGCAAUCAAAGAAUAAGGUGGAAUUGACGUCAUUGGAAGUGUAGUUGAAGAGAUUCAAAUCUAAAGUGGUUUCAUUAUAUGUUUCAAGACAUAUAUCUUCUGAUAAAUCCAACCUCACCACCACCAGGAUCUGUGUGCUGGUAUUCAUGUGGAUCACUCGAUAUUUCAGGGACUCCAUGGACAGGGUCAGGCUAUCUCCGUCGCAGUCAAGCUCGUAGUCUGGAUGCCCACAGUAUGUCGGUUGCUUAUCAAGCCUGAAAGGAUAGCUGACUUCUUGACCUCCGCAAUUAGAAGGAGCGCACUCUUGGAACAGUGGGAACGCGCUGGCAGCUGGCGCCAGGAAGUGAAUUUGGAUGGAGAUGAGGAAGAAGAGCAAGGAGAAAGAGGAACAUGUCAUGGUAAGAUCCAUUUGAAGGGAGCUGGAGUUGAAGCAAAACAAGGAGGAGGGUAUAUAUAAAGGAAGAGGAUGCAGAGGGAUAAAUAAUAAUGCUGGUUUUGGAAUGGAGGACUUGACCCGAUGCACUAACGAGAACCUCUCGCCUUGGCCUCACGGAAGACCAAGACUUUGGCGCGGUGAGACAGAACUUAGAGGAAAAGAAGAACAAGGCACGUGGAAACAAAGCCAAGUAGCUUGAGCUGCCAGCUAAUUGUAAACUUGACUUGGGACGACUUGGACUAAUAUUCCCCAUUUUACAAUUCCUACAGGCAGCCCCUGACUAAUCAACGAGCUUUGCCAAUCUCCUUUACAGUUCACUUUGAGGAAACUUCAAUAAGGACCUCACGAACGUCGUUUGCAGCGUCUAGGCAGAAGCAUGGCCAUUACCUAGACUAGAGAACAGAAGGGAUUGGAGCCUCAGAACUGAGGCGGCUAAACUUCCUCUGGACGAGUUUAUCUUUACUUUGCCUAGUUAUCUUUUUUGAACCAAUUUGACAGGUGAUAUUGACAUAUCAUCAGCCCAAACUGCAACUUGGGUAAAAUCACUGGCUCAAAAAGGGCCACGACUCCUCAGCCAAGCCAAAUCGAGCCCAUCUCUUGUGAUUUACGAUGAUGAUGAUCCACAUUGGAUCUUUAGCUAGGAAGCAAUAGCUUGCCAUCUUUUUCAUGACAGAAAUUGCUCUGGCCUCAAGUACUGAAGAUAAGACUUGAGCAGCGGCAGUCAGUGUAGUGGACACCGUCGUCUCCCUUGCAUAAAAUAACUUGCGAAACGAUGAGGAUGACGAGAACGAUGACGAGGAUGGAGUGUGAAGGGAAGGAGAGAAGGAUAAUGACUGCAUCACCCAUUUGAGUAAGUUCAUGCUCUCAUGGAUGGAGAAUAUCAUGUGGAAUGAGGGUUUGGUAUUCAGGGGGGCAAGCUGAGGGUGGAGAAAUUCUUUUUUUAUUUACUUACUUUCUCCGGACUGAAGUGUGAAAGAGAUGGACAUCGUUAAUUCUUCCUCAAUAUAAUAUAGAAAACUAUUAUGACUGUUGACUUUGACCGAGACCAGUUUCAGUCUUCUGAAAUUUCUUGGAGGAAGGAAAUCAAAGGGAUGGCUAUCGAGCGUUGAAACUGGGUGUGAGGGUGGAAGUGAUGAGGAAGACACAGGAAACAUGCGAAGCAAUUUCCUCAGGAGUUCAUCCUAUGUAGUUGAAAUUCUAAAGUGAAACCUUUUUUAAGGUUCUCACUGUGGAAAAAUUCUAGCCCAUUUGAGGGGUCAAGAGUUCGUGUUGCGGAAAGUAAAGAACAAAUCAAACCUAAAAUUUAGGUUAAUUGACUUAUUGGUUAAACGCUUUCCAAUUUAAAUUAUUGGUCCAUCACGUGAAAUUUUACGGUAAACUUGGAGCUUCUUCGCUUAUUGUAUUUAAACCAUUUGAGCGAGUUCAUGCUCUCAUGGAUGGAGAAUAUCAUGUGGAAUGAGGGUUUGUUUAGACUUUAGAGUUCAGAGAGGCAUGCUGAGGAUGGAGAAAUUCUUUUUUAUUCUCUUUUUUCCGGACUAAAGUGUGAAAAAGAUGGAUGUGGUUAAUUCUUCCCCAGUAUAAUGUAUGAAACUUUUUUGAGCGACGACUUUGACCGAGACCAGUUUCGGUCUCCUGAUAUUUCAUGGAGGAGGGAAAUGGAAAAAGAUGGCGUGGUUAAUUCUUCCCCAGUAUAAUGUAGGAAACUUUUUUGAGCAACGACUUUGACAGAGACCAGUUUCGGUCUCCUGAUAUUUCAUGGAGGAGGGAAAUGGAAAAAGAUGGCUAUCAAACGUUAAAACUGGGUCUGGGGGAGGAGGCGAUGGGGGAGGAUGUGGUUAGGAAACAUGCGAAGCAAUUUCCUCUGGAUUUCUUCCCAUGUUGUUGAAAUCGAAAGGUGAGAAGCUUUUUCUAGGUUCUCACCGUGAAAAAGUCUAGCCCCUUCGAGGGAUCAGGAGUUGGCGUCAGGAGAAGUAAAGAACAAGUAAAACCCAAAAUUUUCGUUACUUGACUUAUAGGCUAACGCAUUCCGAUUUGAAGUACUUGUCCAUGAUGUGAAACUUUACAGUAAGCUCGGAGCAUCUUCGCUUGUCGUAUUUAAACCAUUGGAUCUUGUGGGUUUGCAGAUACAGACCUAAUGAUCCAACAGUUAAAGCAAGGAAGGUCGUUGAGAAUGGGGUGAUAAAGUUUUGGGACUUGAGAGUCUAAAUUGUAUCGUGACCAGAAAAAUGAGAUUGUCAGGAUUCAGGGGCGUGAGCGGUCGUUUUCCAAUUAACAAGCAAAGGGAUGGGUAUGCCCAGCAAUCCAUCUAAUUGAACAGCUUUAGCUAAUUGAAAACCACAUACUAGGUGAGAGUAAGCAUACAUACUCGAAGGGAAGCUUCCCGGAACUCGCUUUCCGUGGCAGGUCGGUGAAUGGGCUCCAUCAGGGCAGAAACAAUUGAAUUGAUGCCUUAUCCAGUCAUAACCGCAUCUUCCCCCUGAUUUGUUGCAAUUUUCGCACUGCGAUGUGUCAGCAAUCCAGGUAAUCUCAAAGCCUUUCUUCAGGAACUCACUAAUAGUAGCACUAUCAUUGCUGUCCUUCGGUGGCGGUGGUAGACCGAGAGCUUCAAUAUGUGAAAAUGGGACAGGGACACUGAUUUUGCAUAGCUCGUGUAGCGGGUUUUCAAUGGUCGCAUUGGGAGCAAAGUAGCCAUCUCCAGACCAGGGACAAUAGAACCGAUAAUAAGGUUGAAGGGACGUUGAUGAAUCGCAAUCGUAGAAUAACGUGGAAUUAGAGUAAGUGGAAGCGUAAUUGAAAAGACUGCAGUUUAAAGUGGUGUUGACAUGUGUUUCAGGACAUAUAUCGUCCCAUAAAUCCGUCCUCGCCACCUCAAGGAUAUGCGUGCUCCAAUCUAUGUGGAUCACCCAAUAUUUCAGGGACUCCAUGGAAAGGGUCAGGUUAUCUCCAUCACAGCCGAGCUCAUAACCUGGAAACCCACAAUGAUUUGGUCGUUCAUUAUGCUUGAAAGGAUAGCUGAUUUCUUGAUCUCCACAAGGAUAGGGAACACAUUCUUGGAACGGCUUGAAGUAGCCAGAAGCAGGCACCAGGAAGUGAAUUUGGAGGGAGAUGAUGAAGAAGAGCAAGGAGAGAGAGAAACACGAAAUGGUAAGAUCCAUUUGGAGGGAGAUGGUGUUGGAGCAAAACAAGAAGGGUACAUACAUAAAGGAAGAGGAUGCAGAGGGAUAAAGAAUGAUGUUGCUUUUGGAACGACUUGACCCCAGUGCACCAACGAGAGUCACAUGAUUUGGCCUCCCGAAGACCAAGACUUUGGCGCGGGGAGACAAAAGCUGAGAGGAAAAGAAGGAGAACAAGGCACGUGGAAACAAAGCCAAGCACCUUGAGCUGCCGGUCAAUUGUAAACUUGACUUGGGACGACUUGGACUAAUAUUCCCCAUUUUACAAUUCCUACUCGCAGCCCUCGACUAAUCAACGAGCUUUGCCAAUCUCCUUGACAGUUCACUUUGAGGAAACUUCAAUAAGGACCUCACGAACGUCGUUCGCAGCGUUCUAGACAGAAGUAUGGCCAUCACCUAGACUAGAGAAUAGAAGGGAUUGGAGCCUCAGAACUGAGGCGGCUAAACUUCAUCUGGACGAGUUUCACUUUACUUUGCCUAGUUAUCUUUUUUGAACUGAUUUGACAGGUGAUAUUGACAUAUCAUCAGCCCAAACUGCAACUUCGGUAAAAUCACUGGAUCAAAAAGGGCCACGACUCCUCAGCCAAGCCAGAUUGGGCCCAUCUCUCGUGAUUUACGAUGAUGAUGAUGAUCCACAUUGGAUCUUUAGUUAGCAAGCAAUAGCUUGCCAUCUUUUUCAUGACAGAAAUUGCUUAGGCCUCAAGUACUGAAGAUAAGACUUGAGUGGCGGCAGUCCGUAUAGUGGACACCGUCAUCUCCCUUGCAUAAAAGAACUUGCGAAACGAUCAGGAUGAUGAGAACGAUGACGAGGAUGGAGUGUGAAGGGAAGGAGAGAAGGAUAGUGACUGCAUCACCCAUUUGAGUAAGUUCAUGCUCCCAUGGAUGGAGAAUAUCAUGUGGAAUGAGGGUUUGGAAUUCAGGGGGGCAAGCUGACGAUGGAGAAAUUCUUUUUUUAUCUACUUACUUUCUCCGGACUGAAGUGUGAAAGAGAUGAAUGUGGUUCAUUCCUCGGUGAAAUAGAGGAAGCUACUCUGAGUGUGGACUUUGACUGGCAUCAGUUUCAAUCUGAUGAUAUUUCGUGAAGGAGGGAAAUAAAAAGAAAGAAUGGCUAUCGGACGUUGAAAUUGGGUGUGGGGGUGGAAGUGACGAGGAAGACAGUGGCCAGGAAACAAGCGAAGCAAUUUCCCCCGGAGUUCUUCCUAUGUAGUCGAAAUUGAGAAGUGAAACCUUUUUUCAAGGUUCUCACCGUGGAAAAAGUCUAGCCCAUUUGAGGGGUCAAGAGUUCAUGCUGUGGAAAGUAAAGAACAAGUCAAACCUAAAUUUUAGGUUGAUUGACUUGUCAACUAACUCGUUCUGAUUUAAAUUACUUGUCUAUGAUGUGAGAUUUUACAGUAAACUUGAAGCGUCUUCGCUUGUCGCAUUUAAAACAUUGGCUCUCGUGGGUUUGCAGAUCCCGAGCUAAUGAUCCAACAGUUAAGGCGAGGAAGGUUUUUGAGUAUAGGGUGUUAAAGUUUUAGGACUUAAAAAGUCUAAAGUGUAACACAAUCAUGCAUGUCACAGCAAGGAUGACUGCACUUCAUUUGAGGGAAGAAUAUGCCCAGCAAUUCUUCUCAUUGAACAACUUUUAGCUAAUUGAAAAACCACAUGUUAGAUGAGAGUAAGCAUACAUACUUGAAGGGACGAUUGCCGGUACUGGCGGUAUUGAAGGGACGCUCGCCGGUAUUGGCGUUUUGUGACAAGUUGCCGGAUAGGGUGCAUCACGGCAAAAACAAUUGAAUUCUUGCCUUGUCCAGUAAUACCCGCAUAUUCCCCCUGAUAUAGCACAAUCUUCGCACAGCGAUGUGUUGGCAAUCCAGGUGAUCUCAAAGCCUUUAUUGAGAAUGUCGCUAAUAUUAUCACCAAAGUCGAUGCCUGCCGAAGGUGGUGGUAAACCUAUAGGUUCACUUUUUGAAAUCGGGACAUGAACAAUGGGACUGCAUCGCUUGGGCAGUAGGUUUGAUAGGUUUACACUGAGAACAAAGUAGCCAAAUUGAGACUCGGGACAAGAGAACCCAUAAUAAGAUGGAAGGGUUGGCCACAAGUGGCAAUUGUAAAUUAAGGUGGAAUUGAGGUUAUUGGAAGUGUAGUUGAAGAGAUUCAAGUCUAAAGUGGUUUCGUUAUAUGUUUCAAGACAUAUACUGUCUGAUAAAUCUGACCUCGCCACCACAAGGAUCUGCGCGCUCCCAUUCAUGUGGAUCACUUGAUAUUUUUGAGACGCCAUGGACAGAAUCGGGCUAAAUCCGUCACAGUCAAGCUCAUAGCCUGGAUACCCACAGUAUUCUGGUUGCCUUAUAAGCCUGAAAGGAUAGCUGAUUCGUAUAUAUCCACAAAGAAAAGGAGCGCAUUCUUGGAAUGGCCGGAAGUAGCCGGAAGCUCGCACGAGGAAGUGAAUUUGGAGGGUGAUGAAGAAGAGCAAGGAGAGAGAGGAACGUGGCGUGGUAAGAUCCAUCCGAAGGGAGAUGGUGUGGAGCAAAACAUGGAGGGGUACAUAUAAAGGAAGAGGAUGCAAAGGAUAAAGAAUAAUGCUGCUUGAGGAACGACUUGACCCUAGGCACUAAUGAGAACCACUUGAUUUGGCCUCCCGAAAGACCAAGACUUUGGCGCAGUUAUAAAAGCUGAGAAGAAAAGAAGAAGAAGGCGCGUGGAAAAAUAGCCAAGUAGCUUGAGCUGGUGGCUAAUUGUAAACUUGACUUAAAGGAGGACUUGGAAUAGUAUUCCCCAUUUUACAAUUCGAACACGCAGCCUCGACUAAUCAACGAGCUUUGCCGAUCUCCUCCAUGGUUCACUCUGAGGACACUUCAAUAAGGACCUCAUGAACAUAAUUAGCAGCCUUCUAGAUAGACGCAGGGCCAUUGCGUAGACCAGAAAACAGAAGGGAUCGGAGCCUCAGUACUGAGGCGGCUAAACUGUUGUCUGGACGAGUUUCUCUUAACUUUACCCAGUCGUCAUUUUUUGAAUUGAUUUUACUGAGAUAUCAACAUAUCAUCAGACUAAACUGCAACUUGGGUACCAUCAGUGGAUCGCAAAGGGCUGUGACUCCUCGGUCAAGCCAAAUCGAGCCCAUCUCUCGUGAUUUACGACAAUGAUGACCCACAUCAGAUCUUUAGGUAGGAAGCAAUAGCUUGCUGUUUCAUGACCGAAAUUGCUUAGGCCCAUAAAUAGCUCAACCCUCAAAGUAUUGAAAAUGAAGACUUCUGCUCUUGGUACUCAAAGAUUGGGAAUUCAUCCUCAUAGUACUCGAGCUUGAAUCUUGGAAGUCCACAGAAUUGGAGUUGGCCGCCUCCCCAGAAAGGAUAAGUAAUAUUUGCUACGGUUCCACCAUUAAAAGAGUAUUGGCAUUCGGUAUAGUGGACGUCAUCGUCUCUGUCAAUGAGGACAACGAGGACAAAGACGAGGAUGGCGUGUGAAGGGGACUGGAUGCCUCAACCAUUUGAGUGAGUUCAUGCUCUCAUGGAUGGAGAAUAUUAUGUGGAAUGAGGGUUUAUUUAGACUAUAGAGUUGAGAGAGGCAUAAGGAGGAUGGAGAAAUUCUUUUUUAUUAACCUUUUUCUGGACUGAAGUGUGAAAAAGAUGGAUGUGGCUGAUUUUUCCCCAGUAUAAUAUAGGAAACUUUUCUGAGCGACGACUUUGACUGAGACCAGUUUCAGUCUCCUGAUAUUUCGUGGAGGAGGGAAAUGGAAAAAGAUGGCUAUCGAACGUUAAAACUAGGUCUGGGGGAGGAGGUCAUGGGGAAGAUGAGGCCCGGCAACUUGCAAAGCAAUUUCCUCCGGAUUUCUUUCCGUGUUGUUGAAAUCGAAAGGUGAAAACUUCUUUCAAGGUUCUCACUAUGAAAAAGUCUAGCCCCUUUCUGGGGUUAAGAGUUCGGGUCAUGAGAAGUAAAGAACAAGUCAAACCUAAAAUUUUCGUUACUUGACUUAUAGGCUAACGCAUUCCAAUUCAAAAUACUUGUCCAUGAUGUGAAAGUUUACAGUAAACUUGGAGCAUCUUACCUUGUCAUAUUUAGACUGUUGGAUCUUGCAGGUUCGCAGAUACUGGCCUAAUGAUCCAACAGUUAAGGCAAGGAGGAAGGUUGUUGAGAAUAGGGUUGAGAAAGUUUCAAAACUCAGAGUCUAAACUGUAACAUGAUCAUGUCGUAGCGAGGAUGAAAUGACUGGACUUCAUUAUAUUAGAGGGAAGGGCAUGCCAGCAAAAAUGUGAUUGUUAGGCUUUUAGGGGCAUGAGCGGGUCUUUGUCCGAUUAACAAGCAAACCCAGCAAUUCUUCCCAUGGAAGAAUAGCUAAUUGAGAAGGACAUAUCAGGUGGGAGGUGGGAGUAAGCAUACAUGCUCUGUCGGUCGCAAGCUAGUGAAUGGACUCCGUCAGGGCAUAAACAAUUGAAUUCUUGCCUUGUCCAGCCAUACCCACAUCUUCCCCCUAAUUUGUUGCAAUUUUUGCAUUGCAAUGUGUCAACAAUCCAAGUGAUCUUGAAACCUUCGUUUAGGACCUUACUAAGAACAGCCCUAUGGUCGCCACCCUCCGAAUGUGGUGGUAGUAGACCUAGAGCUUCUCUUGAAAUUGGGACAAGGACAUUGAAUUUGCAUUGCUUGUGUAGCAGUUCUGCAAGGUCCACAUUGGGAGCAGAGUAGUGACAACUAAACAUGGGGAUAAGUAUACUAGAAGUGCUAAAAGUUGUGUACGGUGCUCACUUUAAUGCCAAAAGUUUUUGUUGACUUACUUAAGUACUAAAUUGAAAGAAAAAAGAUCACUUUAGUACUAACGGUGAUAAAUUCCAGCUAAACUGAUUACGUAUAAUUUAUAAUUAAAAUUAUAAUAUGACUUGGCAAAAUUUUUAAAAAAUCUAGUCCAUGUGGUAUUUUUCACGUGGUAUGCUUGGCACUGAAGUGAUUUUUUUUAAUAACAUCUGUCACUAAAGUGAUCAUUUUAAAUAAAAUUUGGCACUUAAAUAAUCACUUUUAAUAAAAUUUCGCACUUCAUGAUCACGUUUAAUAAAAUUUGGCAUUUAAAUGAUCACUAUUUACAAUUUUUAGACGAUAUCGUUUGGGGGUUAUAUGCUGACUAGGCACGCCAACGAGCCACGUAGGACUGAAAAAUUAAUAAAAUUUAGUCACGUCGGAUUUCCGGUAAUCCGAACUUGAAUUGACACUUAAAUGAUUGUUUUUAAAAAAAAGUAACACCGGCGUACACAACUUUUAGCACUUCUAGUAUACUUACCUCACUAAACGCUGGACAAAAGAAUGGAUAAGGUCGAGGGAUCAACGAUGGGACACAACCAAAGAAUAAGGUGGAAUUGAGGUCACUAGAAGUGUAGUUGAAGGGAUUCUAGUCUCUAAGUGGUGUCAAAAUGGGUUUGAAGACAUAUAUCUUCUUAUAUAUUUGUCCUCAGCACCUCAAGGAUCUUCGCACUCCUGUUCACGUGGAUCACCCGACAUUUCAGGGACGCCAUGGACAGGGUUAGGCUAUCUCCAUAACAGUGGAGCUCAUAGCCUGGAUAACCACAGUAACUUGGUUGCUCUUUACACCCGAAAGGAUAGCUGAUUUGUUGCUCUCCACAAUCAAAAGGAGCGCACUCUCGGAAUGGCAAGAAUUCACUAGAAGCUGACAUCGAGAAGUGAAUAUGGAGGGAGAUGAGGGAGAGCAAGAAGAGAGAGGAGCAUGACAUGGUAAGAUCCAUCCGAAGGGAGAUGGCGUUGGAGCAAAAGGAGGAGGGUACUACAUGUAAAGGAAAGAGGAUGGAGGGGAUCAGAAUAAUGUUGCUUUUUGAAUGAAUGACUUGACCGAAUGCACUAACGAGAACCUCUCGACUUGAUGUCCCGAAAGACCAAGACUUUGGCGCGGUGAGACAAAAGCUGAGAAGAAAAGAAGGAUAACAAGGCCCGUGGAAACAAAGCCAAGUAGCUUAAGCUGCUAGCUAAUUGUAAACUUGACUUGGGACGACUUGGACUAGUAUUCCCCAUUUUACAAUUCCUAACCGCAGCCCCCGACUAAUCAACGAACUUUGCCAAUCUCCUUCACGAUUCACUUUGAGGAAACUUCAAUGAGGACCUCAAGAACGUCGUUUGCAGCGUUCUAGACAGAAGCAGGGCCAUCGCCUAGACUGGAGAACAGAAGGGAUUAGAGCCUCAAAACUGAGGCAACUAAGGUAGCGCAUGAGAACGUUUCUGUUUCUCAUGGUUUCUGUUCUUUUGUUCCCCGUAACAAAAAAAGAACAGAAUCCCGUUUGGUAAUGCUAAGUUGUUUUUCUAUUCCCGGGAAUAGAAAGUUAGACCAGGAAUAGAUUUGGAGCAGAAACGAGAAGUAAAAAAAAGUUGCUUCUUGUUCCCGGAAACAAUUUCUAGAAAUAAGCUAUUUUUUUUUUUAAUUUUUCUUUUAUUUCUCUUUCUUGCCGCAGCCAUCAUCAACCGCCCGGAGCCACCGCCCACCGUCGGCUGCUGUUGCCGCCAGUCGCCGGCUGCCGCCUCUUGCGGCCGGCGGUUGUCAGCGGUCGAUGGGCAACGGCGGCGGUCGGCGGUGACAGUCGGCAGCCGGCGGUCGUGCAGUGGCGGCGGCGAUCCGUGAACAAAAAUAAAAAAUGAAUAAAUACAAAAAAGAAAUUGUUGCGUUACCAAACGCAUUUAUAUUCUUUUUCUAUUCCAAGAGUAGAAAUUUUGUGUAGUUACCAAACGGGUUCUUUUACUCAGAAAUUAUUCCCCGGAACAGAAAUAGAAAAGAACUAUUUCUGAAAAAAAAAAAAAAAAAAAAAAAAAAAAAAAAAAAAAAAAAAAAAACUCUUCCCGAAAACAGAAGCGUUGUCAUGUGCAGCCUAAAAGUCAUCUAGAUGAUUCCUCUGAACUUUGCUUAGUUAUGUUUUUUGAACUGAUUUGACUGGUGAUAUCGACGUAUCAUCAGCCCAAACUGCAACUUGGGUAAAAUCAAUAGGUUAAAAGGGCCAUGACUCCUUGGCCAAGCCGAAUCAGGCCCAUCUCUUGUGAUUUACGAUGAUGAUGACCUAGAGUGGAACUCUAGCUUGGAAGCAAUAGCUUGCCAUCUUUUUCACAACAGAAUUUGCUCAUGCCUUAAGUUGAAAAUAAGACUUGAGCUGCAGCAGUUAGUAUGGUGGGCAUCAUCGUGUCCCUCACAUAAAAGAACCUGCAAAACGAUGAGGACGACGAGGACAAGACAAGGAAGGAGUGUGAAGGGAAGGAGAGAAGGAGAGUGGUUGCGUCACCCAUUUAAAUUCAUGCUCUCAUGGAUGGAGAAUACCAUGUGGAAUGAGGGUUUGGAGUCUAAAGGGGCAAGCUUAGGAUGGAGAAAUUCCUUUUUUAUUUACUUGAAGUGUAAAACAGAUGGAUGUGGUUAAUUCCUCAGUAAAAUAGAGGAAGCUAUUCUGAGCGUGGACUUCGACCGACAUCAGUUUCAGUCUUAUGAUAUUUUGUGGAGGGAAAUAAAAAGAAUGGCUAUCGAACAUUGAAACUGGGGGUGGGGGUAGAAGUGACGAGGAAGACAGUGGCCAGGAAACAUGCGAAGCAAUUUCCUCUGCAGUUCUUCCUACGUGGUCGAAAUUGAGAAGUGAAACCUUUUUUCAAGGUUCUCGGUGUGGAAAAAGUCUAGCCCAUUUGAGGGGUCAAGAGUUCAUGUUGUGAAAAUUAAAGAACAAGUCAAACCGAAAUUUUAGGUUGAUUGACUUAUCAGUUAACACGUUCUGAUUUAAAUUACUUGCCAUGAUGUGAGAUUUUACAGUAAACUUAAAGCAUCUUUGCUUUUCGCAUUUAAACCGUCGGAUCUCGUGGGUUUACAGAUAUGGACCUAAUGAUCCAACGAUUAAGGCGAGGAAGGUUUUUGAGAAUGGGGUGAUAAAGUUUUAGGACUUGAAGUCUAAAUUGUAACACAAUCAUGCAUGUCAUAGCGAGGAUGACUGUCCUUCAUUUGAGGGAAGCAUAUGCCCAGCAAUGCUUCUCAUUGAACAACUUAUAGCUAAGUGAAAACCACAUGUUAGAUGAGAGUAAGCAUACAUACUUGAAGGGAUGAUUGCUGGUAACGGCGGCAUUGAAGGGACGCUUGCCGGUAUUGGCGUUCUGUGGCAGGUUGCUGGAUAGGCUGCAUCAGGGCAAAAACAAUUGAAUUCUUUCCUUGUCCAGUCAUACCCGCAUAUUCCCCCUGAUAUAACACAAUCUUCACACAGCGAUGUGUUGGCAAUCCAGGUGAUCUCAAAGCCUUUAUUGAGAAUGUCGUUAAUAGUAUCACCAAAGUCGAUGCCUGCCGAAGGUGGUGGUAAACCUAUAGGUUCACUUUUUGAAAUUGGGACAUGAACAAUGGAACUGCAUCGCUUGGGCGGUAGGUUUGAUAGGUUUACACUGAGAACAAAGUAGCCAAAUUGAAACUCGGGACAAGAGAACCGAUAAUAAGAUGGAAGGGUUGGCCACGAGUUGCAAUUGUAAAUUAAGGUGGAAUUGAGGUUAUUGGAAGUGUAGUUGAAGAGAUUCAAGUCUAAAGUGGUUUCGUUAUAUGUUUCAAGACAUAUACUGUCUGAUAAAUCUGACCUCGCCACCACAAGGAUCUGCGCGCUCCCAUUCAUGUAGAUCACUUGAUAUUUCUGAGACAUCAUGGACAGAAUCGGGUUAAAUCCGUCACAGUCAAGCUCGUAGCCUGGAUACCCACAGUAUCUUGGUUGCCUUAUAUGCCUGAAAGGAUAGCUGAUUCGUAUAUUUCCACAAAAAGAAGGAGCGCAUUCUUGGAAUGGUGAGAAGUAGCCGGAAGCUCGCAUGGGGAAGUGAAUUUGGAGGGCAAUGAAGAAGAGCAAGGAGAGAGAGGAACAUGGCGUGGUAAGAUCCAUCUGAAGGGAGAUGGUGUUGGAGCAAAAUAAAGAGGGGUACAUAUGAAGGGACGUGGAGGGUGGAAAUGAAAAAAGAUGGCUAUCGAAUGUCAAAAUUGGGUCUAGCAGAGGAGGUGAUGGGGAAGAUGCGGUCCGGAAACAUGCAAAGCAAGUUUCUCCGGAUUUCUCUCCAUGUUGUUAUAAUCGAAAGGUGAAAACUUUCUUCUAGGUUUUCACUGAAAAAGUCUAGCCCUUUUAAGAGGUCGAGUUCGUGUCAUGUGAAGUAAAGAACAAGUCAAACUUAAAUUUCUCGUUACUUGACUCAUUGGCUAACGUCUGAUUUAAAAUACUUGUCCACAAUGUGAAAUUUUACGUUAAGCUCGGAGCAUCUUCACCCGCUGUAUUUAAACUGUUGGAUCUACUGGGUUCGCAUAUACCAACCUAAAGAUCCAACAGUUGAGGCAAGGAAGGUUUCUAAGAAUGAGCUGAUAAAGUUUUAGGACUUGGGAGUCUAAAUUGUAACAUGAUCAUGCCAUAGCGAGGAUGAGAUGACUGCACUUCAUUAAAUAUUCGAGGGAAGGGCGUGCACAGCAAAAUGAGAUUGUCAGGCUUUUAGGGGCAUGAGCGGGUCGUUUUCCAAAUAACAAGCAAGCCCAGCAAUCCUUCUCAUGGAAGAACAUUAGCUAAUUGAGAACCACGCAUUAGGUGAGAGUAGGCAUACAUACUUUGUUUGCCACAAGUCGUUGAAUGGACUCCGUCAGGGCAGAAACAAUUAAAUCGUAGCCUUUUCCGGUCAUAACCGCAUCUUCCCCCUGAUUUGUUGCAUUUUUCGCAUUGCGAUGUGUCAAUGAUCCAGGUGAUCUCAAAGCCUUUUCUCAGGAACUCACUAAUAGCAGCAUUAGAAGCACUAUGAUGGCUGCCCUCCGGUGGUGCUGCUAGACCCGGAGCUUCACUAUGUGAAUUUGGGACAAGGACACUGAAGUUGCAUCGCUUAUGUAGUGGUUUUGCACGAUUAGCAUAUAGGGCAAAGUAGCCAAGUCCAUACAGGGGACAAUGGAACCAAUGAUAAUGUCGAGGGGGCCACAAUAAAUUGCAAUUAUAGAAUAAGGAGGAAUUGAAGUAACGUGAAGUGUAGUUGAAGAGACUGAAGUUUAAAGAGGUGUUGACAAGUAUUCUAGGACAUACAUCGUCCCAUAAAUCUGUCCUCGCCACCUCAAGGACAUGCUCGCUCCAAUCUAUGUGGAUCACGCGAUAUUUCAGGGACUCCAUGGACAGGGUUGUGUAAUUUCCGUCACAGUCAAGCUCGUAGCCUGGAUACCCACAGUAACUUGGUCGCCUGAUAUGCCUGAAAGGAUAGCUGAUUUGUUGCUUUCCGCAAUCAAAAGGAGUGCAAUCUUGGAAUGGCUGGAAUUCGCCAGAAGCUGGCAUAGGGAACUGAAUAUGGAGGGAGAUGAAGAAGAAGAGCAAGGAGAGAGAGGAACACGACAUGGUAAGAUCCAUCCGGAGGGAGAUGGUGUUGGAGCAAACAAGGAGGGUACAUAUAUAAAGGAAGAGGAUGCAGAGGGAUAAAGAAUGAUGUUGCUUUUGGAACGACUUGACCCCAAUGCACCAACGAGAAUCACUUGAUUUGGCCUCCCGAAGACCAAGACUUUGGGGCGGGGAGACAAAAGCUGAGAAGAAAAGCAGAACAAAGCACGUGGAAACAAAGCCAAGUAGCUUGCGCUGCUGGCUAAUUGUGAACUUGACUUGAGGAGGACUUGGAAUAGUAUUCCCCAUUUCCCAAUUCCUACGCGCAGGCGUAGCCCCAAUUAAUCAACAAGCUUUGCCAAUCUCGUAGACAAUUCAAUCGAGGACAAUUCAAUAAGGAUCUCAAGAACAUAGUUAGCAACGUUCUAGACGGAUGCAGGGCCAUCGUCUGGACUAGAAAAUAGAAGGGGAUUAGAGCCUCGGAACUAAGGCGGUUAAAUUGUCAUCUGGACUAGUUUCUCUUAAGCUUUGCCAUCUUUUUUGAAUUGAUUUGACUGAUGAUAUCGACGCAUCAUCAGCCCAAAGAAGCAGACCAGGUUAAUAUCAGUGGAUCCCAAAGGCCCAAGAUUCCUCGGCCGAGCUGAAUCGGGCCCAUCUUUUGUGAGUUACAAUGAUGAUGAUCCACAUUGGAUCUUUAGCUAGGAAGCAAUAAGCUUGCCAUCUUUUUCACGACAGAAUUUGCUCAGUUCCAUAAAUCGCUUAGGCUUUAAGUAUUGAAAAUAAGAUUUCUGCUCUGGGUACUCAAAGAUAGGGAGUUAUCCUCAUAGCACUCGACCUUGCACAGAAUUGGGGUGGGCAGCCUCCCUAGAAAGAAUAAGUUAUAUUUGCAACGAUUCCACAAUUAAAAGAGCGGUGGCAGUCGGUUUAGUGGACAUUGUCGUCUCCCUCGUACAAAAGAACUUGUGGAAUGAUGAGGUUGACGAGGACGAAGACUAGGAUGGAGUGUGAAGUGGAGGAGAGAAGAAGAGUGGCUGCGUCACCCAUUUGAGCAAGUUCAUGCUCUCAUGGGUGGAGAAUAUCAUGUGGAAUGAGGGGUUUAGUGUUCAGAGGGGCUAUUCUGACCAUGGACUGAAGUGUGAAAGAGAUGGAUCUGGUUAAUACCUCUUCAGUAUAAUAGAGGAAGCUAUACUGACCGUCGACUUUGAUCGAGAUCAGUUUCAGUCUUCAAUGCGAAAAAGUCUAGCCCAUUUGAUGGGUCAAGAGUUCAUGUCACGUGAAGUAAACAACAAGGCAAACCUAAAAUUUGGGUUAAUUGAUUUAUCAUCUAACACAAUCUAAUUUAAAUUACCUUUCCAUGAUGUGAAAUUUCACAGUAAAUUUAGAGCAUCCUCACUCAUUGUAUUUAAACUAUUGGAUCUUAAGGGUACAAAGAUACUGGCCUAAUGAUCGAACUGUUAAGGUUGUUGAAUGGGGUGAUAAGGUUUUAAGGCUUGGACUCUAAAUUGCAUCAUGACCAUGUCAUAGCGAAGAUGAGAUGACUGCACUUCAGGCAUGCCCAGCAAAAUGAGAUUGUCAAGCUUUUAGGGGCAUGAGCGGGUCGCUUCCCAGUUAACAAGCAAAGGAAAGAGUAUGCGCAGCAAUCUUAUCCCUCUCAUUGAACAAGUUGAGCUUAUUAGAAACCACUAAUUAGCAACCGUGACUCUAGCAUACAUACCUGAAGGUGCGGGGCAGGUCGUUGGAUAGGCUUUGUCACGGCAAAAACAACUGAAUUCUUGCCUUGUCCAGUUAUACCCACAUCUUCCCCCUGAUUUAGUGCAAUUUUCGCACAGAGAUGUGUUGGCAAUCCAAGUAAUCUCAAAGCCAUUUUUCAGGAUGUCUCUAACAGUAUCACGACUAAUGUUAGCGCUCUUGCUGCCCUCCAAUAUUGGUAUAAAUGGGACGAAGACACUGAAGUUGCAUAGCUUGUGUAGUUUGCUUGGGGGGUCCACUUUGAAAGCAAAGUAGCCAUCUCCAGACGCAGGACAAGAGAACCGAUCAGGUUGAGGGGUUGACGGUGAGUUGCAAUUGUAGAAUAAGGUAGAAUUGAGGUAAUGGGAAGCGUAGUUGAAGAGACUGGAGUUUAAAGUGGUGUUGACAGGGGUUCCAUGACAAAUAUCUUUCAAUAAAUCCAUCCUCGAAACCUUAAGGAUCUGCUCGCUCGAAUCCAUGUGGAUCACCUGAUACUUCAGGGACUCCAUGGACAGAAGGGUCAGGUUACCUCCAUCACAGUCAAGCUUGUAGCCUGGAUACCCACAGUAACUCGGUCGCUCAUUAUGCUUGAAAGGAUAGCUAAUUUUUUGAUCUCCGCAAACGAAAGGAGCGCACCGUUGGAAUGGCAGGAAUUUGCCGGAAGUUGGCACCAGGAAGUGAAUAUGGAGGGUGAAGAUGAAGAGCAAGAACAGAGAUGAACACGACAUGGUAAGGUCCAUUCGGAGGGAGAUGGUGUUGGAGCAAAACAAGGACAGGGUAAAUGUAAAUGAAGAGGAUGCAGAGGAUAAGGAAUAUGCUGCUUUGAGAAUGAUUUGAACCCAAUGCACCAGUGAGAGCCACUUGAUUUGGCCUCCCGAAAGACCAAGACUUUGGGGCAUUGAGACAAAAGCCGAGAAGAAAUUAAGAACAAGGCGCGUGGAAACAAAGCCAAGCAGCUUGAGCUGUUGGCUACUUGUAGACUUGACUUAAGGACGACUUGGACUAUUAUUACCCAUUUUAGAAUUCGUACACGCGGUCCUCAUCUAGUGAACGAGCUUGGCCAAUCUCCUUGACAAUUCAAUCGACGACACUUCAAUAAGGACCUCGAGAACAUAGUUAGCAGCGUUAUAGACCAGAUGCAGGGAUCGCCUAGACUAGAAAAAAGAAGGGAUUAUAGCCUAGAACUAAGACGACUAAAUUGCCAUUCAAAAGAUUUCCCCUUAAUUUUACCUGGUCAAAAAGGGCCCCGACGAGCCAGACCAGGCCCAUCUCUCCUGAUCUACAAUGAUGAUCUACAUUGGGAUCUUUUAGCUAUAGGAAGCAAUAAGCAAAGCUUGCCAUCUUUUGUUGACAAAGAUUGCUAAGGCCCAUCAAUCGCUCAAGCCUCAAGUAAUGAAAAUAAAGAUUCUUUUAGGCGCCAAUUUCUUGGGAGGAAAAUGAUUAUGAUCAAAGCAAUAACAGCAAGAAAAGAGAAAAAUACAUCUUUCUGAAAAGAAACCACCACUUUUUAAUGAUAGACCCUAUUCCAAAUUGCAAGUUGCAACAAGUUGAUGGAAGCUGCUUUCGAAAUUUUGCCCAACCAAAAAAUUUAUUGCUUCAAUUUGCUACAUGCGAAUCUUUAUACUUUAAAUAUCAAGAGAAAAUUCACUUUAGUUUAGAGCAUCAAAGUAAUUCAUGUAUCUUGUCUAUGGAAUUUAUAUUAAACUUUAUGCACGUGGUCUUCAUUCAUCUAUUGAUUUAAGUUUUUGGAUUGGUCAUUGAAUAAGGUAUCGUAGUAAGGUUCUGCUCUCAUUUAUUUCGCAUGGGCAAUCCUUACCAGUCAAUUCUAUGUAUGGUUCUAAUUUCCACGUGAAAAGGGUGCAAGGGUGCUAAAGUAAUAAUUUUCUUUGUCUAUGAAUUCCUAUUCUCUUUAUAUAUAUAUAUAUAUAUAUAUAUAUAUAUAUAUAUUUAUAUGAGUGAUCCUGCUCUGUUUAUUAAGUUAAGUUUUUAUAUAGGACUUGUUGCACGGCAUAUAUUAGUAGGUGUGGUUACCAUUCAAAUUUUGAAAAAGUAUUGAUUAAGAAAUUGACUAACUUAAGUAUAUAAUUUUCUAAUUCUAAAAGCUGCUGAAAAAUCAAAGCAUGCCAGAAAUCAAAUCACACGCGACUAAGAAGUGACAAGCAUUGAAAAAAGCAAUCAUGGCGAUUGGCGAACAUAGAUGCAGAACCAUUUAUGAAAAAAGAGAGGAAACGGACACAAACCUCAAUCCUACCUUUGCAAACCGAACCGUCCGUGUGAUUUGACCCGUCCUUGCAGAAGCACAGCAACUCCUCUGUCUCGUUGAACGCGCACCGCCCGCCGGAGAGCUCGCACGCGCUGCACUCCUUCGCCGCCUCCCAGUCAAGCACGAACCCCCGGCUCAUCGCCCAGGCGAAAACCUCCACCACUUUCGCCGCCGUCACCUCCGUCCCCUUUACCGACGCCACCAUCGUGCCCUCGCAGUCCGACGCCACAUCGGACGCCCCCGCCUCCUCCUCCUCCCAGCCCAUGUUCACGGACACGUACGACCGGUUGUCACGAAAUUGCAAGCAAUCGAUGGCCACGAAGGGGCUGGACACAGGCGGAGGAGCGCUGCAGUUGAAGAAGAAGGUGAGAUUGACGUCGGCGGAGUUGUAAUCGAGCGGGAGCGAGCCGAUCGUGAGGUUGUGGCGGGCCCUGGGGCAUCUCUGGCCGGUGACGGCGACGUCGAUGUCGACGAGAGUUAGGGUUUCGUUGUGGUAGUUGAUAUCGGUGACGAAGAAGGCGCCGUCCCCAAGGAGGGGGAUUGGGUGAGGGGAGAAAAACGGGCAAAUGAGGCCGAGGCCUGGGUAUCCGCAGUGCGCGGGGGCAUCACUUGCGUACCAGAAUGGACUUUUGUACCAGAAUGGAUAUUGGAUGGAGACGUUGCCGCAUAGGAACGAGGAUGCAACGGGAUCGCAAAUGGUCGAGAAAGUGGCGUGGACGCCAUGGAAGCUCGCGGAGGAGAAGAAGAAGAAGAGAAGGAGGGAGAGAGAAGGGGAGAGAAUGCAGAGUAAGUGGUGGCUUGGCAUUUUCUUUGUCCUUCUCUUGGUGAGGAGCAAGAUGAUCGUCUGGCAAUUUAGAAUGGACCUCCUAUUUAAUAAAAGUGGUCAAAGUCUUGCAUUGGGACUAAAGGUUGCACAAUUUUUUUAUUUUUAUUUUUUUUGGAGUCAAUGGCUACACAAAUUUGACUUUGAUAUUUUCUUUUUUCCUUUUUCUUUUUGUGUGCAACGUUCAAGUAAUCCUACGUGGAAAACAAUUUCUAUUACACUGAUAACAAUUUAAUUUGGUCAUAAGUCAUUGGUGGAAAAAUAAUGUAUAAUUAUACCAUUGUGUAGAAUUUUAUGUGUUGGUCUUUAGACGCACUUUGCCCGCAAUCUCAUGGUUGGCUUAUUCAAUUAAAUAAGAAGUUGGAGACUUCUAUUUAUCUUGUUUAUUAUUUUUUCUAAUAUCAAUUUUUCUUUCGAAAGAAAGGCAUGAUUUAGAGCUUAAUACAGCUUUUUAUUCUUUUUAUUUUAUAAAAGCAAUUAGGGCUUGAUUGCACUUUUUAUAAAUAUCUUUAGUGGACUUUAAUUUAGUGUAAUUAUUCAUGAUUAAAUUUUAUGAAAUUGCAAUCUUUAACAAUUAAAGUAGCAGUCGUCAGCAUUUUUUAUGUUGAGAAAUCUUGAAGAAGUUGAUGGAUAUUGCAAUUCAAAUCUAAUACGGAGAGGAAGAAAUUACCAGAGAAAUUUAUGGAUUUUGAAAUUCAAACGCAACGUGUCAUAUUCUCUUUAAGGUUGUAGUCUUCAAUAAGUUCAUGACUUGAUGGAGUUUGAUUCAACAGCUUGUGUCAUAUAUGUGACCACAUCGACAUUAAGCCACAAAUGAUCCUAAAUCAUUGCAAGUAAAAUUUGAUAUGCAAUAGGUACUAUAAUUGUCGUAAUACUCUAGUUGCAUCAAAAUAGACGAAGGGCCCGUGAACUUCACAUUCAUUUUGGAUAUUAAAGCUAGAAAAUCAAAUAUAAGUGUGAACUUGGCGUAGAUUCUUUCACUUUUGUCCCUUUCGUUGAGAUAGUUUCCAGGAAACAUGACAUUUGGAGGUAGUCAUUAAGUCCGACUUUAAACAAUUCAUUACGCCUCAAAGUGCCAAUGCACAAUUGCCCUUCUAUUUAGAGGUGAAUCUCUUUGGUGGGUUUCUCAAGUAAAGAAAAAUGACCCAAUUAAUCUUCAAAUUAUUGUACGAAAACAAAUUAAUCUUAAAAUUUUCAAUUUUACCAAUUUAGCCAUAAAUUUAUGCGCGCAAUUUCAAUGUAGUAUUUCUGGUUAAUUUAUACUAGAAAUUAUUGAUGUUGUGGCCCAUUUAUCGCCAACCGUCUUAUGUGGCACCUUGCCAUGUCAACGAUUUCAGGUGAAAAUCGACCGAAAAGACUUUAUUGGAAUUUUCUAUGAAGAUGUAAAAUUAGAAAGUUUAGAACUAAAUUAACAUUCACACAAUAAAUUUAUGAUUGAUCAGGUAGUUCUCCCUCUCGAUGAAUUAUGUCUCUAGGAGAUACAAAAUCCCACAUCAUGCUAAUGAAUUAGAGAAAACACAGCAAAUAAUGAAAGCAUUAUAUUGUUGUGUAUCAAGACAUAAUUGACAAUCGGAAUAAAUCGCGUCCGAGGGACAUUGAGAUAUGUGAAUUUCAGUAGUUAUUAUAGACAUAUAAGCAUGUGCAACAGUUUCCUUCUUUCUCAAUUUGGUAAGCCAGGCAAAAUUUCUUUCCAUGACUCUUAAGAGAAUGUUCAAUUCAUCGAAUCUAGAAGAAGGGGCCAAACAUAUUUCUCAUAAAAAAAAAAUUAACAAUAACAAAAGAAAUGAUCACAUCAUCUUGAUGGGGUCUGGGUUCAUGCGGGUCUGGAUUGGCAAGGUCAUGUGACCCUUGGUGUCACCUUGCUUGAGAUCACAUGGCCUUGGCAUUAUCUUGUCUAGCCUCUUAGACAAUUCAAUCCUCACUGAUGAUUGAUUUGUUUCCAAGACGGAGAUAAUGAGCAGUAGCUGUGUGCUCUGUUUCACUUGUUUUUUUUUUUUGCUUUAAACUUAAAAACUAUUUUGCAAAAAUACACCAAAAUUCACUUAACCAAACGGUAUUUGCUUUAAGUAAAUGCACCUUGAAUCAAUGAUUUUUGGGGAAUAAUUUUGCAUGUUCGAGUAGUCCUAUGUGUAUAAAAAGUUCCAAUACAGUAAUAACGACAUACUAUAGUCAUAGGUCACUAAUGUAGAAAUAGCAUAUAAAUAUGCGAGCAUAUAGAAUUCUAUGUUAGUCUCUACGUCGGUCUCUACAAAUUAUCAUGAGCCGUUCACUAGAAUUUGACUCGUAUGUUGUUUGAUCUAUCUAUUGGGUUAGUGUUCCUCACAAAUUGGAUCAUGCAACGAAAUAUCUUUCAUCGAAAGUUGUUCUUAAGUUUUUAUCAAAGGAGAUAGGUAUUGUGGCAACUCCAGACAGAAAAUAUCAUUAGUCAACAAGAAAAACCCGAAGUUUACUUCAAAUAUCGUACAAAAAUCAUGCUGAAAUUUAAUCAACAAUAAAUCUUGGGAAUGCAAAGAUGCUACAAUAGAAUUUAAUUGAUGACGUGACAACUGGGAUAGAGAUACACACCGAAAUUUAAUUGGCGAUGUGGAUUUGGAAACUACAUCUAAGAAAUAUGCCGAAAUUUAAUUUGAUGAUGCGAGUCUGGAAAAUAAAACUACAAUGCGGAAAAGUAAAGAUAACUAAAGAAUAGUAGAUUUAUUUAUUUGUGUGUCGGGGGGCCUUCACAAACGAACACUGGUAUUUAUAGUGGUUGUGCCAUAACCAUCUCUAACUAGUUCUCCUAUAGUUAUAGCCAUGUUCCCUCAUCUCUGAAAAUCUUGGGCUCAUUCUCUCAAGAUGCCGUGAUUUAGUCUUCAAGUGAUUAAUCCCUUAAAAUUGCAUUUUGGUUUACUCCACGACUUCUUGAACCCUAUUGCCUCACUCACCGAUGAUUUCAAACUCAUAACUGAUUUUUGACAUCCUCUAGGUAUCCAACUUUCUUUGAUACCUCAAAUUGGUAAUCUGUAGCUCCUUUUAAUCAAUACCCUUAUCGACUAUCACCUAUUCAUUUGUCAUCAUACAUCGGCAACUAAUAAGUAAUCGCUCGUAUCAUUUGAAAUAAUUAUUUAAUGAAAAAUAAUUUUAUUAUCGAUAAUAAUUUAUAUCUAAAUACUUUUAUAGACAAUAUAAAUAUUUUUCAUUUAUUUAUUUUUGCAACAAUAUAAGUAAUUAUUUUUAUAAGAAUGUAUUUUAAUUUAUUCAUUUUUUUUUUGUGAAAUAAACCAAAGCUUUUAAAGUCUAAUCAAUGGUUUAAAGUUCGACUAUUAUAUCACUCUCUGCAAAUGUCAUGUUUCGUGGAAAAUAUCUCGAUGGAAAGACAAAAGUGAGAGAGUUAAUGCUCCUUUCGUGCUUGCUUCGCUGGCGUCCACAUGCAAAACCGGAAAGGCAGCCAGAAAGAAGAAACAAAGGAAGACCAGAAAAGUACACUUCAAUUGUUUAGCGUUUAUGCUGAUUUGAAGGAGUCAAAAAUCGAAGUUUUUUUUCCAGCCAGGUCGAGUUACUCCCAAGAUCUCUAUACAUGAGACUGGUGAUAUCGGACUUAAAUGAAACAUGGUACGCUAUAUAUCUUUGUAACAUAUUUAUGAAUUUAUAAAUCAUUAAAACAUGAAUUUCUAACUUUACUUGUAUCUUCUUUUCUAGGAAAAAUUAGAUGCUGGAUCGUUUUCCCUUCUUUCCCGCAAGGUAAAUAAAGGGGAAGAAAUAGUAUACUAGGGAAUUGAAGGUGACUAAUAUUGUUCGGGACGUUACUUUAUAAAUCAAAAUAAUGGACCAAUCAUUAUAUAAAUGCAUAGUGCUAACGGAUCUGGUUUUCGAUCUAAGGCUUGACAAGGCUUCGACCAUGAUGAGAAAAAAUAUCCAAAAAAUUCUAAACCUAUUUCGCUUUUGUCAAUUCAAUCAUAAACCUUAUAACUUUGCUAAUUCAGUCAUAAACAUUUUCACUUCUUGUCAAUUGAGUUCAUCCAACCAAUUUUACCCGGAAAAUGGUGAUGCGGACACUAGCAGAGCCAUGUAGGACUGCCGGUACUGACAUAGAUAGUUUUUAAUAAUAUUUUAAUAUAUUUUUUGAAUUUUUAUUAUUUUUUCUGUUUUUCCCCUCUUUUUUUUUCUUCAUUUUCAUUAUUUUCUUUUUGGCUUUCUUCUUUACCUUUUCCGGUGGCCAGCUGACCAUCGGUCAUAGCCAACCAGUUGGCCUCGCCCGCCACAGGCGAGGCUUGAUCGGGCGAGGGUGGGCCCUAGCGAGGGGAGCCCUCGCCCAGGCGCAGCCUAGGAAGGGUCGCUUGGGCGAGGGCUCCCCUCGCUAGGGCCCACCCUCGCCCGAUCAAGCCUCGCCUGUGGCGGGCUGAUGCUUGGCGAGGCCACCUUGGCCUGGGCGAGGGCCGGCCUUGCUUGGCCGACACCUGGCAAGGUCGCCCUGAGGCCGACACUCGCCUAGGCAAGGGUGACCCCUGGUGAGGGCUCCCCUAGCCAAAUUUGGCGAGGUCGACCCUCGCCCAGGCCAAGGCGGCCUCACCUGAUGUCGUUGUCACCAAGCCGAUGCCUAGUGAGUCUACCCUAGCCUGGGCGCAGGUUAGCCUCGCUUGGCCUAGGCAAGGGUCGGCCUUGCUUAGGCGAUCCUUGCCGGGACGCGCCUGGGCGAGGGCUUCUCUUAACGAGGCUCACCCUCUCCCAGUCGGGAGGGCCUCGCUUGUGGCGGGUGAGGCCAGCUGGCUAGCUAUUGCCAAUGGCCGGCCGGCCAUUAAAAGGCCAAGAAGAAAGCCAAAAAGAAAAAAAAAGAAAAAAAAAAGAUUAAAUUAUUAUUAAAAUUGUCAACAUCAGUGCCGACGGUUCUACAUGGUACCGUUGGCGUCCACGUCAGCAUUUUCCAGUCAAAAUUGUAAGAAUGGACUCAAUUAGCAAGAAGUGAAAAUGUUUAGAACUGAAUUGGCAAAAGUACAAUAGAUUUAAGAUUUUUUAGACAAUUUUUUCAAACUGAGUUCGUUCUAACAUUGGAAUGGAAAGGAAACGACCAGGCUUGUCUUGGCUUUGACCUCAAAGGGUUCGAUUUGACGUCAACACUGAAAGGAGACAACCGUCCUUAACCUCAAGAUCGCUAAUUUAGCAUAGAUAAUAAGGAAUUGCUAAAAAUUUGAUCACACUUAAUCACAAAAGAAGUUGGUGCGUUUACAACUGUAACAAUUGUUGCCUAGCUAGUUAUUAAUCCAUAAUAUAAUCUGUAAAUGAAAUGACAAAUCUCUCAACUAAACUUGUUAAAUGAAUAGGCCUAUCCGAUUCAAGAGUUCAUGUGAAUUGGAUUUGCAUGCCCGCAUUAUUCGAGCAACCAAUGUUGAUGUAUCGAUGACCCACACAGAAAAUUUGCCCUGAAAAGUCUUGAGGAACAAACCAUGAAACUUCCUGGUCAAUGGGACCUCUAAAUUAGGUUGGAGGAUCCGCCAACGUGUUGAAAUGUUGAAAUUGAUGAUCUUCCACGUUCCAUGAAACUUCCGAGUCAGAGUAACCUCUAAAUUACUCUUAGGAACAAACCUCCCGUUAUACAAUUCCUACUAAGCAGCGCAAAUCAAUUGUAGAAUUUUUCUUUUUCUUUUCUUCCAAUAUACAAAACUUUAGUGCUAACAAAAAUUAAUUGUUUAUAUUAUAUUAUACAUUUAAAUUGAAAUUCUCAUCCUGUUUCGGAGUUCCCUCUCCCUUUAAUGUAAUUUAUAACCAAAUGUAGUUAUGGGUAUAGUAAACACCAGCGGCAAGUUUCUUGAAUCACAGUGUUUAUUAGUUUUUUAUGCAGUAACAAAAAUUUCCGUCGUGUAAUUUUAAUACAUUCUCUUUUAUGCUUUUAGUCUUCAAUAAGAUAAUAACUUGAUGUCAAUGCAAAAACUCACAAAUCCCACAAAAUUGCGUGGAAUGUAGUAUGCUCACCAAAAAAGGAGGGAGGUCUAGGCCUGCUCGAUCUGAAACUGUGGAAUAAAGUAACGAUGGGUUGCAUGCUUUGAAGCCUCAUCAAUCUUCCAUCCUCAUCCCUAUGGAGUGCUUAGGUUCACAUAUCAAAUGCAAAGGUACUCCCAAUAUGCGACUCGGCAUAAAGGGCAAUAUGGCUUGGAAUUGACGAUGCAUUCUCAAGCUAAGACAUGCUCUAAUGCCUAUUAUCUCUAGCGAAACAUGCUGUUGCAAAGAGGUAUAUGAGGAAUUUAGACAAGAGGGACCAGCCGUGGACUGGUAUCAAUUAAUUUGGACCAGCGGUAUCCGCAAGCAUAAUUUUAUUGGUUGGCUUGUUUGCAAAGAUAUACUACUGACAACAAUAGCCAUAUCACAAUUGGUUGUCUUCAGUAGAUACUAAGUGUAACUUUUCCAUGACUGGUAUAGAAGAUAGAAACCGCUUAUUUUUUUAGUGCACUUGGACAAGUAGUGUAUGGCAAUAGUAUUUUGGCAUAAAAUGGAAUUUGGUGUCAUGUAGGAGGUUGGAACUUAGAACUUCAAUAGAUGAUCGGGGCCACUAAGGGCAAAAACUUGGAGGCGAGAUUCCUCAAGUUGUCUUUCUUAGCGACAAUCUAUUGCAUUUGGAUGGAACGUAACCGCAGACGAUUUCAAAACAUGUCGACUGAACCUCAUCUUUUGUUAGCUAGGAUUUGAAAUAUUGUAAGAGAUAGGGCGUCACUUUACCAAAAGUGUAGGCCUUCCCACGCAAAUGUUUUAUUGGCUACUAUAUGGAGGUUUCCUUCCUCCAUCUUCUUGCAUAAUUAGUUUUUGUGGAAUCCUAGGGGAUUCCCCUAAGUUUUUGUACCUCAUCUAAUUAAUGAUAUUCACAUAUUUACACCAAAAAAGAUAACAACUCGAUGAAGUGAGAUUGAUAUCUUGUAUCAUAUAUGUGGCUAUAGUGAGAUUAAGGGAUUAAUCAUCUUAAAUCUUGGAAGAAUAAAACUUCAUGUGCAAUUGAGUACUACAAUAUCAAGGAUUUUCAUUUUCUACAAUUCUCGAGUAUAAUACAAUAAUAUUGAAAAACUAUUACAGAGCAAAGGUCCAAUCGUCAUGCCAAACACAUAGAACACUAUAGAUGAAGAGCAUUAAUACCACAUCAUAUGAAAGUAUGGAAGCUCGAAAUCUAUGAUCGCGAGCACCAUGCAUCAAUGCAAUUAAUAGCCAUAAUAUAGUAGAUGAUGUUGGUAUUCUUGCAUAUGGUAGCUAGCCUAUGUGAAUAUUCAGAUGAUGAGGUGACGUCGGGUAAAUUAAAUUCGGUCCAUUAAAUUGAUUACUAAGGCUGCGCAUGAUAAAAUUUCUGUUUUUUGAUUUCUCUGUUUCUCUGUUCCCCGGAACAGGUGUGGAACAGAAAUCCGUUUGGUAACGCAAUUUGAUUUCUCUAUUUCUGAAACAGAUUUUUAUUCUAGAAAUAGAUUUGAAGAAGAAAUCAGAAGCUAAAAUUUUUAGCUUCUCAGUUUCUGAAAUAGAAAUUGAGAAAUCAAUUUCUAUGCCAGAAAUUUUGUCAUGCGUUAUUUUUUUACUUAUCUAGUAUACUUAGCGUUAUUCUUCAACCUAUUUCUUUCACUUUCAACUUUGUAUAUGUAAUAUGCACCGCAUUGGGAAAAAUGUUUGGCGGUGAAGGAAUGUCUUGGUCUUGGUCGUCGCAGACAACCGUGUUUCCCAGGUCAUCUACAAGCUUCGAAGUUAAAAGCCGAAUCUUACAUGUUCGGAAAUUGCUUCAGCGCUAAAGUCCACUUCAACAUUUUUCACGUUGGAGUCAAAGUAGAAUAGGACUUUGACCGUGAAAAGAAAACAAUAAAGAAAAGGAAUAGUGCGGACUCGUUGAUUGGGUCAGAGAAAAAAAGAAACAAACAGGAAAUGAACUCCUUGUUUGAGUCGACAAACGUUCAUACGGAUGGCCAAUGCAUUCACCUCCGUUUGAGAGCGUGUGGGCAGCUACCAAAGCUCUCUCGUGGACUAAAAACGGGCCUCAUUUUGAAGCCCAUCUGCUGGGUUCGCGCCCUAGCCCACUCGGGAGGGCAUUAAUUGGUAUGACAAGCUUAACGUGUCUGUGAAAUAUAAAAUGAUCCGUAAGCCUCGUUCCCUUUUAUUAUGGUAUGAUUUUUUUAUUUUGUAUUUAUUUUAACUUGUUAUUUUUAUUAUAGUUAUGCCUAUGCGAAAAUUUUAAAAUCAAAAUGUCCCUAAUCGUGAUGAGAAGUAGCAAGCAAUGUGAUUACUAAAUGAUUCAUGCAAUUUUUGGGUUAGGGGUCAAUUUAUGCCAAUCCCUAAUAUUGAUAGAAAUGCUAUGGAGAUCCAAAUGUGGAAAUUUAUAUGUCAACAAUACCCUUUUCACUCUUUUUUUUAAUCACACUUGUAGAAAUUCAACCUAGACAUCUUAUCACAAAUUUAUAAACAGCCCAAUUAUCAUUAAUUUUGCAAAUGUUUUUUUUUUCAAAUAGUAUGUUACAAACUAUGUCGGUCUCAUAUAAUUUAUAUUGAAUAACUCUGACUUGAGUUAUUACUCUCUUGUAGAGACAAACUUACACAUGGCAAGCUGCAAGCAAUUUUGAGGGUGAUGACAAAAUGGGUUCGGGAGAAAUUUACAAGGCAUCUACACUUCCUUUCAGCAUUUGCACAACUUGGGUCAUACAUGGUCGAGCUCUCAAAAUUGAUUUGAAUGCACUAUAAGCCAGUUAUAAUAAUCUUCUUCACGAUCACUUCGUCCUCCUCAUUUGUGAUCCCGAGUAGUCCAAGCUCUUCUUGGAGCUCUAGGCAUACCCAAUGAGGGAAUUAUGCUUCAAUGGUUUGAUCUAUUGUGACUUUGAUACUUUUUCCCGUAUUGACCGUCUCCAGAACCAUUAUACCGUAGCUGUAAAUAUCUGAUUUGUGAGAAACCUUUUCGAUGUUCCUCAUUAUCAGUUCUGGAGCAAUGUAUCUAGCGAUGCCCAAUUCUCUCUUCUCUUGGGCAUAUUUUGGCAAGACGAAAGUCGGAAAUCUUGGGAUAAUAGUUUGCGUCAAGGAGAAUGUUAUGAGGCUUUAUGUUGAAGUGCAAGAUCCUCAUUUUGCAUGUACUAUGCAUGUACUCUAGCCCAUAAGCUAUUCUUAGCAAAAUCCGGUACAAUGUGCCCCAACUCAAUUGUUAAUCUACCUCCAAAGUGCUACUCUCGUCGAAAAUGAACUUCUCAAGUGAUCCAUUGGGCAUGAACUCAUGAACCAAAGCCUUUUUGCUUCCUUCAAAACAAAACCCUUCGAGGCUGGCAACAUUGACAUCAGAAGUGUUGGCUAUGCUCGCAACUUCAUUGAAAAAUUCUUUUACAUCGCCUUUCAGCAUCUUUAGUAGCUUCACUACCAUAGGUUGACUAUUUCAAAUUAGGCCAAUCCGAUUCAUGAGUUCAUGUGAAUUGAAUUCACUUGAACAGAGGUCAUUCGAUGAAAUUUGUUGAACAUGUCAAUUUUGCAUGAUAUUAAUCCUAUUUGAAAAAUGACAAACUCUAUUGAUAAUAUGAAUUAACACAUUGUUCACUUUCUUUUUUUGCAUCAUACUUAUAGUGAUUUAAUCUAGACAUUUGAUCACAAAUCUGUGAAAAAGCUCAAUAGUCAUUAAUACUUUCACAGUUGUUUUUAAAUACUCUAUUACAAACUAUGUUAUUAUGAUAUAAUUGACAUUGAAUAACCCCAACUUGAGUCAUUACUCUCUUGCAGAGACGAAGUUUCACAUGGACAAGUCUCGAGUGAUCUUGAGGUGAUGACAAGGAUGGUUCAUGAGAAAUUUGCAAGGUCUCAAUACUUUGUUUUAGCAUCUCCACAACUUGAGUCAUUGUUGGUUGAGCUUUGGAUCCAUCUAAAUGCACCAUAAGCCUAUUACAAUCAUCUUCUUUGCAAUUCCUUCAUCCUCCUCAUUCGUGAUCCCAUGCAGUUGGAGCUCUUCUUGGAGCUCCAAGCUUUGGCGGACCCAAUGAGGAAAGUAUUUUUCACUAGUAUGAUCUACCAUGACUUCGAUGUAAUUCCUCCUACCAACCAUCUCCAGAACCAUCAUGUUGCAGUUAUAGACAUCCAAUUUAUGAGAAACCCCUCUGAUGUUCAUUAUGAUUAGUUUUGGAGCAAUGUAUCCAGCAGCGCCCCGGGCAUCUAGCAUUGACAUGAUGCUCUCUUCUCUUGGGUAUAUUUUGGCAAGACCAAAGUUGGAAAUCUUGGGAUAAUAGUUUGCAUUGAGAAGAAUGUUGUGAGGCUUUAUGUCAAAAUGCAAGAUCCUCAUGUUGCAUCCUCUAUGCAAUAAUCUAGCUCAUGACCCAUGUUGAGUGAAAUAUGGUAUAUUGUGUCCCAACUUAAUGGUUAAUCUACCUCCAAAGUGCUACUCCUGUUGAAUAUGAACUUUUUGAGUGAUCCAUUAGGCACGAACUCAUAAACCAAUGCUCUUUUACUUCCUUCAAAAUAGACCCUAGGGGGCCAACAACAUUGACAUGAGAAGUCCUGCUUAUGCUCGCAACUUCAUUGAAAAAUUCUUAUGCAUCUCCUUUCAAUUUCUUUAGCAACUUCACUGCCACUAGUUGACCAUCUCAAAGGUAGCCCUUGAACAUGCAGCCAUAACCUCCUUGGCCUAACUUUUCUUUGAAAGAAUUAGUCAUCCUCUUGAUGUCUUUAUAGGUGUAUCUUUUUGAAGAGACAAGUUCCUCCAUUUACACUUCACCAUCAAAGUGUUUGCUUCUCUGCUUUAUCAAAGCCACAAUAAUUCUGAUUAUUGGUUUCUUCCACAAGUGAAGCAUUACGAUAAGGGUAACCCCAAUUUUAGCUCCCGAUGCAACCAUUCCUGAAAAAACGAAGAAUAUUUUUGAACAGCAAUCUCACUUCAUCACUUUAUCAUGGCUUCUAGAAUAUUUCAGAAACAUUGAUUCCACUGAGCAAUGAGGGAAGCUUACUGUAAAAAAAAAUCGGAACAAAUUGCAGCCAAGAAUGUACAGAAGUGGAAGAGGAAGUCUUGAAAUAAUCACCUAUUCCGAUUUUCAGUCCAACCGUUUUUUUCCCCCUGAAACUGUAGUCAUCAAAUGUGAUUAACGUGUCAAGAAUUGCAAACUGAUAAUUUCAAAGUGUCUAAGAGAUAUGAACAUCAGGGCACAUCAUGAGGUUAUAGGUCAUUCAGUUUUAAGAAAAAAAACACGCCACAAUGGAGUGAAACUAACGCAAAGAAAUUGGAAGAACUUAAGGACAUUACUUACAUAUAAUUAGCAAACUAUAGCAGAAAGAUAGAAACAUCAAAAUAUAUGAGGUUUCGAUAAGUUAUCUUGCGACCCGAAAGAUUGGAGAGUUAUGUUUGCAGUGGUAGGUGAGACCACAGUCUAAGCUAAGGCAAAGAAAUUGGAAGAACUUAAGGACAUUACUUGCCGCACGUAGAAAUUACCGAUCAAUAACAGGAAAAACAUCAUUUUUAGUAUUUUUUUUCUCCACUAUCAUCGUGAAAAAAAAUUUCAUUGAUAGUGUAGAGGCUUAAUUAUGUGUGCUGUUCACCUAUAUCAAUUUUGUAAAUAUAUUCAAUUACACGAUUGAAAAGAUUUUUAGCAUCACUUGUGGAGACGUAGUUUUUCUUUUAAUUUGGAUAGAACCCCAAGAAGUAAACAAGUAAUUUUAGGCCAACAUUAACAAAAUUUUACAGUAAAUGGGGAGCAUAGACACUCAAUGUAUUUAAACCAUUGGAUCUUGCAGAUCGUAGAUACCGACCCAAAGAUCUAACAAUUAAAGCAUAAAAAUUCCUAGAGUAUGAAUGAUAAAGUUUUAAACUUGGAGUCUAAGAGCACGCAUAAUAACUAUUCUAUUUUUGACUAGAACUAUUUUUUUUUUUAGGAACGGAUUUGAAAUAGAAAUACUUUUAAUAAUAUAAUCUCAUUUUUUUUUUAAUUUAUGAAACAAAUUUUUAGUUCCAAAAUAGGUUUAGAACAGAAAUAAGAUGUAAAAAUUUUCUACUUUUCAAUUUUUGAAAUAGAAAUGAAAAAUAGAAACUCUUUUCAUCACUCGCCCUUGCUAUUAGCGGCCUGCCAAUCACUAUCCGCCAUCCGCCGCCGCUACUCGAGAGGGAGAAACAUUAUAUUGUUAUCAAACGAAUUUCUCUUCCAAAAAUAGAAAUUUUAUGUCGUUAACAAACCCGUAUUUUUUCUCAGAAACUUGUCCAGAGAAUAGAAAUAAAAAUUUAUAUUUCUAGCUGGAAAUUGAUUUCUGGAACAAAACGUCCAUCAUUCCUGUCCUAAAUCGUGACAUGAUGGAUGUCAUGGGGAGGGUGAUUGCACUUCAUUAGAGGGAAGGAUAUGUAAGGGCAGCAACGAGACUGUCAGGCUUUAGGGGCAUGAGCCCUUCGUUUUCCAAACAACAAGCCAAGGGAAGGUAUGCCCAGCAAUUCCUCUCAUUUAACAACUUUAGCUAAUUCAAAACCACCUAUAAUGGAUUUGAAGGUGAGGAGUUUAUUGUGAUAUACGGAAAAAUGUGUUCAUGGAACACAACGUGACGAGAAGUAUAAAAACAUUUGAUUUGGAAUUCAAAACAUUUUCUCCAACUUUGCUGGGUCAUCUUUGAACUGAUUUGACUGAUGAUAUUUGAUAUAUCAUCAGCCCAAAAAAGCAACUUGGUUAAAAUCAGUGGAUCCCAAAAGCCCUUGACUCCUCGGCCAAGCCGGAUCUGGCCCAUAUCUCGUGAUUUAAAGGAUGAUGACCCACAUUGGCUCUUUAGCUCGGAAGCAAUAACCAGAACUUGCCAUCUUUUCAUGGCAGAAAUUGCUAAGGUCCAGAUAUUGCUGAAGCCUCAGUUAUUCAUUUAAAAGCCAAUUCCUCCGGAGGAAAACGAUCUAACCAAAGUAACAUCAACAAAUAAGAGAAAAGACAUCCUUCUGAAAGAAACCACCACUUUUCCAUAAAGUUUAUUCUAAAUUGUGACCAACUGAUAGAACCUACUUUUGAAAUUGCGCCAAAAAAAUAAAAAAAAUAUCACUUCCAUUUGGCGCAUAUAGUCCUUACUAGAAAAUUACUUUAGCCCGGGUGUUAAAUUAUCUCACAUCACUUGUCUACAGAAUUUUGUAUUCUCUUUACAUACAUGUGAUCUUUAUUCACUUAUAAAUUUACGUUUUUGGAUAUUUUGAACACGCUAUUAGAGUCAAGUUCUUCCUAGAUUUUUUUAAGUGUGCCGCCCCUGUGAGUCAAAUUCCAUGUGUGGCUUCUAAUAUGAUUUAUACUCAAAUGGGGUGUUAAGGUAUUUCACCUCGCUUGUUUAUGGCUAAUAUUUUAUUUAAGGAAAAUUUCAAAUAAGUAUCUAAAGUGGGGUUAUUUUCUAUAAUAAAACAAAGGUCAAAAGUUGAUCUUGUUCCAAAUAAGGGCAUAAAAUAGCCAAAGGAGUCUCAAAUAAGGGCUUGAACUAACCGGCUAGCCAAACCUUCAUCGGCAAACUUUCUCAAGCAACUAAAACAAGGGCAAUCCUGUCCAAGAUAAGUAAUUGUGUAAAAAAUGGAUAAAAUACCCAAAUUGAAUUAGGAUUAGGGUUCUUCCUUUAAUUUUUUCUCUUUUUCUUCUACCACUCAAACAAAAUGCUAUCGCUUGCUCUGCUGAAGGUAUCUUUGGAUAACGCUUUAGUCACUCUGACUGUCACUCUCUCUCUCCCUCUCAUCCAUUGCAAUUCAUAUUUAGGUGAAUGAAAAUCCGCCAAAUGAGCAUUGCGCGAUCUUUUGAGGCCAUUUCCCUCAAUAUUUGAAGGGUGGGCUGAAAAUUUUGGGAUAAUUAUUUGAAAUUUUAUGACAUAGGACUACUCGGUUUGCUCAUGCUUUUGAAUCAUAGGUAAUUGUUAUUUUUGAAUUUGUUUCUCAUAUCCAUUUUCCCUUUUGGAAUUUGUUUCUUAGAUCCGUUUCUCUUUCACAUUUAGAGUUUUCUCUUCUCCCUCUAAUUUUUACAUGGCUUUCUUCUUUAACCUCUAUGGAGGGGAGGAUUUGAGCUGGAUCUCUCCCUCCCCUUCCUUUUUGCCUUUUCGUUUGUCUGAUUUGAUUCUUUGUUCUCUUUUUCUUACUUUCCUCAUAUUUUGUGGAACUUUUCUCUUCCGAUCCAGUUUAGAUUAAGAAGCUUCUCUCUCCCAUUUUGAGUAGAAUUAUAUCCCAAUCUAGUCAAGAUUUGGAGAUUUUGCAUGUAUUAUUUCGGAUUUUCGCUUCCCCCAAGUUUUGUUGGUGUGCAAGUCCAAUUUCAAAUGAUAUUGGAAGAGCUUCAUGAGGGAUUCUCUUUCACAAGUGUCAGAUCUUUACUCACUCAACCCUAUAUUUCUAAACAGCCAUAAGGUUGGGGAUAUCAAACCUAAGUGUGCACUAUCGCAAGGCAAAGCCAUAGCAAUAGAUGGAGAUCUCGAUGCAUGCUCAUUAUUGAAGACGGAUUUGGUGAUUGACCAUCAAUUUUGGUUUGAAAAAAUCUCAAAUCUGCUAUUCGAGCAAGUGAAACCUUAUUCUAACAAUUCUUCUUGUUAUCUAGAGCUUGAUUUGUUUUGAAGUUGUCUAGGAUUUGUCUUGGCUUGCAAUUAGACUACGAUGUUUAUCUCUUGUAUUUACCCAAAAAUGAAUAAAAAGUUACUUUGACCCCAAAAAAAUUAUUUCCCAGAGAGAGGAGGAGUCAUCCAUGUAUCCAUUUUUAACUGUUGCAAUUUCUGUUACAGACAAAAGGGAAUAAAAUUAUAUUUUUUAGUUGAAAUUCAAGAGUCGAUUAUGUGCAAGUGUUUUGCAUGGGCUUGUCCUAUGAUAAUUUAGGCAAACCAAACAACUUUAGUGUAAGCUGUAGUCUUUUCUCUUAUUCGGGAUGCUCUUGGUUUAAGAGAAAAUAGAAGAAAUGCAAGUGUAAAAUGGUGAUGGUGUUGUGGCACUUCUUGGUCUUCUCAUUUUGCCAUCUAUCAAGCUAAAUUUAAAUGUGAUGAAUGGAUAUUCGCCAGUCCACUUACAGUUUUCUUUUCUUUCUUUUUCAUUUGAAAAUUCUUAAUUAGGAUUGUUUUCUGUGAUUAUGUUUGUUUCCUUGUUUCUGAUUACAAGAGUUGAUUAUGUGCAAGUGUUUAGCAUGGGCUUGUCCUAUGAUAAUUUAGGCAAACCAAACAACUUUAGUGUAAGCUGUAGUCUUUUCUCUUAUCCGGGAUGCUCUUGGUUUAAGAGAAAAUAGAAGAAAUGACAGUGUAAAAUGGUGAUGGUGUUGUGGCACUUCUUGGUUUUCUCAUUUUGCCAUUUAUCAAGCUAAAUUUAAAUGUGAUGAAUGGACACUCGCCAGUCUACCUACAGUUUUCUUUUCUUUCUUUUUCAUUUGAAAAUUCUUCAUCAAGAUUGUUUUUUGUGAUUAUGUUUGUUUCCCUGUUUCUGAUUACAAGAGUCGAUUAUGUGCAAGUGUUUUGCAUGGGCUUGUCCUAUGAUAAUUUAGGCAAACCAAACAACUUUAGUGUCACGCUCCGAUCCUCGGGCACGCACACAUCCUUCUAAUUGGUCGAUUUUAAAAUGCGAUAUCCCAGAACUAUGUAUCGCCGACUCUUUCUAUUAUUAAGCACAUGCGGAAGCAGUUAUAAAUCCUCAGACAAUAAAACAAUGGGAUAAAAAAGUAGGUCAUAUAUUUCAUAUUGAAAUCCACAACCAAACCUUUAUACAUGACAUAAAGCAGAGUACUUCACAACUAUUCACAUCAAAACAGAGAUUUCAAAAGAAGAUGGAAUUUUCAGUCCUCUGGAUCGUACUCAAGAUCCCUCUCGGGAUUAUCUUCUUCUUCCAAAAAUACUUCUCCUCAAGUUUCACUUCUGAGUUCUCCUUCUCAGACUCUUCCUCCUCAGCUCCUCAGCGGGGUCUUAAAAUGAUUUCCCCAAACCGGGAUGAGACUACGUCUCAGCGAGUUCUACCCCACUAAGGCCCGAUUAGUAAAUCAUUAUACUAAAGGUUGCCUAAACACGCACAGGGCAGAUGACUUACCUUAGCCUCAGAUCCCACCUGCAAGUUAGCACAAUUCACAAUAGGCACUCAUUUACUCCAAACAAAUCAAACCAGUCGAUUACAUGUCAAACAGACCAUUCUAGAUCAUUCAUUCCACACCAUAUAUCCUUCCAUCGAGUACUCGGUCACAGAGCCACAUCAAUGCUCUCGGGCGUUAAGUUCGCCAAGGUGACGUAUCCACUAGACAAUUGCGUACGUUCUUUAAGGCGCCGUUUUCGCCAGUGAUAUCCCAAAUCACCGAACCACACAUGCCUACAAUGAUUUUUUCAAUAGACAAUUGCGUGCGUUCUUUAAGGCGUCGUUUUUGCCAGUGAUAUCCCAAGUCACCGAACCACAAAUGCCUAUAAUCAUGUAUUCAAUAGACAGCUACGUGCGUUCUUUAAGGCGCCGUUUUCGCCAGUGAUAUCCCACAUCACCGAACCACGUAUGUCUAUGAUGGGAUAUGUACUAGACCGAUACGUGCGUUCUUUAAGGCGCUAUUUUCGCCAGUGACAUCCUUAGUCACCGAACCACGUAGGCCCAUACACCGUGUCUGAUUAGCUAUAGCUCAAAGUAUUUCCAGUUCACUCUCAUGAUUCCAUCCACUUUACAACUCAUCAAAGCAUUAUAAAUGCUAAAUAAACAUAUUCGGCCAUCUACCAAUCAAUCAUUCAAUCUCAAUCAAUUCCAAAUCAAUUUAGGGUAAAUCCCUAAAACAUCACAAUUUAUUUAAUUCCAUGCAACGUAGAGCUCAAAUAAAUAAACGAACUGCGCCACAACAAUCAGCAUGAGAUUUCGGUCGUCGGCCAUUUCAAUCUUAAUUUCCGAAAUAUAAUUAAUUAAUAAAUAUUAAAAAUUCAAUUUAACACAAAAUAAAGCCCAAUUAAAUAAACGGACUUCACCACGGUCAUCAGCAUAAUAUUCUGCAUUAGCCAUCUCAAUUGAAAUUUCGGAAAAUAAAUAAAUAAAUAAUUAAUUUGGAAAAUUAAAUAAUUAUUAUUAAAAAUUCGAUUUAGCUCAAAAUAAAACUUGAUUAAAUAAAUGGACUUCACCAUGGUCAUCAGCAUAAUAUUCCGGUCUCAGGCCAUCCCAGUUGAAUUUUCGGAAAAUAAAUAAUUAUUUAAUUUAAUUCCGAAAAUUAAUAUUUAAAUACCAAAAAUUCCACUUAGGCCAGAAAAGCCUAAUUGGAGCCCACUAAGGGUCGGGAAAAAUCCCAUGACACUUUCAAUAAAUAGUAGACCACGUCUACUUGCCAAUUGCACACUCAAUUUAGCUAAUUCGCAUCACAAUUGAUUAAUAAACACUAAUCCAUACUAAUCUAACCAUCUAAACCUAAUUAAUUAAAACUAAAACAAUCUUAAGCACAAUUAGCCAACUAAUCCUUAGCCAACUAAUCAGGGAUUAGUGAGAUUACUCACCGGAAACGCACGCAAAACUUAUCAAUCUGACGAGGAUGACACGAGGAACAACAAACUCCAAAGCGGGUCUCGAGUCCGGGGCCCGGAAACGGCCCAAAACGGUCCGCGAACCGGCUGGAUACCCACUCCGUGGGUUGCGGUUCAAGGCUGGCCGGAGCUGAUCCGGCGACUAGGGUGGCGAGGGGAGGCCGGCGGAGGGCAAGGGGUACACCAGGGAGGCCGGGCGGUGGCCGGACGAAGCUGGGCGGUGGCCAGAGGUGGCUGGUCGGGCCGGAACUGAGCUAAGCAGAGGCCGAACGGAGCUAGACGGCGCACGGCGAGGACAGCAGGCGCUGGCAGGAGGCGGCGGGGUGCGCGGCGUCGCGCGGGCGCGCGGUGCGGGCGGCGGGACGGGUGGCGACGGCGAGCUGCAGCUUCUGCUCGAGCUUCUGUUUCUGGUUCGCUUGCUCGAACGCGCGGAGGGGAGAAGGAGAGAGAGUGCGAGAGAGAGAGAGAGGGAGAGAGAGAAGAAGUCGGUUGGGGGGGGGAAAGUUGUCCGCACGAAGAGGGAGGGAAAGGGGAGAGGAGAGAGAAGAGAGAGAAAAAAAGAGAGAAAAAGAGAGAAAAGAAGAGAGAGGGAGAGAGGGAAAAAUAAAAUAAAAAUACUACAAUUAUUCUUAUUUUAUUUUAUUCUCUUUUCCUUUUUAUUUUCUUUUGAUCUUCAAUUUUCCUCUGAUAAUUUAUUUAUUGAAAUUUCGGACUCGUCAAUAAUUUGACGGCCGAUGAGAUAGGAUCCUAAAAAUGAAUUGUGACACGCUUGAAUAUUCGAUUCCCGAAACUAAAUUAAAUUUUAUGGUUAGAAUCAAUCAAACGCGAUUUUAGUCCAAUCCAACCAAUUGAGUAGCUUUUAGGGAUUUUACUGCAGAUACAUCCUUUAACGGCUUCACCCAAUAGGUUAAUUAACUUGUGAGUGAUCAGCUCAGAGAAAAAUGACCAUAAGCACGUUGAUGAAAUGCCCAUUUCACUUUAUCGAAAACAUGGUCGAAUUUCAGGAUGUCACAUUUAGUGUAAGCUGUAGUCUUUUCUCUUAUCCGGGAUGCUCUUGGUUUAAGAGAAAAUAGAAGAAAUGACAGUGUAAAAUGGUGAUGGUGUCGUGGCACUUCUUGGUCUUCUCAUUUUGCCAUCUAUCAAGCUAAAUUUAAAUGUGAUGAAUGGAUAUUUGCCAGUCUACCUACAGCUUUCUCUUCUUUCUUUUUCAUUUGAAAAUUCUUCAUUAGGAUUGUUUUUUGUGAUUAUGUUUGUUUCCCUGUUUCUGAUUACAAGAGUCGAUCAUGUGCAAGUGUUCUGCAUGGGCUUGUCCUAUGAUAAUUUAGGCAAACCAAACAACUUUAGUGUAAGCUGUAGUCUUUUCUCUUAUUUGGGAUGCUCUUGGUUUAAGAGAAAAUAGAAGAAAUGACAGUGUAAAAUGGUGAUGGUGUUGUGGCACUUCUUUGUCUUCUCAUUUUGCCAUCUAUCAAGCUAAAUUUAAAUGUGAUGAAUGGAUAUUCGCCAGUCUACCUACAGUUUUCUUUUCUUUCUUUUUCAUUUGAAAAUUCUUCAUCAGGAUUGUUUUAUGUGAUUAUGUUUGUUUCCCUGUUUCUGAUUACAAGAGUCGAUUAUGUGCAAGUGUUCUGCAUGGGCUUGUCCUAUGAUAAUUUAGGCAAACCAAACAACUUUAGUGUAAGCUGUAGUCUUUUCUCUUAUUUGGGAUGCUCUUGGUUUAAGAGAAAAUAGAAGAAAUGACAGUGCAAAAUGGUGAUGGUGUUGUGGCACUUCCUUGUCUUCUUAUUUUGCCAUCUAUCAAGCUAAAUUUAAAUGUGAUGAAUGGAUAUUCGUCAGUCUACCUACAGUUUUCUUUUCUUUCUUUUUCAUUUGAAAAUUCUUCAUUAAGAUUGUUUUCUGUGAUUAUGUUUGUUUCCCCGCUUCUGAUUACAAGAGUUGAUUAUGUGCAAGUGUUCUGCAUGGGCUUGUCCUAUGAUAAUUUAGGCAAACCAAACAACUUUAGUGUAAGCUGUAGUCUUUUCUCUUAUUCAGGAUGCUCUUGGUUUAAGAGAAAACAGAAGAAAUGAUAGUGUAAAAUGGUGAUGGUGUUGUGGUACUUCUUGGUCUUCUCAUUUUGCCAUCUAUCAAGCUAGAUUUAAAUGUGAUGAAUGGAUAUUCGCCAAUUUACCUACAGUUUUCUUCUCUUUCUUUUUCAUUUGAAAAUUCUUCAUUAGGAUCGUUUUCUGUGAUUAUGUUUGUUUCCCUGUUUCUGAUUAAUUUUUCUUUUGUGUUACACGAACUGCUAUGGAGGGACUCUUUUUGUUUUGUCGUCACUACUUCUAGUCUGUUGAUACAGCCGCAAUGUUGCAUGCCUCAAUUUUUUUUGACUUGCUGAGCGGGAGUUCUUCAUUUUUAUCGUGGCUCUACUUCUUGCAUUGUAUCAAAGGGAAGUAUGCAAUUUUUGGAUUUAUUGUCAGGUUUUCCGUACAUUUAGCUAGUUGGACUUGGACAGAUUAUGUCAACAUCUUAAGGCGCGCAUGACAAAAUUUCUAUUCCCGGGACAAGUUUCCGAGCAAAAAAACUCGUUUGAUAACGACUUAAAAUUUCUAUUUCUGGAACAGAAAUUCGUUUGAUAACAUAAUAAAAUUUCUAUUUCUAGGAAUAUAAAUUGAUUAGAUACAAACAUAGGAAAUCCUCAAAGACAAAAUAAUAGUUGAAGUAAUACUAAAACAACAUAGGAAAUCAUUGAAUACAAAAUAAUAGUCGAAAUAAUACUAAUACAUUACAAAAGUUGAAAAUACAAUUUCAUGGAAUUUUCGGCAUAUUAUUAUCCCUUGCCAUUUUAUUGGCAAUGGUUUUUCUAAGCGUAUUUAUUUGGUUUCCCUCCUCGGUCAAUGUAUCAUUUGCAAGAUCAUCUUGCAUAAGUUCAGACAAGUAUUGCGGAAGCAUGAAUAUGGGUGCCAUCAAUGGCGCCUAUAUAGCCCUGUCAUUUUAUCAAAGACUAGUAUUAUACAAGAUUAUCAACAAAAUAAAAUUGAUGGUGUAAAGGAAUAUCUGAGAAUUCUACCUUGAAGUAACGCUUAUGGUUAGGAACCAAUCGGGGGAAGGUCGGUUUAUUUUGAUUCUUGAAUUGAAUCAGUCCAGUUGUUCAUCCCUAAUUUCUUUAUUGUUGCUCAAUGAACCUUUAAUGGCUCUUGCAUAGCAAAGAGAGAGAUUCUCUUGAAUCUCUUGUCUUCGAAUUAAAAUUCAAGAUUGUGUAACAAUCUAAUUAUUUUGAUUUUGCAAGAAUUUUGAAUCCGUAAAGAAAUAAGGUUAAAUUUCUAGGCACGUUUUUAUUCAUUUAUUGCAUAAGAACCUUUUCUUCAAUUGGCCAUGCGCGUGCCCUUUCUAGGAGGAAAGAGCCCCAUUGUUUUUAAAUAAGCAUUUAAGAACUUUAGUCGUUUUUGAAAAUUGGGGACCCAUUCGAUUGGCUUUCAUCCUAAAGAGGAAGUUAUAAAAAAAUUGAAAAAAAAAACACGAGCAAAAUAAGAAAAAGAAAAUUAAUAAUAAUUUGUGAAGUUGUGGUUAUGAGUGAAUUAAGUUAGCAAGAAAGCGCAAUGUUCUUUUAUAUGGUUUGAUUUCAAUUUCUGAUUUCAAUUUCAGAAACUGAGAAGUUAAAAAUUUCAGCUUUUGAUUUCUUCGACUUCUCUAUUUUUGGAAUAGAAAUCUGUUUCAGAAAUAGAGAAAUCAAAUUGCGUUACCAAAUAGAUUUCUGUUCUAAACUUGUUCCGGGAAACAUAGAAACAGAGAAAUCAAUAAAUAGAAAUUUUGUCAUGCACGCCCUUAGUAUCUACUUGUGAUGGAGCUGUCACAUGAUGCCUUCUGAUCACAAAAACACGACGAUUGGAGCCAACAAGAGCACAAUCAGCGUUACUCCUCCAGAAACGAUGACCAUGUCAUUAAUGGUCAACAGGCUAAAAAAAAUGUGACUGCAAUUUGAAGUAAUUACCAGUCAAACAUGAAUAAUUCUUCAUUCCAUCCACAAGCCGAAGUAAACAUCCUGCACAAAUGCAGCGACCCAUGGCAAACCCGAUGCCAAGUGCACACAUUCUUUUGAUGAUCUAAGGCUGUCACGUGAAUGGGAAUCCUAGUGUCCGUUUGUUUCAAAAGAAAAUGUAACGUCUUUGAAAAAUAUUUUCCAAAAAAAAAAAGAGAGUAUUUUCGGUGUUUGGCUUAAACCCAAAGAUGAACUAGAUGAUCAUUUGGCUAGGAAAAAUUAUCAAUAAUUUUGAAUUUUUUAAUUAUUUUUUAUUCACUUUUUUUUCCUCCUUCCUCAACCAGUCGUCAUCGCUAGUCACCGCUGCUAGCUAUCAUCACUGGUCACUGCCCAGUUGUUAGUAGAUUUGCCAAUUUUCGAUCGCCAAUCACUACUGAUCAUUGAUCAUGUGAUCAUUGCAGGCUAUCACUAGCAAAGGAAGAAGCAAAACGAAAAAGAAAGAAAAUAAAAUAAUAUAUAAUAAUAAAUAAUUAAAAUUUCGAAUAUUUAGAAAAAAUAAUUAAAAUUCGAUUUUUUUUUAAAUACAAAAUGAUUAUACGUUUUUCAAAGUACUUUUAUAAUAAUAAAUGUUUCAUUAACCAAGGACCCCUGCACGGCCAUUGUUGUCCCAGACUUGAGGGUUAAGAUCAAAGAGUGAGUGCUGGGGACCCAAGCACGAUCUUUUAUGAACUUGGGCUCGAGUGCCAAAGUAUUAUGUAUAGGCACCAUGGGAUUGGGCCUAGCCUUGAUGGAUUCGGGCAUGGGUGCUAGGUCCCAAGCCCCAGAAUUGAGUUCUUAGGCCCAGCCUCAAUGGUCCCAGGCCCAUUUGCUGAAGACCUGCUUUUGAACGUUGAGACCUAACGUUAGGGUUUCCGUGUCCAAGCAUAAAGUUUCAAGUCAGAGCAUCGACACCUAGUUAUUUUUUGGAAGAUGUUUUAUGAUUCUUUCCAAGAAAAAAUCAUUUUUUUGAAUUUAAAUUUUAAUAGGAAAACAUUUUUCGUUGACUCAUUUUCCUAAAUGAACCAAGCGCCGGAAAAUAAGAAAAAUAUAUAUAUAUUUUUAAAAAAUUUCACAAAAUAAACGGACUGUCAUAGAUCUCUUUAGCUAAAACGACUGCAUAAAACUAAUCCAGUGGUUUCAUCUACUCUAUAGUGCCAUUCACUUUCUUCAAUCCCUCUGUUUCUUGGGAUUGCGUGCACUUCAUUUAUACGGAACCUUUGGGUGACGGUCAACUGCUCUAAUGGAGUCGAUGUGCCGUGACCACAAGUGAGGAGCCCAUGUACACAAUCAUAGCACAGAUGUUGAUACAGUACCUAUUGUCGGUUGCAUACAAUUUGCAACCUCGCUCUGUGCGGUGAGCACAUAACUCUCAUCAUAUAAAGGUUCAUUGAGAUAAUUCGAAGAGGACAUCAUUCUAAACGGCCAAAAUUUAUAUUGUCCAUCAUGCAUAAUAAAUCAUAUAAUAAACCACAUUCGAGACAUGAGAUCAUACUGAGGAUGGGAACUUAUGGGCUUUAAAGUCCCAGCCCUAAUAUGUAUGAUAAAACUAUAAUUUAACAUUAAAGACGUGUUUGAUAACAUUUCUGUUCCGGGAAAUAAUUUAUUUCAAAAAUAGUUUUUUAUCUAUUUCUACUCCCUAAAAUAAUUUUUGAGUAAAAAAACAUAUUUGGUAACUAUACAAAAUUUCUAUUCUUGGAAUUAAAAAAGAAUAGGAAUACGUUUGGUACAACUCACAAUUUCUUUUAAUUUUUUAGUAAUUCUUUUAGGAUUUUUUUUUAUCUUUCUUCUUCUUCUUGCUCCUUCUCUAGCUGUUGCCGUCGUGGCCACCGGUGGCCAGUGACCAAUGGCCGAUGGCGGCAAUGGUAGUAGCGGUGGCCGGUGACCGACGGCGGCAAGCGGUUGAUUCGGUAGAUGGUGGGGAAGGAAGAAGGAAAAAAAAGAAAAAACUUAUUUUUAUAAAUUAUUCUGGGAAUAAAAAGCUACUUUUUUCUAUUUCUUAUUUUUGUUCCAAAUCUAUUCCCCAGCCACAUUUCUAUUUUGAGGAAGAGAAAAAUUAGUUGACGUUACCAAAUGGAUUUUUAUUCUUUUUUUUUAAUUCCGGGAAAAAAAGAGAAAAAAAACAAUGAAAUUGAAAGUUGCCACGCAAGACCUAAGCUUCAUGCUAUCAAAGCCACAUACUAAAGCACGGAUACUACGAACCUCAACUCACCUUAAUUUUGUCAAGAUGUCCCAAGCGAAACAAAGAGGCGAGGUGUGCUGCUGAAGGAAAAACUAUGAAGGCAAAGUAACCGUGAGGGCACAGGUGGAGGUUUGGGUACGGAUCAACGUGUUGGACAUGGCGACGAGGCUAUAUGCCGUCGUCAGGAGCUAGCUGGGGUGUCGGGACUGGUCGUGCAACCUAGAAUAUUGCCGAAGCUGCUAGACAGAUCGGUGGAGGCUCUGGUUGCGAUGAGGGAGCUGGCAGCGGUUGCUGGACAUUCCCUAAGAAACUUGUUGGAAUGCUAGGAUGAUGAGGGGCUCAACUGGUCUGGCGAGGUGGAAUUACCAGCAAUGACAGGGCACAGCAACUAGUCUCGCUGGAUGUUGUGAUAUCUCUAGAUUAACUCACUCAAGGAGAUAGUGUCUGCAUUUUCUACUUUAGCCCAUCCCAUACCGAGCUUACAAUUUUGUUUUUUGGCGUGCAGACCGGCCUUUUCCUAGGUUAUCACCCAUUCUUUACAGGCCCACCAGCUUCAACUCAGUUCGUUCCCAAACCACAUAUUGUAAAGGUUCUUGAUCUAAUAUCAUAUUGCGAAAUCCCUGAAUUAAGUAUUUUUCACUUUAACCCGUCUCAUACUGAGUCUCAAUUUUGUCGUUUUGCGUACAAGUAGGCAGCAAAGUUUUGCCUUUACGUCAAAAGGCACUUCCGUGUGUUAAUUUAGUUUUUCAAGUACAUAUCUCAGAAAUGCUCUCUCCUAAUUCAGUGCAUAAUUUGAUUAAUUCCUGCCUCAUUUGUCAUCUUUCGCCAAGGUUGCAAGAGGCUCGGCGAAACUGUUGGGCUUCCACCAGAGAACCUGCAGGAACACCGUGAGCGCGAGGAAUUCAAACGGCGGCUUAUUGGCACUGCUGGAAAGGACUACUACCGGACGACUGCCAAGAUGAGGAGGAGUCGCUGGUAGAGAAUCUCCUGCACGCGGCUGAAUGGAUGGGAUGCACCGGAGCUUCGAUAGACGCGCUGAGAGAGAGAUGAGAGGGGCGAGAGAGCUUCGCUAUGAAAAUUCUUUGAGCGCGUGUGUUUGUUGAUCGUUCCCCCCAUUCGAGUGGUCUCUGGAGUCUCUAUUUAUAAGUAUUUGGAAAUCCCAGAGACAAGGGUGUGAUUUUUUUUUUCCAAAAUGAGACGAACAUCGUGACUUCAAAUUGGAUGUCCCCCCAUUCGCUACGGAAAUUUCAAUUUUUGAGCACCAACUUUUAUCCGAAAAUUCCAAUUCACUGCUUUUAACCUUCCCCCACCCCUCUCCUCUCUCUUUAAUAUCCAACUGUGGAUAAGGAGAGCAGUUCUAGAUUCUAUACAAAUUUCAACCGAAAUCUACCCGCUAAAAUAAGUUUCUCAACUAUGGAUAAGGAGGCCAUCGAAAUGUUCACUCCUUUGCUAGAUCAAAGCCAUAAUUCAUCUAAUCAUUGGUUUCUUCCUAAAUAAAAGCAUUAAAAUAAGGGUGAUCCCAAUUCCAGUUCCCGAUGCUGCUUUUUCUUGAAAAAACAUAGAAUAUUUCGAAACAGCAAUCUCACUUCAUCACUUUAUUGAGGCUUUUAAGUUGUGAAUCUUUAUAGAAAAUAGACAACGAAAAACACAAUUUAACAAAAUACCUAUUAUGGCUUUUGUCCCCAGAAUGCCACAUUUCCCUGCUAUGACACAAAUGCUUAUCAAAUAAAUCCCGAACGAAGUUGGGAUGAAACUAGUAAAAGAGUGCUUCCUACAAUAUGAUAGACCGUACAUAUAUCUCGAAUGGAAACAUGUGCUCAUGCUUGGAUCCACCCUGAAAGAACAGUUUUAUAGGUAGAGUUCUCAACAUUUUAUAUUUUAAUUGCACGCUUGGUCAGAUUUUAGCAUCACUAGUGGAGGCGGAAGCUUUUUUCUGUUUGGUUGCACGCACAACAAAAUUCCACAAAGAAAGUCAAGUCACUUUAAUCUAACAUACGCAAAUUUUACCGUGAAUUUGGUGCACCUCUACUCAAUACAUUAAAACAAUUGGAUCUUGUAGGAUGCAGAAGGCAACCUCAAGAUCAAACAAUCAAGGCAGAAAAGGUUGAGGUGAAGUUCUAAUUUACACCUUCCCUCCGCAUAUAUAAAUGAAAGAUCAAGCAAAAGCAGUAGAUAUGAAAUGUCAGUCAAGAAGCAAAAGCAGAAAACGGAAUCCUCCAGGCUUUUACCAUCAUUGUAGCUAUAAGAAUGAGGAGCAUCUUGGCAAAGGCAAACAAAACACUUGCUGCAUUAAUUGCAGACCAAUUCAAUAGGAACCCCUUCUUAAUCUCACUGUAAUCCAUAGACAUCAGGGCUAGGGAAAUUGGCAUUUACGUAUAUAGGUAUGCUAACUGUAGAGUAGCAAGAGCUGACAACAUAAUAGUAAUCCAUUUCCUGUAAUGCUUCCUUGGAAGAGAAAGCAAAAGAAUGGUGGGUGGAAUUGCUAGCACAGUCCACUAAAUAUGUAAAAACUUGUUGGUUGGCUGUGAGGAUGCAAUUAUAGUAGAAGAAGAAAUUGGCUUUAGUGGAAUUGAGAUUGAAAGGCCAUCUUUUGAGGCUGAUAUUACGCACAGGAGCAUCACUUGAUUCCUGGUACACGGGGGCAUUAUAUAAGAGGAAUGAAUUGUGUGCAUAGAAGAUAUUCUUGAUAUUAAACCCCAUGUCCAAGAAAGUCAGGACAUGGUAUAUCUCUUUGCAAGUAAUCUUGAAAUUCGGAUUACCACAAUAGGACUCUUGUUCGCCACAAAUCCUAAAAGGGUAGCUGAUGUUCGGCUGAUAUCUGUAAUUCAGAGGCAUACAUGCCUCGUGAUGUGCAUCAUCCGAUAGAGCCAAAUAGACUAAGUUGGUGAAGAUGAUGUUAAUGACCAAUUGGUGACAAGUAGCUACUCACAUGAAGUUUUGGUGAUUCAUUUGGACCGGAAGGAGGUAAAGGAUUGCAGAGGAUAGGAGAAAGAGGUAGGAGAGAGUGCGUGUCACGCCCCGAACCCCGAGCGCGUGCCCAUCCCUUGGUGGUCGACAAAAAUUUGCGACUUUCCAGGACGAGUGCCGACCCUUUCUUUUUAUUGCACAUGCGGAAGUGAAUAAUAAAUCCUCUGACAGUAACCAUCUCGGGAUAGAAAAGCAGAACAAUAGAAUUACAAACACAACAUGCUUUUAUAAACCAGCUGAGUUAUAUAUAAAGGUCAGCAACCAAAAGUCUACAAAAGACGGUUCUCCAAAAAGAAGUUGUCCUAACUGACCUACUCCUCAUAUCCCCUCAGCUCGACUCCGGGUACUCUGCUCUACGGCCUUGAAAAUUGAGCCCACGACGGGGUGAGAUAUAAAUAUCAGCGAGUUCAUGCUCCAAACCCCGAUUAGGAGGGUAAUACAUCUGGAAGCGUUCUAACCACACAAUCACAGAGAUUUACCUCGUCUUAGAUUCACUCUACAGGUCAGCACAGUUCAUAUACAUCAAGCAUAAAUUCGAUGCAUGCAACAAUUGAAAUGCCUUACUCAACUCAAUAAAUCAUAUGGGUCCUGAUUAUAGGGCCAAAUCGUUAUGACACAUCCCAUAUCAUGUCACACAAUUUUGUUCCAUAAUUCAACACAUUUAUUUCACUUAACACGCGUUCCAAUUGAUAAUUAUGCCCACUUUAGGAUACAGCCUACUUGAAGUUUGGCGGUCUACUAUCGUAGUCAGGUAUCGUUUCACCUCAUUGAGCAUAGCUACGUCUCUCAAAGAUGGCUUUCCCGAAGGAGUAUAGGUCCAGACUUUACUGUGACCCAAAUCCCAUAUAGGGUGACGUCCAGUGUAAACGCUUGGGACAAGUUCUCUUAACCAACACACGACAAUUCAAUCUCGGCCCAGGACACCGUGCAUUGCACUCAAAUGCCUCAAUUAAAUUAGUAAUCUUGGCAUAUUUUCUUCGUAUUAAAAACAUUCGGUGAAAACAGUCGUAUGUGAGUACACGGUUAAAUUGGACCUGGAAAAUUCAUAACAUUCUUUUUAAAAUCCCACUGGUUUAAUAGUAUAUAAAACCAUUUUCAGUGUUUAAACCCGACACCUGGGAUUUUCUUAAUAAAUAUCAAAAUCCACAAAUUUUGGAAUUAAAUACUCAAAAUUUCAAUCAGCACUCAAUUUACAAAAACUAACACUCAAUUGCAAAAUUUAACCACACCAUUGCAAUCAGCACGAAAUUCCGAUCAUCAACUAUCCCAGUUUAAUUUCCGGAAAACAUUUAAUAAUUGAAUAAUUUCAAAAAAUUAAUUAAAUAAAUCAAUUUAAAUACCAAAAAUAUAAACUUAGGCUAAAAAUUGCUAAGCUAACCACCUAUUGAACUAAUUAAAUUAUCCUAAUCAUUCUAACUAUAAAGCCACCUAACGAGCUUACUAAAUUUAAGCUCUAACCACAUAAUUCACUAAUCUAACUAACCUAAAUUAAUUAAAUAAACUAAAACUACACUAGUCUAAACUUAAAUAAAUCUAAACACUCCUUAAACGUCAUUAGCCUACUAAGAAGAGUUUAGUGCAUAAACUCACCGAUUUAACGCGGAAACCGGUUUACCAUGAUUGUGGCGCGACAGCGGCCGAAACUUGAGAUUGCGGCGGCGCCAACGAGGCUCGGAUUGGGCCUAAAACCGGCCCAAUAAAUCUUAGCCCAAGCUAAGAUUUGUUCUGGAUUUGGGCUUGCCUCUUGGGCUUCAAGUGGGCUGCUGGACCAAAGCUAAAGAUGGGCUGAAUACUGGCAUGGACUGAACUGCUCAAUUGAUGGGCUGGCUUCUUGUGGGCUGUUGGCACGAACAAGCUAGGCUGAACAAAGAAGCAGGUGGGCUAGCGUCGAGCUGCACGAAGAGGAAGCAGCAGCUGGCGUCCAUGGAAGAGGGUUAUUGACUCAAGCGUGGCAGCAAACGGCAACUCGGUGGAGAGAGGGAGGCGGACUGGCAACUUCGGUGGGAAUCUCACACGGACGAUUGGCCGAGUUUGACCGAGUUUGACCGAGAAGGGGUUGAAUCUUGGACAGAUGGCCGCGGAUGAAGAGAGAGUAGUAGCUGAUUUUUCGUGGGGAUGGCUGAAUGAGCAGCAGCUUCGGUGAGACGCGUGGACGAGGCGGUCAACUUCAGUGGAGCGGCUUGAGGUUAGUUGACUGAAGGGAACACAACUUGGUGGAGAUGGGCUGCUAGCAAUUCCGCAGAGGCUGAAGGAGAAACGGUUGUGGGCGUGGGGUUUUGGUUGGGAAAAGGAGAGGACAAAUGGAAAAAAAAAAAAAAAAAAAGGCAGGGGCAGCUCGUCUUUUGCUAGAGCAGGAAUCGCACGAAGAAGACGGUGGGCAACUGGCGUCGGAGUGCAAGAGAAGCCACGGGAGAAGAAAGUCAACCAAGUUAUCCAACCCCUUAAAUGCUUUGUCCCCUAAAUACUUUCUUUGCAAAAUUAACCCACAAAUAAACCAAUUGAAGCCAAAAUUUGUAGCCUCUUCCAUAGUUCCGAAUUUCCCCAAAUUGAACUUCAAUUUCCUCUCCGAUUUCUCCAAUUUGAGGUCCGAUUUCAUUGAAAAAAAAUCCCCUACAAUUUUCUGCAAGUCCCCAACACCCAAAGGCUCGGCUUGGAAGUCCAAAUUUCCUUCAAUUUAGCCCAUCUGAAUUCACAUUAUUUUUCCGCAACGUUCGAAUCGAUUUUCCGUAAAAAUCUCGAAAUCUCCGAAAAUUCUUCGGAGGAUGAGUCGGCAUUCCUAAAAUGAUUUGUGACAUGACAGAACUUUCAAUUUCUAAAAUUGGGUUCAAAUUCGCAGUUAAUUUCAAUCUUGCGCGAUUUUACCGUAACCUAGUCUACCGGGUAGCUUUUAGGAAUUUUUAGUGCAAUUAACCCAUGGUCAAUUAUUUUCGAGUCACAAUGUACAUCUUCGAUACAUUGGCAACUCUCACUUAUCGUAAAAAUCUUGAGAUUUCAAAUAUGGACACCGGAUAUAGAAAUGACAAAAAAAUCGGUCUAAUGCAGUUUGACGAGAAUUUUGCAAUUAGGUUGAAUCACCCACACACUAAUCACAUAUCUCUAUCGAAUCGACCUAUCUCUAGUCUCUGAUCGAUUUUUGAUGGUGUCGUAGUGACCCUUGCAAAUCGACGCGGUCGAGUAGUUGAUUCCUAGUCAAAUUCUCAAGUCUAUUGCGUUAAAAUCCCUUAGUGGCUUCCCCCAAUAGUCUAGUUAUUUUAUGAGUGAUCAACUUAGAGAAUAGAACUAUAGGUGUGUCAAUGAAAGGUCUGAUUUAUUUAAUCGAAAACAAACUCUAAAAAUUCAAGUUGUCACAAUGCGUAAAGCAUUUGCAGAAAAAUCAAAUGGAGUUAGUUUGAAUUGGUCCUAACUCCUAUCACUGUUGUGUGUUAGUUCUUCAACUUCAAAGCCAAUACCAAGUGAGGCAAAAAGUGGUCUGAAGCAUGCAUAUGUAUCGAAUCGAAGCAUGUAUGGCCCAUGCAUGGAUCCACGCUCAUUAUAGUGCUUAUGCUAAUUAUAAAUAAGGUCAUGUCACGAUGAAAACCUAUAGCACCAUAGAGUUAAUUAUAUGUACAGUUCAAAUCUAUCAAUGUUACCUAUUUCAACUGAACACCUCAUCAGAUUUUAGCGCAACUGGAAUAGACGGAAGCUUUCUUUCUUUCAUUCCUUCCUUCCUUCCUUACUUCCUUCUUUCUUUCUUAUUUGGUCGUGUGCACAAGAAAAUCCCACUAAAAAAAGCAAGUUAUUUUGGUCCAACAUUUGAAAUUUUUAAUGUGAAUUUGGUGUAGCUCCAGCUUCACUCAAUACUUUUUAACCAUUCGAUCAUGUGGGACGCAGAUACCAACCUCCGCAUGUCGAAAUGAAGAUCAAGUAAAACAAUAGAUAUGAAAACUCAGUUAAGAAGAAAAACCAGAAAAAACUCCCCCAUCCACUUGCCAUCAUUGCAGCUUUGAGGAUGAGGACCAUCUCUGCAAAAGCAAACAAAAUUGUCGUUCUUAAAUCCACACCAUCCCUCACAUCCCUUGUAGUCGUUGCAAUUAAAUGCGGUCUAGUUCAAAAGGAACCCCAUCUACAUAAUCUCACUGUAAUUCAUAGUCGCCAAGCUAUCGAUAUUUGUAUUAACAUUAAUAGGUACACUAACUGCAGAGUAGCAAGUGCUGACGGCAGAAUACAAAUAUAUUUCCUGUAAUACUUCCUUAGGAAAAGAAGCAAAAGAGUGGUGGGUGGAGUUGCUAGCACAAUCCACUUUAUAUGUAAAAUAUGGCGGCGGUGAGGUGCAAUUAUAGUAGAAGAAGAAAUCGACAUUAGUGGAAUUGAAAAUGAAAGGCGUGCUUUCGAGGCUGAUAUUAUGUGGUGGAGCACCACAAAUGUCAUGGUACACGAGGGCAUCAACCAAGAGGAUAGAAUGCUUUGCAUGGAUGAUUUCCUUGAUGAUGAACUCACUGACCAAGAAAUUUAGGAUGGGGAAUAUCCCUAUGCAGAUGAUCUUGAAAUUCAGAUAACCACAAUAGGAGUCCCGCUCGCCCGAAAUCCAAAAAACCCCAGAAAGGGUAGCUGAUGUCCUGGCCAUAUCAACAGUUCCGAGGUGCGCAGGCCUUGUACUGCGCAUCUUCAGAUGCAGCCUGAUAGACUAAGCUGGCGAAGACAACGAUAGGGGCCAACUGGCAACAAUUAGCUUUGCAAUUGAAGCUUUGGAGAUUCAUUUGGACUGGAAGGAGGCAGAGCAGGAUAGAAGAGAAAUCAAAUGGAGUUAGUUUGAAUUGGUCCUAGCUAUGAUAACUGUCGUGCGCUAGUUCAUCAACUUCGAAGAAAAUGCCAAGCAAGGCAGAAAUUGGUCCCAUGCGUGCAUUAUUCAAGCACUCAAUGUAAAUGCAUCGUUGUCCUACAUGGAAAAUCUGCACUAGAAAGUCUUGAGGAACUGACCAUGAUACUUCCUAGUCAAAGGGACCUCUUAAUAAUGAUUACAUUGGAGGGCCCACCUACGUGUUGAAGUGUCAAAAUUGAUGAUGAUCUACCAAAUCAUUAGGAGCAAACCUUGAACCAUCUGAGUCAAAGGGACCUCUAAAUUACACUCAGGAACAAAGUUCCCAUUACAAAAAUCUUAGGAAAAAAGUAUUAAUUUAGUUUUAUAACUAUUAUAGGAGUGUCAAUUCAAUCUUAAAUUUUUCAAUUUUGUUAAUAUAAUUAUAAGUUUGAUGAGAUAUUCCUACGUAGUUUUUUCAACCAAUUGUUGUCAGAAAUCGUUGACGUGAUGAUCCACAUAUAAUACAAUCGGCGAUGAUUGGACACCAUACUAGCAAUUUCUAGCGUAAGUUUUUUGAAAGAACUACUUUGAAAUUUCGAGUAAAUGUUUAGGACUACAUUGAUAAAAUUGAUAAAUGUAUGAAAAAAUUAACAUUUACACAAUAAAUUUGGGACUGACUAGUAAUUAUCCCACAAUUCUUACUAAGCAACGCAAAAAAUUGUUCAUUUGUUAUCAUUUCAUCCAUUAUACAAAUUUCAGUGCUAGCAAUAUAUAUAUAUAUAUAUAUAUAUAAAAUUUAUGUUGCAUAUUUCCUUGGGAUUUUUGUCCCACAUCCGAUUAUCGAUUAAUCUUUCUACUUGAUUAUCCAUGUUUUUGUUCUAGCUAUAGAGAUCAUGAGAUUGCAUGUUUUUCAUCUUACAUGUGGUAUCAGAGCAACCAUAAUCUAAAACUCAAAUGCAUAGAAUACUCUAUUUCAAACUAUGUUAAAAUAUUAAUUAAUGUAGCCCACAUUAAAAAAAACUCUUACACUGUAAAUACUCUAUUACAAACUAUGUUAGUCUGAUGUAAUUGAUAUUGAAUUGUCCCGAGUCAUUUCUCUCUAGCAUAGAUGAACUUUCACAUGGACAAGCCUCGGGUGAUCUUGAGAGUGAUGACAAGGAUGGUUUGGGAGGUAUUUGUAAGGUCUCAACACUACCUUUUAGCAUCUCCACAACUUCGGUCAUUGAUGGUCGAGCUCUUAGAUUGAUUUGAAUGCACCAUAAGCCUAUUACAAUCAUCUUCUUUGCAAUUCCUUCAUCUUCCUCAUUUGUGAUCCCAUGUAGUCCAAGCUCUUCUCGGAGCUCCAAGCGUCGGUGGACCCAAUGAGGAAAAUAUAUUUCACUCGUAUGAUCUACCGUGACUUCAAUAUUUUUCCUCCUGCCGACCAUCUCUAGAAUCAUCAUGCCAUAACUAUAGACAUCUGAUUUGUGAGAAACCCUUCCGAUGUUCCUUAAAAUUAGCUCCGGAGCAAUGUAUCCAGCGGUGCCUCUGGCACCAAGCAAUGACACAAUGCUCUCUUCUCCUGGGCAUAUUUUGGCAAGACCAAAGUCGGAAAUCUUGGGACGAUAGUUUGCAUCAAGAAGAAUGUUGUGAGGCUUUAUGUCCAAGUGCAAGAUCCUUGUAUUACAUCCUCUAUGCAAGUACUCUAGCCCAUGAGCUAUGCCGAGCGAAAUCUGGUACAAUGUGUCCCAACUCAAUUGCUAAUCUACCUCCAAAGUGUUACUCCUGUUGAAUAUGAAUUUUUCGAGCGAUCCAUUGGGCAUGAACUCAUAAACCAAAGCUCUUUUGCUUCCUUCAAAACAAAACCCCAAGAGGUUAACAACAUUGAUAUGAGAAGUCCUACUUAUGCUCGCAACUUCAUUGAAAAAUUCUUCAGCAUUGCCUUUCGGCUUCUUUAGAAGCUUUACUGCCACAAAUUGAUCAUCUCGAAGCUUGCCUUUAUACACGCAGCCAUAGCCUCCCUCGCCUAACUUUUCUUUGAAAGAGUUGGUCAUCCUCUUGAUGUCUUUGUAGGUGUAUCUUCUUGAAGAGACGAGUCCCUCAAUCUUCAUUUUGCCAUCGACAUGUUUGCUCCUAUGCUUUAUCAAAGCCAUAAUAAUUCCGAUCAUUGAUUUCUUUUUGAAGGAAAGCGUUAAAAUAAGGGCGAUCCCAAUUCCGGCUCCCAAUGCAGCCAUUCCUGAAAAAAUGGAGAAUAUUUUUUAACAGCAAUCUCACUUCUUCAAGGAUUUUAGGAUAUUUUGGAAAUAUUGAUUCCAUUGAGCAACGAUGCAAGAUUACUGCCAAAAAGUCGCAACAAAUUGCGGAGGAGAAUGUAGAGAAGUGGAAGAGAAAUUCUUGAAAUAAUUACCUAUUCCAAUUUUCAGUCCAACCCUUUGUUUUCCUACCCUUUGUUUUCCUGAGACAAUAGUCAUCAAGAGAGAAAAAUGUGUCAACGAAUUGCAAACUGAUAACUUCAAAGUGUCUAAGAGAUAUAAAGAUCAGGCACAUCAUAAGGUAAUAGAUCAUUCUGUUUCAAGGAAGAAAAAAAACCCCCAUCGAGUGAAAAUAUUACAGAUUCACCAGUUUGGAUCAAUUAGUGACAUCUUGCCAGAGAAAUUGGAAACACGUGCAAAUGGAUCUAUGCCUGAUUGACUAACAAGUAUAGACAUGAGCUAAAAUCCUUAUUUGUGAGCUAUUAGGGGAUGAACAGGAAGACAUAAAAAAAAAUUAGCCGGUUUAGAAGUAGCAAACAAGCUGAAAUAUGAUCGACAAUGUGGUAUCAGAGGCGGAGACAGAUAAAACUUUCUGUGUAUUGAAUGGGCGGUAUAUUCUGGACAUGGCUCAACUCUUUUAGCCUCUAAGCGGACCUAUAGGCUUGAUUAGAAGUCGUCCCACAGAUAAAACAAGUGGGCAGCUCAUGUUCAGGCAAGAAUUUUCAAGCUUCUUGAAUCGUGAACAUCCAAUUGAUAACUAGCAAACUAUUGCAAAAAGAUACAAACAUCAAACUAUUGCAGAAAGAUAGAAACAUCAAAAUAUGAGGUUCCCAUAAGAUGUCUUGGGACCCAACAGAUUGGAGAGUUUUGUUUGCAGCAGUAAGCGAGUCCGCAGUCUAAGCUAAGGCGAAGAAAUUGGAAAAGCCUAAGGACAGUAUCCAUAGCACGUAUAAAUGAUACGGUAAUUAAAUAACAGUAAAAACAUUUUCAGUAUUUUUUUCCCCACUAUCAUCAUGAACAAAAUUUUCAUUGAUUGUGCAAAUAUUUAAUUAAGUGCGCAGUUCACCUCUAUCAAUAAUAUAUUUCAACUACCCAAAUGAUCAUUUGGUUGUGGUCAUAAUAAAAGCCCAAGAAGAAACCAGUAGUUUUAACCCAACAUUUGCAAAAUUUUACAGUGAAGUCGGAGCAUCUUCACUCAAUUUAUUUAAACCAUUUUAUUGCAGUCCAGUUCAAUAGGAACUUCUUCAAGCUAGUGAAAUCGGCAUUAACGUGAACAGGAAUGCUAAUUGCAGAAUAGCAGGAGCUGACGACAGAAUGGUAAUUCAUUUCCUGCAAUGCUUCCUCGGGGAAAAAAACAAAAGAAUGGUAGGUGGAGUUGCCAGCAUAGUCCACUGGAUAUGUAAAAAUUUGUUGGCUGCGAGGCACAUUUAUAGUAGAAGAACAGAUCGGCAAUAGUAGAACUGAGAUUGAAAGGAGUCCUUUCGAGGCUGAUAUUACGCUGCGGAGAAUCACAGGAUUCCUGCUACACAGGGCCAUUAACCAGGAGGAACGAAUUUUUUGCAUAGAAAAUAUACUUGAUAACGAAUUCCUCAUCCGAGAAAUCAGGACAGGGUAUGUCUCUUUGCAGGUAAUCUUGAAAUUUGGAUAGCCCCAGUAGGACUCUUGUUCGCCAUAAAUCCUUAACGGUUAGCUGAUUUUCGGCGCAUAUAUGCAGUUCUGAGGCAUGCAAACCUUGUAUUGUGCACCGUCCGAUAGAGCCAGAUAGACUAAGUUGGUGACCAUGAUAAGGACCAAUUGGCGACAAUUUGCUACACAAACGAAGUUUUGGUGAUUCAUUUGGACCGGAAGGAGGCAGAGGAUUUCAGAGGAUAGGAGAAACAAGUAGCAGAGACUGGAAAACAUUUGCGGAAACAUCAAAUGGAGUUGGUUUGAAUUAGUCCUAACUCCUAUCACGGUCAUGUGCUAGUUCUUCAACCUUGAAGCAUAUACCAAGCGAGGCAGCAAAAACAAGUCAAAGGGACCUCUAAAUUACAAUUAGGAGCAAACCUCCCAUUAUACAAUUUUCACGACUAGUCAGUGAAAACAAGUCUCUCUAAUGAAGACUUGAUGGCCAAGCAGUAGCUAACUUGAACUUGCUUGGUUCCCCCAAAAGAGAAGUCAUAGAAAAGUCAUUCUUGUCACAUGAUAUUCUCGGAUGGAGGAAGACAAAACAAGUAUAGCGCCAUUGAAUUUCCAACAAAAGAAACAAGUGGAUCACAUUCAAACAAAUCAAGUUUUCUCUGGACAUAUUCUCGGGGUCCAUUGGCCAUAGGAUCUUCGCAGUACUAAGUGAAACUAACUCCACAGAAGCUCAAGGUUUAAUGAUUUCGUGCAUAAUCUACACAGUCAAUAGUAGAAUCUCAUGCGCUGGUAUAAACAGGAACCCACCAAAUGAAGUUAAGAAUGAUAUCCUGGGUAUGCUACCAAAAGAACAUACCAGGGUCGUUGCAGGUACAAGCGUGGGGUUUGUUGCGGCAAUAACACGUGAAACUAGACGAUGAAGAAGAGGAGUUGCUGCUGCAAAACCCGCCAGAAGAAGCACAAGUCAGGCAAUCAGGAUGGUCAAUAUACUGAGUAUCAAACCCUUGAUUCAGAGCUUCCUGCAAGUUAAUAUUGCCUCUUUCUAGAUCAUUGAGCGUGCUCUGAAGAAUAGGAACCUUGAUGCUCGUGAUGCAGCUGUUGACGAACAGAGGGAGCUCUCUGUCCAAGAAGAUGUCAUCUAUGAAGAAAGCCGACUUCCUGAUGAAAUCAUAGAAGCACUUGAACUCGUUGCUUAUGUUCUUCAUUGUGUCCAGACAUCCAUAGAAGAUGCUGAGGCUCUUAACGGCAGGGGUCAUAUGGAAGAGAGUGGAAUCCAUUAUGCUAGUAUUCCUAAACUCAUGCAGGCACGUACCCUCCAUCAGAUCCAUCCUAGUGAUUGUCAUCGUACGAAGAUGUUGAUCAAUCUUGAGGACUCGAUACUUUUGCUCUUGGUACUCAAAUAUAGGGAAUUCAUCCUCAUAGCACUCGACCCUGAAUGCUGGAAGUCCACAGAAUUGGGGUCGGCUGCCUCCCCAGAAAGGAUAAGUAAUAUUUGCAAUCGUUCCGCAAUUAAAAGAGCGGUAGCAUUCGGUAUAGUAAACAUCGUUGUCUCUCUCGCAUUAAAGAACUUGUGGGAUGAUGAGGCCGAUGAGGAUGAAAACGAGGAUGGAGCAUGUAGGGGAGGAGAGAUGGAGAGCGGCUGUGUUGCCCAUUUGAGUAAGUUCAUGCUCCCAUGGGUGGAGAAUAAAUUGUGGAACGAGUGUUGAGAGUUCAGAGGGGCAAGCUGACAAUGGAGAAAUUCUUUUUGUAUUCACUUUCUCUAGACUCAACUGUGAAAGAGAUGGACGUCGUUAAUUCUUCCUCACUAUAAUAUAGAAAACUAUUCUGACUGUCAACUUUGACCGAGAUCAGUUUUAGUCUUCUGAAAUUUCGUGGAGGGAAAUCAAAGGGAUGGCUAUCGAGCGUUGAAACUGGGUCUAGGGGCGAAGUGAUGAGGAAGAUAUAGGAAACAUACGAAGCAAUUUCCUCCGGAGUUCUUCCUACGUAGUUGAAAAUGUAAAGUGAAACCUUUUUUAAGGUUCUCACUAUGGAAAAAGUCUAGCCCAUUCGAGGGGUCAGGAGUUGAUAUUGUGGAAAGUAAAGAGCAAGUCAAAUCUAAAUUUUAGGUUAAUUGACUUAUCGGCUAAAUGCAUUCCAAUUUAAAUUACUGGUCCGUGAUGUGAAAACACUAAACUCGGAACAUCUUUGCUCGUCAUAUUUAAACCGUUGGAUCUUGCGGGUUUGCAGAUACAGACCUAAUGAUCCAACAGUUAAGGCAAGGAAAGCUGUUAAGAAUGGGGUGAUAAAGUUUUAGGACUUGGAGUCUAAAUUUUGGCAUGAUUAUGUCACAGCGAGAAUGAGAUUUCUGCACUUUAUUAUAUCAGAGAGAAGGGCAUGCCCAGCCAAAUGAGACUGUCAGGCUUUUAGGGGGCAUGAGCGGAUCGUUUUUCCAUAUAACAAUCAAACCUAGCAAUCCCUCCCAUGGAAUAAUAUUAACUAAUUGAAAUCCACAAGUUAGAGGAGAGUAAGCAUGCAUACCCGGUAGGCCGCAAGUCGUUGAAUAGACUCCCUCAGGGCAAAAACAACUAAAUUCUUGCCCUGCCCAGCCAUACCCGCAUCUUCCCCCGGAUUUAUUGCAACUUUCGCACUGCGAAGUUUUGAGAAUCCAGGUGAUCUCAAAGCCUUUGUUGAGGAUCUCACUAAUAGUAGGAUUAUUGUUGCCGUCCAUUGAAGGUGGAGGAAAACCUAGAGGUUCACUUUUUGAAAUCGGGACAUGAACAAUGGAACUGCAAGUGCUGAGCGGUGGAUUUGGAAGGUCGACCCUGGGAACAAAGUAGCCAUCUCGAGACUUGGCACAAGAGAACCGAUAAGGUGGAGAGGUCGGCCAUGUAUGGUUUGGCCAUGAGUCGCAAUCGCAGAAUAAGGUGGAAUUGAGGUCAUUGGAAGUGUACUCGAAGAGAUUCAAGUCUAAAGUGGUUUCAUAAUAUGCUUCGAGACAUAUAUUUUCUGAUAAAUCCAACCUAGCCACCACAAGGAUCUGUGUGCUGGUAUUCAUGUGGAUCACUCAAUAUUCCAGGGACUCCAUGGACAGGGUCGGGUUAUCUCCUUUGCAGUCGAGCUCGUAGUCUAGAUGCCCACAGUGACUCGGUCGCUUAGGGCCUGCAUGGAAACAUUUCUCGUUUUUGUUUCUGAACACUUUUUUUUGUUUUUUUGUUCCCGGAACAAAAUUGGAGCAAAAAAAAGAAACACAAAAAAGUUACUUCUUGUUCCAGAAACAAUUUUGAAGAAACACUUUUUCUUCUCUCUCCUCUUUUCUUCUUCUUUUUCUUUUUCUUUUUUUUUUUGCCGGUCGCCGGCCUUGGCCAUGGCCGGCGACCGGCCGUCGAGGGCUGGCGACGCCGUCGAGGGUCGGCAACCUCGCCGGAGCGUCGCCGGGGGCCGGCAAUGCUCGGCCUCGCCAGAUCUGGGCGAGCCCGAGCUCGCCCAGCCAAGGCGAGGCUGCCGGCCGAAAGAAGAAAAAAUAAAAAAGAAAUGAAAAAAUGAAAAAUAAAAUAAAUAUAUUAAAAAAUUAAAAGAAAACAAAAAAAGAAUAAAAUUUAUUAAACGUGUUUUUAUUCAUUUUUUAUUCCCGGAACAAACGUUACUAAAUGCGUUCUUUUGUUCAAAAACUGUUCCCCGGAAUAGAAACACUUUUUUUUGUUUCUGUUCCCUGGAACAAAAAAAAAAUAGAAACAUUACCAUGCAGCCCCUCAUUAUCCCUGAAACGAUAGCUGAUUUCUUGACCUCCACAAUUAGAAGGAGCGCACUCUUCGAACGGUGGGAACACUUGGACUAAUAUUCCCCAUUUUACAAUUCCUACACGCAGCCCCGACUAAUCAACGAGCUUUGCCAAUCUCCUUCAUGGUUCACUUUGAGGAAACUUCAAUAAGGACCUCACGAACGUCGUUUGCAGCAUUCUAGACAGAAGCAUGGCCAUCACCUAGACUAGAGAACAGAAGGGAUUAGAGCCUCAGAACUGAGGCGGCUAAACUUCCUCGGGACGAGUUUAUCUUUACUUUGCCUAGUUAUCUUUUUUGAACUGAUUUGACAGGUGAUAUUGACAUAUCAUUAGCCCAAACUGCAACACAGGGUCAAAAAGGGCCACAACUCCUUAGCCAAGCCGAAUUGAGCCCAUCUCUCGUGAUUUACGAUGAUGAUGAUCCACACUAGAUCUUUAGCUAGGAAGCAAUAGCUUGCCAUCUUUUUCAUGAAAGAAAUUGCUCAGGCCUCAAGUACUGAAGAUAAGACUUGAGCAGCGGCAGUCAGUAUAGUGGACACCGUCGUCUCCCUUGCAUAAAAGAACUUGCGAAACGAUGAGGAUGAUGAGAACAAUGACGAGGAUGGAGUGUGAAGGGAAGGAGAGAAGGAUAGUGACUGCAUCACCCAUUUGAGUAAGUUCAUGCUCUUAUGGAUGGAGAAUAUCAUGUGGAAUGAGGGUUUGGAUUUCAGGGGGGCAAGCUGAGGAUGGAGAAUUUUUUUUUAUAUUUACUUACUUUCUCCGGUUUGAAGUGUGAAAGAGAUGGAUGUGGUUAAUUCCUCAGUAAAAUAGAGGAAGCUACUCUGAACGUGGACUUUGACCGGCAUCAGUUUCAGUCUGAUGAUAUUUCGUGAAUGAGGGAAAUAAAAGGAAAGAAUGGCUAUCGAACGUUGAAACUGGGUGUGGGGGUGGAAGUGACGAGGAAGACAGUGGCCAGGAAACAUGCGAAGUAAUUUCCCCCGGAAAUCAUCAUAAGUAGUCAAAAUUGAGAAGUGAAACCUUUUUUCAAGGCUCUCACCGUGGAAAAAGUCUAGCCCAUUUGAGGGGUCAAGAGUUCAUGUUGUGGAAAGUAAAGAACAAGUCAAAUCUAAAUUUUAGGUUGAUUGACUUGUCAGCUAACUCCUUCUGAUUUAAAUUACUUGUCUAUGAUGUGAGAUUUUACAGUAAACUUGAAGCAUAUUUGCUUUUCGCAUUUAAAACAUUGGAUCUCGUGGGUUUGCAGAUACCGACCUAAUGAUCCAACAGUUAAGGCGAGGAAGGUUUUUGAGUAUAGGGUGACAAAGUUUUAGGACUUAAAAAGUCUAAAGUGUAACACAAUCAUGCAUGCCACAGAGAGGAUGACUGCACUUCUUUUGAGGGAAGAAUAUGCCCAGCAAUUCUUCUCAAUGAACAACUUUUAGCUAAUUGAAAACCACAUGUUAGAUGAGAGUAAGCAUACAUACUUGAAGGGAUGAUUGCCGGUACCGGCGGUAUUGAAGGGACGCUUGCCAGUAUUGGCGUUCUGUGGCAGGUUGCCGGAUAGGCUGCAUCAAGGCAAAAACAAUUGAAUUCUUGCCUUGUCCAGUCAUACCCACAUAUUCCCUCUGAUAUAGCACAAUCUUCGCACAGCGAUGUGUUGGCAAUCCAGGUGAUCUCAAAGCCUUUAUUGAGAAUGUCGCUAAUAUUAUCACCAAAGUUGAAGCCUGCCGAAGGUGGUGGUAAACCUAUAGGUUCACUUUUUGAAAUCGGGACAUGAACAAUGGAAUUGCAUCGCUUGGGCAGUAGGUUUGAUAGGUUUACACUGAGAACAAAGUAGCCAAACUGAGACUCGGGACAAGAGAACCGAUAAUAAGAUGGAAGGGUUGGCCAUGAGUCGCAAUUGUAAAUAAAGGUGGAAUUGAGGUUGUUGGAAGUGUAGUUGAAGAGUUUCAAGUCUAAAGUGAUUUCGUUAUAUGUUUCAAGACAUAUACUGUCUGAUAAAUCUGACCUCGCCACCACAAGGAUCUGCGCGCUCCUAUCCAUGUGGAUCACUUGAUAUUUCUGAGACACCAUGUACAGAAUCGGGUUAAAUCCGUCACAGUCAAGCUCAUAGCCUGGAUAACCACAGUAUCUUGGUUGACUUAUAUGCCUGAACGGAUAGCUGAUUCGUAUAUAUCCACAAACAAAAGGAGCGCAUUCUUGGAAUGAUGAGAAGUAGCCGGAAGCUCGCACGGAGAAGUGAAUUUGAAGGGCGACGAAAAAGAGCAAGGAGAGAGAGGAACAUGGCGCGGUAAGAUCCAUCCGAAGGGAGAUGGUGUUGGAGCAAAACAAGGAGGGGUACAUAUGAAGGAACGUGGAGGAGAGAAAUGAAAAAAGAUGGCUAUCGAACGUUAAAAUUGGGUCUAGCAGAGGAGGUGAUGGGGAAGAUGCGGUCCGGAAACAUGCAAAGCAAGUUUCUCCGGAUUUCUCCCCAUGUUGUUAUAAUCGAAAGGUGAAAAUUUUCUUCUAGGUUUUCACUGAAAAAGUCUAGCCCUUUUAAGAGGUCGAGUUCGUGUCAUGUGAAGUAAAGAACAAGUCAAACUUAAAUUUCUCGUUACUUGACUCAUUGGCUAACGUCUGAUUUAAAAUACUUGUCCACAAUGUGAAAUUUUACGUUAAGCUCGGAGCAUCUUCACCCGCUGUAUUUAAACUGUUGGAUCUACUGGGUUCGCAUAUACCAACCUAAAGAUCCAACAGUUGAGGCAAGGAAGGUUUCUAAGAAUGAGCUGAUAAAGUUUUAGGACUUGGGAGUCUAAAUUGUAACAUGAUCAUGCCAUAGCGAGGAUGAGAUGACUGCACUUCAUUAAAUAUUCGAGGGAAGGGCGUGCACAGCAAAAUGAGAUUGUCAGGCUUUUAGGGGCAUGAGCGGCUCGUUUUCCAAAUAACAAGCAAGCCCAGCAAUCCUUCUCAUGGAAGAACAUUAGCUAAUUUGAGAACCACGCAUUAGGUGAGAGUAGGCAUACAUACCUUGUUUGCCACAAGUCGUUGAAUGGACUCCGUCAGGGCAGAAACAAUUAAAUCGUAGCCUUUUCCGGUCAUAACCGCAUCUUCCCCCUGAUUUGUUGCAUUUUUCGCAUUGCGAUGUGUCAACGAUCCAGGUGAUCUCAAAGCCUUUUCUCAGGAACUCACUAAUAGCAGCAUUAGAAGCACUAUGAUGGCUGCCCUCCGGUGGUGCUGCUAGACCCGGAGCUUCACUAUGUGAAUUUGGGACAAGGACACUGAAGUUGCAUCGCUUGUGUAGUGGUUUUGCACGAUCAGCAUAUAGGGCAAAGUAGCCAAGUCCAUACAGGGGACAAUGGAACCAAUGAUAAUGUCGAGGGGGCCACAAUAAAUUGCAAUUAUAGAAUAAGGAGGAAUUGAAGUAACGUGAAGUGUAGUUGAAGAGACUGAAGUUUAAAGAGGUGUUGACAAGUAUUCUAGGACAUACAUCGUCCCAUUCACGCGAUAUUUCAGGGACUCCAUGGACAGGGUUGUGUAAUUUCUGUCACAGUCGAGCUCGUAGCCUGGAUACCCACAGUAACUUGGUCGCCUGAUAUGCCUGAAAGGAUAGCUGAUUUGUUGCUUUCCGCAAUCAAAAGGAGUGCAGUCUUGGAACGGCUGGAAUUCGCCAGAAGCUGGCAUAGGGAACUGAAUAUGGAGGGAGAUGAAGAAGAAGAGCAAGGAGAAAGAGGAACACGACAUGGAAAGAUCCAUCUGGAGGGAGAUUUUGUUGGAGCAAAACAAGGAGGGUACAUAUAUAAAGGAAGAGGAUGCAGAGGGAUAAAGAAUGAUGUUGCUUUUGGAACGACUUGACCCCAAUGCACCAACGAGAAUCACUUGAUUUGGCCUCCCGAAGACCAAGACUUUGGCGCGGGGAGACAAAAGCUGAGAAGAAAAGAAAGAGAACAAGGCACGUGGAAACAAACCAAGUAGCUUGCGCUGCUGGCUAAUUGUGAACUUGACUUGAGGAGGACUUGGAAUAGUAUUCCCCAUUUCCCAAUUCCUAAGCGCAGGCGUAGCCCCAAUUAAUCAACAAGCUUUGCCAAUCUCGUAGACAAUUCAAUCGAGGACAAUCCAAUAAGGAUCUCAAGAACAUAGUUAGCAACGUUCUAGAUGGAUGCAGGGCCAUCGCCUGGACUAGAAAAUAGAGGGGGAUUAGAGCCUCGGAACUAAGGCGGUUAAAUUGUUAUCCGGACUAGUUUCUCUUAAGCUUUGCCAUCUUUUUUGAAUUGAUUUGAUUGAUGAUAUCGACGCAUCAUCAGCCCAAAGAAGCAGACCAGGUUAAUAUCAGUGGAUCCCAAAGGCCCAAGAUUCCUUGGCCGAGCUGAAUCGGGCCCAUCUCUCGUGAGUUACAAUGAUGAUGAUCCACAUUGGAUCUUUAGCUAGGAAGCAAUAAGCUUGCCAUCCUUUUCACGACAGAAUUUGCUCAGGUCGAUUAAUCGCUUACGCUUUAAGUAUUGAAAAUAAGACUUCUGCUCUUGAUACUCAAAGAUAGGGAGUUAUCCUCAUAGCACUCGACCUUGCACAGAAUUGGGGUGGGCAGCCUCCCUAGAAAGAGUAAGUUAUAUUUGCAACGAUUCCACAAUUAAAAGAGCGGUGGCAGUCGGUUUAGUGGACAUUGUCGUCUCCCUCGUACAAAAGAACUUGUGGAAUGAUGAGGUUGACGAGGACGAAGACUAGGAUGGAGUGUGAAGUGGAGGAGAGAAGAAGAGUGGCUGCGUCACCCAUUUGAGCAAGUUCAUGCUCUCAUGGGUGGAGAAUAUCAUGUGGAAUGAGGGGUUUAGUGUUCAGAGGGGCUAUUCUGACCAUGGACUGAAGUGUGAAAGAGAUGGAUCUGGUUAAUACCUCUUCAGUAUAAUAGAGGAAGCUAUACUGACCGUCGACUUUGACCGAGACCAGUUUCAGUCUUCAAUGUGAAAAAGUCUAGCCCAUUUGAUGGGUCAAGAGUUCAUGUCACGUGAAGUAAACAACAAGGCAAACCUAAAAUUUGGGUUAAUUGAUUUAUCAUCUAACACAAUCUAAUUUAAAUUACCUUUCCAUGAUGUGAAAUUUCACAGUAAAUUUAGAGCAUCCUCACUCAUUGUAUUUAAACUAUUGGAUCUUAAGGGUACAAAGAUACUGGCCUAAUGAUCGAACUGUUAAGGUUGUUGAAUGGGGUGAUAAGGUUUUAAGGCUUGGGCUCUAAAUUGCAUCAUGACCCUGUCAUAGCGAAGAUGAAAUGACUGCACUUCAGGCAUGCCCAGCAAAAUGAGAUUGUCAGGCUUUUAGGGGCAUGAGCUGGUCGCUUCCCAGUUAACAAGCAAAGGAAAGAGUAUGCGCAGCAAUCUUAUCACUCUCAUUGAACAACUUGAGCUUAUUAGAAACCACUAAUUAGCAACCGUGACUCUAGCAUACAUACCUGAAGGUGCGGGGCAGGUCGUUGGAUAGGCUUUGUCACGGCAAAAACAACUGAAUUCUUGCCUUGUCCAGUUAUACCCACAUCUUCCCCCUGAUUUAGUGCAAUUUUCGCACAGAGAUGUGUUGGCAAUCCAAGUAAUCUCAAAGCCAUUUUUCAGGAUGUCUCUAACAGUAUCACGACUAAUGUUAGCGCUCUUGCUGCCCUCCAAUAUUGGUAUAAAUGGGACGAAGACACUGAAGUUGCAUAGCUUGUGUAGUUUGCUUGGGGGGUCCACUUUGAAAGCAAAGUAGCCAUCUCCAGACGCAGGACAAGAGAACCGAUCAGGUUGAGGGGUUGACGGUGAGUUGCAAUUGUAGAAUAAGGUAGCAUUGAGGUAAUGGGAAGCGUAGUUGAAGAGACUGGAGUUUAAAGUGGUGUUGACAGGUGUUCCACGACAUAUAUCUUUCAAUAAAUCCAACCUCGUAACCUUAAGGAUCUGCUCGCUCGAAUCCAUGUGGAUCACCUGAUACUUCAGGGACUCCAUGGACAGAAGGGUCAGGUUACCUCCAUCACAGUCAAGCUCGUAGCCUGGAUACCCACAGUAACUCGGUCGCUCAUUAUGCUUGAAAGGAUAGCUAAUUUUUUGAUCUCCGCAAACAAAAGGAGCGCACCGUUGGAAUGGCAGGAAUUUGCCGGAAGUUGGCACCAGGAAGUGAAUAUGGAGGGUGAAGAUGAAGAGCAAGAACAGAGAUGAACACGACAUGGUAAGGUCCAUUCGGAGGGAGAUGGUGUUGGAGCAAAACAAGGAAAGGGUAAAUGUAAAUGAAGAGGAUGCAGAGGAUAAGGAAUAUGCUGCUUUGAGAAUGAUUUGAACCCAAUGCACCAGUGAGAGCCACUUGAUUUGGCCUCCCGAAAGACCAAGACUUUGGGGCAUUGAGACAAAAGCCGAGAAGAAAUUAAGAACAAGGUGCGUGGAAACAAAACCACGUAGCUUGAGCUGCUGGCUAAUUGUAGACUUGACUUAAGGACGACUUGGACUAUUAUUACCCAUUUUACAAUUCGUACACGCGGGCCCUCAUCUAGUCAAUGAGCUUGGCCAAUCUCCUUGACAAUUCAAUCGAGGACACUUCAAUAAGGACCUCGAGAACAUAGUUAGCAGCGUUCUAGACAGAUGCAGGGAUCGUCUAGACUAGAAAAAAGAAGGGAUUACAGCCUCAGAACUGAGACGACUAAAUUGCCAUUCAAAAGAUUUCCCCUUAAUUUUACCCAGUCAAAAAGGGCCCCGACGAGCCAGACCAGGCCCAUCUCUCGUGAUCUACAAUGAUGAUCCACAUUGGGAUCUUUAGCUAUAGGAAGCAAUAAGCAAAGCUUGCCAUCUUUUGUUGACAAAGAUUGCUAAGGCCCAUCAAUCGCUCGAGCCUCAAGUAAUGAAAAUAAAGACUCUUUUUAGGUGCCAAUUUCUCGGGAGGAAAAUGAUUAUGAUCAAAGCAAUAACAACAAGAAAAGAGAAAAAUACAUCUUUCUGAAAAGAAACCACCACUUUUUAAUGAUAGACCCUACUCCAAAUUGCAAGUUGCAACAAGUUGAAGGAAGCUGCUUUCGAAAUUUUGCCCAACCAAAAAAUUUGCUGCUUCAAUUUGCUACAUGCGAAUCUUUAUACUUUAAAUAUCACGAGAAAAUUCACUUUAGUUUAGGGCAUCAAAGUAAUUCAUGUAUCUUAUCUAUGGAAUUUAUAUUAAACUUUAUGCACGUGGUCUUCAUUCACCUAUUGAUUUAAGUUUUUGGAUUGAUCAUUGAAUAAGGUAUCGUAGUGAGGUUCUGCUCUCAUUUAUUUCGCAUGGGCAAUCCUUACCAGUCAAAUUCUGUGUAUGGUUCUAAUUUCCACGCGAGAAGGGUGCAAGGGUGCUAAAGUAAUAAUUUUCUUUGUCUAUGAACUCCUAUUCUCUUUAUAUAUAUAUAUAUAUAUAUAUAUAUAUAUAUAUAUAUAUAUUUAUUUAUUUAUAUGACUGAUCUGCUCUGUUUAUUAAGUUAAGUUUUUAUAUAGGACUUGUUGCACGGCAUAUAUUAGUAGGUGUGGUUACCAUUCAAAUUUUGAAAAAGUAUUGACUAAGAAAUUGACGAACCUAAGUAUAUACUUUUCUAAUUCUAAAAGCUGCUGAAAAAUCAAAGUAUGCCAGAAAUCAAAUCACUCGCAACUAAGAAGUGACAAGCAUUGAAAAAAGCAAUCAUGGCGAUUGGCGAAAAUAGAUGCAAAACCAUUUAUGAAAAAAAGAGAGGAAACGGACACAAACCUCAAUCCUACCUUUGCAAACCGAACCGUCCGUGUGAUUUGACCCGUCCUUGCAGAAGCACAGCGACUCCUCUGUCUGGUUGAACGCGCACCGCCCGCCGGAGAGCUCGCACGCGCUGCACUCCUUCGCCGCCUCCCAGUCAAGCACGAACCCCCGGCUCAUCGCCCAGGCGAAAACCUCCACCACUUUCGCCGCCGUCACCUCCGUCCCCUUUACCGACGCCACCAUCGUGUCCUCGCAGUCCGACGCCACAUCGGACGCCCCCGCCUCCUCCUCCUCCCAGCCCAUGUUCACGGACACGUACGACCGGUUGUCACGAAAUUGCAAGCAAUCGAUGGCCACUAAGGGGCUGGACACAGGCGGAGGAGCGCUGCAGUUGAAGAAGAAGGUGAGAUUGACGUCGGCGGAGUUGUAAUCGAGCGGGAGCGAGCCGAUCGUGAGGUUAUGGAGAGCCUUGGGGCAUCUCUGGCCGGCGACGUCAAUGUCGACGAGAGUUAGGGUUUUGUUGUGGUAGUUGAUAUCGGUGACGAAGAAGGCGCCGUCCCCAAGGAGGGGGAUUGGGUGAGGGGAGCCAAACGGGCAAAUGAUGCCGAGGCCUGGGUAUCCGCAGUGCACAGGGGCAUCGCUUUUGUACCAGAAUGGAUAUUCGAUUGAGACGCUGCCGCAUAGGAACGAGGAUGCAACGGGAUCGCAAAUGGUCGAGAAAGUGGAGUGGACGCCAUGGAAGCUCGCGGAGGAGAAGAAGAAGAAGAGAAGGAGGGAGAGAGAAGGGGAGAGAAUGCAGAGUAAGUGGUGGCUUGGCAUUUUCUUUGUCCUUCUCUUGGUGAGUAACAGGAUGAUCGUCUGGCAAUUUAGAAUGGACCGCCUAUUUAAUAAAAGUGGUCAAAGUCUUGCAUUGGGACUAAAGGCUACACAAUUUAUUUAUUUUUUUGGAACAAAGGCUACACAAAUUUGACUUUGAUUUUUUCUUUUUUCUUUUUGCGUGCAACGUUCAAGUAAUCCUACGUGGAAAACAAUUUCUAACACAUUGAUAACGAUUUAAUACGGUCAUAAGUCAUUGGCGGAAAAAUAAUGUAUAAUUACACCAUUAUGUAGAAUUUUAUGUGUUAGACGCACUUUGUCCGCAAUCUCAUGGUUGGCUUAUUCAAUUAAGUAAGAAGUUGGAGACUUCGCUGGACCAUAAAUUUUUUUAUUUAUUUAUCUUGUUUAUUAUUUUUUCUAAUAUCAAAUUUUCUUUCAAAAGAAACGCAUGAUUUAGAGCUUAAUACAGCUUUUUUUGAAAAGCAAUUAGGGCUUGAUUGCACUUUUUAUAAAUAUAUAUAAGGGACUUGAAUUUAGUGUAAUUAUUCAUGAUUAAACUUUAUGAAAUUACAAUCUUUAACAAUUAAAGUAGCAGUCUUCGGCAUUUUCUAUGUUGAGAAAUCUUGAAGAAGUUGAUGGAUCUUGCAAUUCAAAUCUAAUACAGAGAGGAAGAAAUUACCAGAGAAAUUUAUGGAUUUUGAAAUUCAAACUCAAUGUGUCAUAUUCUCUUUAAGGUUGUAGUCUGCAAUAAGUUCAUGACUUGAUGGAGUUUGAUUCAAUAGCUUGUGUCAUAUAUGUGACCACAUCGACAUUAAGCCACAAAUGAUCUUAAAUCAUUGCAAGUAAAAUUUGAUAUGCAACGGGGACUAUAAUCGUUGUAAUGCUCUAGUUGCAUUAAAAUAGACGAAGGGCCCGUGAACUUCACAUUCAUUUUGGAUAUUAAAGCUAGAAAUCAAAUAUAGGUGUGAACUUGGCGUAGAUUCUUUCACUUUUGUCCCUUUCGUUGAGAUAGUUUCCAGGAAACAUGACAUUUGGAGAUAGUCGUCAAGUCAUAGUUUCCAGGAAACAUGACAUUUGGAGAUAGUCGUUAAGUCCGACUUUAAACAAUUAAUUACGCCUCAAAAUGCCAAUGCACAAUUGCCCUUCUAUUUAGAGGUGAAUCUCUUUGGUGGGUUUCUCAAGUAAAGAAAAAUUACCCAAUUAAUCUCCAAAUUAUUGUACGAAAGCAAAUUAAUCUUAAAAUUUUCAAUUUUACCAAUUUAGUCAUAAACUUCUGCACGCAAUUCCAAUGUAGUAUUUCCGGUUAAUUUAUACUAGAAAUUAUUGACGUGAUAGCCCAUUUAUCACCAUCCGUCUUAUGUGGCACCUUGCCAUGUCAACGAUUUCAGGUGAAAAUCGAUCGAAAAGACUUUAUUGGAAUUUCCCAUGAAGAUAUAAAAUUAGAAAGUUUAGAACUGAAUUGACAUUCACACAAUAAAUUUAUGACUGAUCAGGUUGUUCUCCCUCUCGAGGAAUUAUGUCUCUAGGAGAUACAAAAUUCCACAUCAUGCUGAUGAAUUAGAGAAAACACAGCAAAUAAUCGAAGCAUUAUAUUGUUGUGUAUCAAGACAUAAUCAACAAUCAAAAUAAAUCACGUCCGAGGGACAUUGCAAUAUGUGAAUUUCAGUGGUUAUUAUAGACAUUUAAGAUGUGCAACACUUUCCUUCUUUCUCAAUUUGGUAAGCCAGGCGAAAUUUCUUUCCAUGACUCUUAAGAGAAUGUUCAAUUCAUCGAAUCUAGAAGAAGUGGCCAAACAUAUUUCUCAUAAAAAAAAAACAAUAACAAAAGAGAUGAUCACAUCAUCUCGACAGGGUUUGGGUUCAUGUGGGUCUAGAUUGGCAAGGUCAUGUGACCCUUGGUGUCACCUUGCUUGAGAUCGCAAGACCUUGGCAUCGUCUCAUCUAGCCUCUAAGACAGUUCAUUCCUCACCGAUGAUUGAUCUGUUUCCAAGACGGAGAUAAUGAGCAGUAGCUGUGUGCUCUGUUUCACCUGUUUAUUUUUUUUAUUUUUUUAUUUUUUCAACUUAAAAACUAUUUUGCAAAAAUACACCAAAAUUCACUUAAUUUAACGGAAUUUGCUUUAAGUAAAUGCACCUUGAAUCAAAGAUUUUCGAGAAAUUAUUUUGCAUGUUUGAGCAGUCCUAUGUGUAUAAAAAGUUCCAAUAUAGUAAUAACAACAUACUAUAGUCAUAGGUCACUAAUGUAGAAAUAGCAUAUAAAUAUGUGAGCAUAUAGAAUUCUAUGUUAGUCUCUACGUCGGUCUCUCAAAUUAUCAUGAGCCGUUCACUAGAAUUUGACUCGUAUGUUGUUUGAUCCAUCUAUUGGGUUAGUGUUCCUCACAAAUUGGAUCUUGCAAUGAAAUAUCUUUCAUCAGAAGUUGUUCUUCAGUUUUUAUUAGAGGAGAGAGGUAUUGUGGCAACUUCAGAUAGAAAAUAUCAUUAGUCAACAAGAAAAACCCGAAGUUUACUUCAAAUAUAUGUACAAAAAUUGUGCUGAAAUUUGAUCAACAAUAAAUCUUGAGAAUGCAAAGAUGCUACAAUAGAAUUUAACUGAUAACAUGACAAUUGGGAUAGACAUGCACACCGAAAUUUAAUUGAUGAUGUGGAUUUGGAAACUACAUCUAAGAAAUACGCCGAAGUUUAAUUGACGAUGUGAGAAAAUAAAACUACAACGCAGAAAAGUAAAGAUAACUAAAGAAUAGUCGAUUUAUUCAUUUGUGUGUUGGGGGGCCUUCACAUACGAACAAUGGUAUGUAUAGUGGUUGUGCCAUAACCAUCUCUAACCAGUUCUCCUACAGUUAUAGCCACGUUCCCUCAUCUCUGAAAAUCUUGGGCUCAUUCUCUCAUGAUGCCAUGAUUUAGUCUUCCAAGUGAUUAAUCCCUUAAAAUUGCAUUUUGGUUACUUUGCGACUUCUUGAACCCUAUUGCCUCACUCACCAAUGAUUUCAAACUCAUAACAGCUUUUUGACAUCCUCUAGGUAUCCAACUUACUUUUGAUACCUCAAAUUGGUAAUCCGUAGUUCCUUUUAAUCAAUACCCUUAUCGACUAUCACCUAUUCAUUUGUCAUCAUACAUCGACAUCUAAUAAGUAAUCGCUCAUAUCAUUUGAAAUAAUUAUUUGAUGAAAAUAAUUUUAUUAUCGAUAAUAAAUUAUGUCUAAAUACUUUUAUAGACAAUAUAAAUAUUUUUUAUUUAUUUAUUUUUACAACAAUAUAAGUAAUUAUUUUUAUAAAAUGUAUUUCAAUUUAUUCAUUUUUUGUGAAAUAAACCAAAGCUUUUAAAGUCUAAUCAAUGGUUUAAAGUUCGACUAUUAUAUCACUCUCUGCAAUGUCAUGUUUCGUGGAAAAUGUCUCGAUGGAAAGACAAAAGUGAGAGAGUCAAUGCUCCUUUCGUGCUUGCUUCGUUGGCGUCCACAUGCAAAACCGGAAAGGCAGCCAAAAAGGAGAAACAAAGGAAGACUAGAAAAGUACACUUUAAUUGUUCAGCGUUUACGCUGAUUUGAAGGAGUAAAAAAUCGAAGUUUUUUUUUUUUUCCAACCAGGUUGAGUUACUAGGCUGACGCUUGGUGAGGUCGCCCUGAGGCUGAUACUCACCUAGGUGAGGGUGACCUCUGACGAGGACUCCCCUAGCUAGAUUUGGCGAGGCCGGCCCUUGCUCAAGCCAGGGUGGCCUCACCCGAUGUUGCCAUCGCCCAGCCGACGCCUAGCGAGGCUACCCUAGCCUAGGUGCAGAUCAACCUCGCCUGGCCUAGGCGAGGGUCGGCCUCGCUCAGGCAACCCUUGCCGAGCCACGCUUGGGCAAGGGCUUCCCUCGCCGGGGCUCACCCUUGCCUAAUCGAGCCUCGCUUGUGGUGGGCAAGGCUAGCUAGUUGGCUGUGGCCAGCCAUUGGAAAAGGCCAAGAAGAAAGCCAAAAAGAAAAGAAAGAAAAAAUUUCAAAAAAUAUUAAAAUAUUAUUAAAAUUGUCCACGUCAGCGCCGGCGGUCCUAUGUGGCACCGUUGGCAUCCAUGUCCGUAUUUUCUUGCCAAAAUUGUAUGAAUGAACUCAAUUGGCAAGAAGUGAAAAUGUUUAGGACUGAAUUGGCAAAAGUACAAUAAGUUUAAGAUUUUUUGGACAAUUUUUCCAAAUCGAGUUGAUUCUAACAUUGGAAUGGAAAGGAAACGACCAGGCUUGUCCUGGCUUUGACCUCAAAGGGUUCGAUUUGAUGUCAACACUAAAAGGAGACAACCAUGCUUAUUCUCAAGAUCACUAAUUUAGCAUAGAUAAUAAGGAAUUGCUAAAAAUUUGAUCACACUUAAUCACGAAGGAAGUUGGUGCGUUUACAAUUGUAACAUUUGUUGCCUAGCUAGUUCUUAAUCCAUAAUAAAAUCUUUAAAUGAAACGACAAAUCUCUCAACUAUACUUGUUAAAUGAAUUGGGCCUAUCUGAUUCAAGAGUUCAUGUGAAUUGGAUUUGCAUGCCUGCAUUAUUCGAGCAGCCAAUGUUGAUGUAUCAAUGACCCACACGGAAAAUUUGCCCUGAGAAGUCUUGAGGAACAAACCAUGAAACUUCCUAGUCAACGGGACCUCUAAAUUACAAUUAGGUUGGAGGAUCCGCCAACGUGUUGAAAUUGAUGAUCUUCCACGUUCCAUGAAACUUCCGAGUUAGAGGAACCUCUAAAUUACUCUUAGGAACAAACCUCCCGUUAUACAAUUCCUACUAAGUAGUGCAAAUCAAUUGUAGAAUUUUUCUUUUUCUUUUCUUCCAAUAUACAAAACUUUAGUGCUAACAAAAAACAAUUGUUUAAAUUAUAUUACACAUUUAAAUUGAAAUUCUUGUCCCGUUUCGGAGUUCCCACUCCCUUUAAUGUAAUUUAUAACCAAAUGUAGUCAUGGGUUUAGUAUACACCAGCGGCAAGUUUCUUGAAUCACAGUGUUUAUUAGUUUUUUAUGUGGUAACAAAAAUUUUCGUUGUGUAAUUUUAAUACAUUCUCUUUUAUACUUUUAGUCUUCGAUAAGAUAAUAACUCGAUGUCAAUGCAGAAACUCACAAAUCCCACAAAAUUGCAUGGAAUGUAGUAUGCUCAUCAAAAAAGGAGGGAGGUCUAGGCCUGCUCGAUCUGAAACUUUGGAAUAAAGUAUUGAUGGCAUGCUUUAAAGCCUCAUCAAUCUUCCAUCCUCAUCCCUUUGGAGUACUUAGGUUUAAAUAUUAAAUGCAUAGGUACUCCCAUUAUGCAACUCAACAUAAAGGGCAAUAUGGCUUGAAAUUGACGAUGCAUUCUCAAGCUAAGACAUGCUCUAAUGCCUAUUAUCUCUAGCGAAACAUACUGUUGCAAAGAGGUAUACGAGGAAUUUAGACAAGAGGACCGGCCGUGGACUAGUAUCAAUUAAUUUGGACCAGCGGUAUCAGCAAGCAUAAUUGUAUUGGUUGGCUUGUUUGCAAAGAUAGACUACUGACAACAAUAGCCAUAUCGUGGUUGGUUGUCUUCAGUAGAUACUAAGUGUAACUUUUGCAUGACUGGUACAGAAGAUAGAAACCACUUAUUUUUUUAGUGCACCUGUACAAGUAGUGUAUGGCAUAGUAUUUUGGCAUAAAAUGGAAUUUGGUGUUAUGUAGGAGGUUGGAACUUAGAACUUCAAUAGAUGAUCGAGGCCACUAAGGGCAAAAACUUGGAGGCGAGAUUCCUCAAGUUGUCUUUCUUAGCGACAAUCUAUUGCAUUUGGAUGGAACGUAACCGCAAACGAUUUCAAAACAUGUCAACUGAACCUCAUCUUUUGUUAGCUAGGAUUCGAAAGAUUGUAAGAGAUAGGGCGCCACUUUACCAAAAGUGUAGGACUUCCCAGGAAAAUGUUUUAUUGGCUACUAUAUGGAGGCUUCCUUCCUCCAUCUUCUUGCAUAAUUAGUUUUUGUGGAAUGCUAGGGGAUUCCCCUAAGUUUCUGUACCUCAUCUAAUUAAUGAUAUUCACAUAUUUACACCAAAGAAGAUAAUAACUCGAUGGAUUGAGAUUGAUAUCUUGUAUCAUAUAUGUGGCUAUAGUGAGAGUAAGGGAUUAAUCAUCUUAAAUCUUGGACGAAUAAAACUUCAUGUGCAAUUGAGUACUACAAUAUCAAGGAUUUUUCAUUUUGUAGAAUUCUCGAAUAUAAUACAAUAAUAUUGAAAAACUAUUACAGAGCAACGGUCCAAUCGUCAUGCCAAACACAUAGAACACUAUAGAUGGAGAGCAUUAAUACCACAGCAUAUGAAAGUAUGGAAGCUUGAAAUCCAUCAUCGUCACACCAUGCAUAUAAUAGAGGAUGUUAGUAUUUUUGUAUAUGGUAGCUAGCCUAUGUGAAUAUUCAGAUGAUAAGGUGACGUUAGGUAAAUUAAAGUUGGUCCAUUAAAUUAAUUACUAAGUGAUGUCCCAAACUACAUAAGUAAUUUUUUUAGUCAUCUAGCAUACUUAGCGUUAUUCUUCGACCUAUUUCUUUCCCUUUCAACUUUGUAUAUGUAAUAUGCACCGAAUGGGAAAAAAUGUCUAGCGGUGAAGGAAUGUCUUGGUCUUGGUCAUCGCAGACAACCGUGUUUCCCAGGUCGUCUACCAGCUUCAAAGUUGAAAGCCGAAUCUUACAUGUUCGGAAAUUGCUUCAGCGCUAAAGUCCACUUCAACAUUUUUCACGUUGGAGUCAAAGUGGAAUAGGACUUUGACCGUAAAAAGAAAACAAUAAAGAAAAGGAAUAGUGCGGACUUGUUGAUUGGGUCAGAGAAAAAAAAGAAACAAACAGGAAAUGAACUCUUUGUUUGAGUCGACAAAAGUUCAGACGGAUGGCCAAUGCAUUCACCUUCAUUUGAGAGCGUGUGAGCAGCUACCAAAGCUCUCUCGUGGGCUAAAAACGGGCCUCAUUUUGAAGCCCAUCUGCUGGGUUCGCGCCCCGGCCCACUUGAGAGGGCCUUAAUUGGUAUGACAAGCUUAACGUGUUUGUGAAAUAUAAAAUGAUCCGUAAGCCUCGUUCCCUUUUAUUAUGGUAUAUUUUUUUUUUUGUAUUUAUUUUAACUUAUUAUUUUUAUUAUAGUUAUGCCUAUGAGAAAAUUUUAAAAUCAAAAUGUCCCUAAUCGUGAUGAGAAGUAGCAAGCAAUGUGAUUACUAAAUGAUACAUGCAAUUUUUUGGGUUAAGGGGCCAAUUUAUGUCAUAAAUUAGAUCCGUAAUAUUGAUAGAAAUGCUACGGAGAUCCAAAUGUGAAAAUUUAUAUGUCAACAAUACCCUUUUCACUCUUUUUUUAGUCACACUUGUAGAAUUCAACCGAGACAUCUCAUCACAAAUUUAUAAACAGCCCAAUUAUCAUUAAUUUUGCAAUUGCUUUUUUUUUUCCCCAAAUAGUAUGUUACAAACUAUGUUGGUCUCAUAUAAUUAAUAUUGAAUAACCUUUACUUGAGUUAUUACUCUCUUGUAGAGAUGAACUUACACAUGGACAAGCUGUAAGCAAUUUUGAGGGUGAUGACGAAAUAGGUUUGAGAGGAAUUUACAAGGCAUCAACACUACCUUUUAGCAUUUGCACAACUUGGGUCAUACAUGGUCGAGCUUUCAGAUUGAUUUGAAUGCACUAUGAGCCAAUUAUAAUAAUCUUCUUCACGAUUACUUUGUCCUCCUCAUUUGUGAUCCUGAGUAGUCCAAGCUCUUCUUGGAGCUCUAGACGUACCCAAUGAGGGAAGUAUGCUUCGAUGGUUUGAUCUAUUGUGACUUUGAUACUUUUUUAGCUAUUCUGUUAGUUUGUUGCUGGUUUUGUGGACAAGGCAAGCUAUAAGUGGGCAACAUGGGUUUAUGGUUAAGUUUUAGUAUGUAUUAAGCAUUUUUUUAGUUUUCUGAAUUAUAUAUACAGCUUUUGCUGUCAACUCCUCUGUUCUUUCGAAAACAACAAUUGCAGAGGAUAAGAGAAAGAGGUAGGAGAGAGUGCGAAAAGCAUUUGUAAAAAAAUCAAAUGGAGUUGGUUUGAAUUGGUUCUAACUCCUAUCAUUGUUGUGUGCUAGUUCUUCAACUUUGAAGCCAACACCAAGCAAGGCAGAAAGUGGUUUGAAGCAUGCAUAUGUAUCGAAUCAAAGCAUGUAUGGCCCAUGCUUGGAUCCACACUUAUUAUAGUGCUUAUGCUAAUUAUAAAUAAGGUCAUGUCACAAUCAAAACCUAUAGCAUGAUAGAGUUAAUUAUAUGUAUAGUUCAAAUCGAUCAAUGUUACCUAUUUCGAUUGAACACCUCGUCAGAUUUUAGCACCACUAGAAUAGACAGGAGCUUUCUCUCUUUCCUUCCUUCCUUCUUCCUUCCUUUCUUUCUUUCUUUCUUGUUUGGUUGUAUGCACAAGAAAAUCCCACAAAAAAAAGCAAGUUAUUUUGGUCCAACAUUUGAAAUUUUUACUGUGAAUUUGGUGUAGCUCUAGCUUCACUUAAUACUUUUUAACUAUUGGAUCUUGUGGGACACAGAUACCAACCUCCGCAUGUCGAAAGGAAGAUCAAGCAAAACAGUAGAUAUGAAAACUCAGUCAAGAAGCAAAAACAGAAAAAAAAAAAAAAAAAAAAAAAACUCCCCCAUCCACUUACCAUCAUUGUAGCUUCGAGGAUGAGGACCAUCUUGGCAAAAACAAACAAAAUCAUCGUUCUCGAAUCCACACCAUCCCUCACUUCCCUCACAGUUGCUACAAUUUGAUAUGGCUAGUAUAAGUACCUAGAGGGGGGGGUGAAUAGGUAUAACGAGUAAUUUCUAAUGAUAAUCGCACAAUACUAGACAGUUGAUAGAAAUGAGACAAUUUUUCCUCGUCAAUAAAUAAACAACGAUCAAAGUAAGAUUGAGAGUAGGGAAGAGAAAAUUGAACACGGGGUUUAUAGUGGUUCGGUUUAUUUCAAGCCUACGUCCACUCUUUUGCACCGACAGCCCACUGGCUGGAUUCCACUAUGAACAAAGAGAUAUUACAGCACUGUUCUUCCUUGAUUUCUCAGUGUAGAAUAUCUACCACACUCUCUCAAGGUAUCACUAAGUAUAAACUCUCUUUGUGUGUACAGUUUCGCUCAAUAUGAAUUGACUAGUAAUCAAGGAGCUUCAGACUCUGGAAUUUCUCUAUCGAGCACUUGCUAGAAUAACUGGAACGUCUUCUUUUUAUACUCCUUUAUGCCAUCAUACUCGUUAGCACUUACCAAAGGAAUUCUUCCAAUCUUCCCGUUGGACAGAAUCAAUUAAGAAGAUCAUUCGAGCUAUUUAAAGGAACAUGUCGAUAGCCCAUCAAUCAUGUUCGCCCAUACAAUUAGGAUCUUGGUUUCCAAGAAUAGAACCUUCCAAGAAUAUUUCGUCAAUCAUCGGAUCUUCAAAUGAUCUUGAUUUCGAAUAAUUAAUCCGUUGUAUCAAAUCCAGCCAAGAGAUCUUCUCUAGUCGAUAAGAUCAAAUCGUUAACCAAACACUUUAGCUCUGGAUCGCCUUCAUCACUGGAUUAGAAACUGUCAAUGAGAAUAGUCUUGAGUCUUGAGUCUUGUGUGCUGAGUCUGGUGAUCUGAAAGUCUUCAGACUCUAAGUACAAGGGUCUGCACAGCUUCCAGACUAGACUGAUAGAAACGUUUUGUCAGCUUCAAAACACUCUAGAGAUUUUCUCCAACAAUCUCUCCCUUUUUGAUGGUGACAAAACUUUCAUGUAGAUUUGAACAACUUUGACUUGCAAAAACAUUACUCAAGCAGUAUGGAUAUCUCAUAAAGAUUAAUAACUCAACUAGACUUUGCAUCCACAGAAAAUAGGUUAGUCUUUCAUGAGUAAAGUCAUACAAUAACACUUGAUAUAAAUAAUGCAACAGUCAAUUUCAAAUCCACACACUCAAGUCAAUCAAAUUCACCAAGUCCACCACACCCAAGUCAUACUCAAAAAUAAAUAUCCAAACAAACUGAAAUUAAAAACAUAUUCAAAAUCAAAGUUUAGUUCAGUUCAGAGCUGGCAAUUCUCCCCCCUUUUGUCAUCAUUAAAAAGGUGAGAAAGAGUCAAGUUUGCUUGGGAACGCGCACAAUCUGGAAAUCUCCCAUCGACUGUACGACGCCUUCCAGCCUCUUCAAGUCUUCCCGUAGAUGUGCCACCUCUACUCCUUUGGCAUUUGCUUGAAUUUGAUGAGCGAGGUCUUGCAUUUGGUCCGACAGGGUAACAAAAGACGCUUGUCCAGAAUUCUUCAGGACUUGAAGUUCACAUUCCAAAGCAUAUAUUUGACCCUGCAUUGCCAGAAGAAGAUCAAGGAUACGACGAAAAUCUGCGGUAUUGUCCGUCUGCGUGCUGGCAUUUGCUCUAUCAGAUGGAGUAAAGGCAGACGAUGGAACUUCGGUGUAAUCGCGCAAAUUUGGCGUGUAGGUGUCAUGUCCUUCAGGCAUUUGAGAAGCUUGAAUAUCUUCUGGAUUUGCUUGCGAGCGACUCACACCUUCACUGUGAUCAGGAUAUGGUGUAGUCCUUCCUUGCUCGUCAUCUCCCCCUGUCAUACUCAGUAGAAUCUUGAUUGCCUUUCUCUCUAGCUUCAUCUGCAGACUUUUCUUUGACUGCUUCUUCUUCUUCUUCAACUUCUUUCUCCUCUUCUUCUUUUUCUUUCUCUUCUUUCUCCUCUGCUUCUCUCUAUUCUUGUUCCUCUGCUUCUUUUCCUUUCUCCUGUCGUUCCAUUGAUUCCGAUACAGAACGACUGAGUCUUUUCAAUGCCAAGGCAGAGAUAGUGAGUUCAUCCUCUUCAUCUUCAUCCUCUAAGAUUAGAGCUCUUUUCUUUUUGGAUGGAGCACCCAUGGGCUCCUUCCCUUUCCUUUUCGACGCAGAAGAGACUGGAUGAGAUUUAACUGGAGUUUUCACUUUGAACUUCUCCAUUGCCUUAUCAAGCUCUUUCAGACGCAUUUUUGUCAGCAUUUUCAAACCCACCACCAUUUUGUCGCAUGGUCGAACACAAAGAGUCUGUGGAGGUUCAAUGUUCAAGUGUCUGAAGAUCUUAGUCACAAGACCUGAGUAAGGCAACUGGCCCUUAUCCUUCACCAUUGCUCUGUACAUGUGGAAGAGAAUGGUGUGAGGAAGAGAGAACUUCUUCCCUGAAUUGAUCGCGUACAUCAAUUUCGCUUCAGAAUUAGACACGUCUGUCUUGGAUGUUGAUUUUGGCCUGAGACAGUUGAUCACGAUUUUGUGCAGUAAGAUGUUGAUGGCAUGCAUUCUUGUGUAGGUAACUCUUCCUUCUGUACUCCUGUCUUUGACAAGUUCCAGUGUGGUACGAGCGAUUAAAACCUUGAUUGGUUGAUAUCGUCCUCUUUCAACUCCAAUUAUGUCUGCCAACAUGUCCACAUCUACCUCAUAGUCUUGGUCUCGAACACUGAAGGAUAUUCUAUUCGCAUCUAAAAAGCUGAGAUUCGAAUAGAAAUAUGCUGUCAAUUGUGCAUAGCCAUCUGUGGUGUCAAAGCAAAAUUGCUCUAGUUGAAGCAGAUUGAACUUCUCCUUCAAGUUCACAUUGAUGGCAUCCAGAAAAUCAAAAUCAACGCUCCUGGGGUUUAUUACCCCCCAUUUCAACAAUUUGAAGAACAGAUACUCCUGUUCCUUUGAUUUGAACAACUCCGUUCUUUUUCCCUUCACUUUCGCAGCAACACCCAUCCUAGGUUGGAAUUCUCUAAACAUUUUAUCAUCGUCAUUCCCGUCAGUCGGAUUAAAUCCCCCUACACGAGGGUCACUUGGAAUGUUCACAAGUGCUUCCUCAGCCUUUCCUUUGGAAGCAAUUCCCAAAUCCUCCAUCCAUCGCAAAAAGAUAUACUCAUUUUUAUACCCUUUGUCUUUAAGGAAGGCAUCCACAUAGUUCAGUGGUGUACCUAUGCUUUUCAAAGCACGAUAGAGCUUAUAAAUAAAAUAGGGUUUUUGGACUCUUACAGGGUCUGCUUCCUCGAUUAUUUCUUCCUGUGGUAGUUGAUCCACACUCUGUGGGGGUAGAUAAUGGAGAUUGACGUGGCUGAGAGUGAAUCGGGCUCUGUUGCUGUCUCGGUAACUCUUCUUCCUCGGUGAGAUCGAAAUGGGUAGGACCCUCCCUCAUUCUCUGUGGUCCCCUGCUUGUGAUUCUUGAAGACCUUCUAGAAGAAGACAUCGUUUCUUGUCGUUGAAAGAUUCCUUGACUCGCUUUCCCAAGAAAAGAUGACAACUUUCUCGAAGAUGAACACGAAGUCAAGAUAGGAUUGGGAGGGGAAUGCCUUUUUAGGGUUUUGGAGUUAAGCGAAGAAGACAACUGACUGUAUAUAACCCAGUUAAAAAGGAAAAACCAAUUGUCACAAAGGAAAGUAAACAGUCGUCCCCUUUUUAAAAAUGAUAACUGCCUUUUUUUUUUUUAAAUAGAGGUUAUCUUUUUGAAAAGACAAGAUUCCGUUUUUCUCGGAAAUUAAAGAUAAAUCAAAUAUAACUGAACGAAAGAUCGUACCUUUUCGAGAUUGAAUAUUAAAAUAACUUACAGUCUGUGGCCGUGAAUGAUUGAGUCUGAGAGUCUGAGAGUCUCUAGACUUUGAUUUCCCUCAAGCUUCAAAAUGUUGAGUCUGGAACGGAUGAUAUCAAAUUGAUUCUUCUCCAAAGGCUUUGUGAAUAUAUCCGCUAGUUGGCUCUUUGACUCAACAAAUUGAAUCGAGAUUUCUCCAUUUUGUACAUGAUCUCUAAUGAAGUGAUGGCGAAUCUCUAUAUGCUUUGCCCUUGAGUGAAGGAUUGGAUUUUUAGUAAGAUUGAUUGCGCUGGUGUUGUCACAUCUAAUCUCAGUGCAUGAGUCUUCAAUUCCAAAGUCUUGUAGCUGUUGUUUUGUCCACAGAAUUUGCGAACAACAACUUCCAAGAGCUACAUACUCUGCUUCUGUUGUAGAGAGAGCCACAGUGUUUUGUUUCCUUGAAAACCAAGACACUGUCCUGUUCCCAAGCAAUUGGCAAGUUCCCGAGGUGCUCUUUCUAUCAACUCCGCAACUGGCUAGAUCUGCGUCUGAAUAUCCAAGAAGAUUAAAGCCUCCCUUCUUAGGAUACCAAAGACCGAUGCUUGAAGAUGAAGCAACGUAUUUAAUAAUGCGUUUCGCAGCACUGAGAUGAGAUUCUCUAGGGUCUGAUUGAAACCUAGCACAGAUGCACACACUCAACAAAAUGUCAGGUCUAGAGGCAGUAAGAUAAAGAAGUGAACCGAUGAUACUCCUGUACAGCUUUUGAUCAACUUUCUUCCCUUCUUCAUCUUUGUCUAUCUUCAAAGAACUUGACAUUGGUAUGUCGGUCUUUUUGCACUUUUCCAGUUCAAACCUUUUGACAAGAUCAUUAGCAUAUUUUUCUUGAUGAAUAAAAGUUCCUUCCUUCAAUUGUUUUACUUGAAGUCCAAGAAAGAAGGUUAACUCUCCCAUCAUACUCAUUUCAAACUCAUCUUGCAUAGACUUAGAGAAUUUCUUACACAGACUUUCAUUAGAGGAUCUAAAAAUAAUAUCAUCCACAUAUAUUUGAACAAGUAGAAAGCUUUUGUUUUCCUUUUUGAUAAAUAGAGUAGUAUCUACUUUACCUUUGACAAAACCAUUAUGUAUUAAAAACUUAGUCUGUCGUACCAAGCUCGAGGUGCUUGCUUUAAACCAUACAAGGCCUUUUUCAGUCUGAAGACUGAGUCUGGUUUCUUUGGGUCUUCAAACCCUGGUGGUUGUUCCACAUAAACUUCCUCAUGGAUAAAUCCAUUCAAGAAUGCACUUUUGACGUCCAUUUGGAAUAACCUGAAAUUUUUAUAACAAGCAAAAGCAAGCAAUAAUCGAAUAGCUUCUAACCUUGCUACUGGAGCGUAGGUCUCAUCAUAGUCUAUCCCCUCUUCUUGUGUAUAUCCCUUGGCCACGAGUCUUGCUUUGUUUCUUACGACUUUUCCUUUCUCGUUCAUCUUGUUCCUGAAAACCCAUUUAGCUCCAAUAACAGAUUUACCUUUUGGUUUAGGAGUCAAUUCCCAGACAUCAUUGAUACUGAAUUGCCUGAGCUCUUCUUGCAUAGCUUCAAUCCAGCUUUCAUCUGAUAAAACUUCUUCUAUGCUUUUGGGUUCUAUUUCAGAAACAAGUGCCACAGCACUAGACUCUUUACGCCUUUUGGAUCUAGUGCGAAUUCCUUCAUUAAUUUCGCCAAUAAUGAGAUCUUUGGGAUGACUGGACUUAUGCUUCCAGUUACUGGUUGAUCUGUUUGAUUAAUGAUCUCUUUCUUUACUUGAAUCUUCACGAACAACUUGAUGCUGGUCUUCCAGAGUCUGAGAUGCUUCUUGAGAUGUAAGCUUUGAAGAGUCUGGAGCAGGUUCAGAUUCUUCAUGUUGAGUCUGACUGGAUUCAUUUUGCAUUGAAUCUUGAAAUUUGACAUUCAUUGAUUCCUCCACUGAUUGACUCUUCUUGUUAUAGAUUCUGUAGGCUUUGCUUGAUGUAGAAUAUCCAAGGAAGAUGCCUUCAUAUGAUCUUUCUUUAAACUUACCAACUCGAUCUUUUGCAUUUUUCAAUAUAAAACAUUUGCAACUGAACACAUGAAAGUACGAAACAAUAGGCUUCUUACCUUUGAAUAACUCAUAAGGGGUUUUCUCUAGAAUAGGUCUUAAAAAGACUCUAUUUAUGAUAUAGCACGCUGUUGAAACAGCUUCAGCCCAAAAUUGUGAAGAAAUCUUAUUUUCAAUUAAAAGAGUUCUAGCCAUUUCUUCUAGCCAUUUCUUGAAGAGAUCUAUUCUUUCUUUCCACAACUCCAUUUUGCUGAGGAGUGUAUGGAGAGGAGAACACAUGCUUGAAGCCAGAUUCAUCACAAAAUUUUGUAAAAUCUUGAUUUUCAAAUUCACCUCUAUGGUCUGUUCUUAUACUUGAAAUAACAUAUCCUUUUUCAUUUUGAACAUUUUUAGCAAAUUUUUCAAAAUACGAGAAGGUUUCAGACUUACUUGCAAGGAAAUAUACCCAAGUAAAUCGGGAGUAAUCGUUCACGAUUACUAGGCAAUAUUUCUUACCUCCAAUGCUCUGGGUUCUGGUUGGUCCGAAGAGAUCCAUAUGCAGCAGCUGCAGUACAUGAUUAGUAGAGACAUGAUUUAUUGGCUUAAAUGAAUUUCUUACCUGCUUUCCCAAUAUACAUGGAGUGCAUAGAUCAGACUUUUGGUAUGAUAAAUUGGGCAGACCACGAACAAGCUGCUUUGAUGAGAUUUUGGCUAUCUGCUUCAUAUUGAUGUGACCAAGCUAUCUGUGCCACAAGCUUGCUUCGUCUUGAAUUGAAAUUGAGCAUUGCGAUUCAUCCGGUUUCAUAUCCAGAAGAUAGAUAUUUCCAUGCCUUCGACCCAUAAAAGACUGAGUAGAGUCUUUACUGAUUCCAGAACAUAUUCCUUCUUGAAAGAAGAUCUUAAAACCAGCAUCACAUAGUUGGCUUAUGCUGAGAAGAUUAUAAUUGAGUCAUUAUACUAGGGAAACAUUACUUAUUGUGAGAUUUCCAAUUUUCACAGUUCCAAAUCCCACAAUUCUUCCUUUGCUGUUUCCUCCAAAUGAGACUUUUCCACCAUUUACUUGAACAAGCUUUAUAAAGCAAUUUGAGUCUCCUGUCAUAUGUCUUGAGCAUCCAUUGUCCAGAUACCACUUUACCUUUUCUUUGAUGGAGACCUGCAUUUAAAAGAGAGUCUCAAGUUUUCUUUGGUACCCAUAUUUUCUUGGGUCCAUUGGUGUUAGUAAGAUAAACAGUAUUAGCCCAUGUUUUCUUAACAGGUUUCCAAACCAUAGGACACUUUUUUUCAAAGUGAUCCGGGCUAUUGCAUUUUGAACACCUAAGAGCAUUUCGAUCUACAGACUUUACAAAAACCUUCUUGAAAUGAUUUUUGUAGGCCUCUCUUGAGGGUCUUAGCUUGAUUCUUUCUUUUACUUUAGGAAAAUCAAUCAAGGGAAUAGUUUCCGCAGUCAUACCUAAACCAGACUUAUUGAAAUAAUGUCUUUGAACUGAAAGAAUUUUUUCAAGUUUCUCGGACCCUAUUGAAAAUUUCUUUGAAAUAUUUAAUGAGUCAAUUUUUAAAAGAGCAUUUUCUUUCAAAAGAUUUUCUUCACUUUCUUUAAGAGUAGAAACAUUCAUGUCUAAACAUUUAACUCUUUCUUUCAACACAUUUUCCUAUUGUUUUAGAACAGCGUUUUCUUUUUUAAGUUAUGAAAUCCUUUUAAGAGAAGUCUUAAGACUAAAACACAACUCAUCAAUAUACUUAGAAACCUUGACAGGAAUUUUAAAAUUACUUACCUCAAAUACAUUGUCUGAGUCUGAUUCAAAGUUUGAGUCUGAGUCUGAUUGCGCCAUCAGACACAAAUUGGCAUAUUCAUCAUCACUUCUUUCACACUCAGUAUCACUCCAGGUUUCGGCUUUGAGAGCCUUUCGAGGCUUUUCAGCUUUUCCUUUCUUCUUCUUUAGAAGGAGACCGUUGGGUUUGAUGUGUCCCUUUUUCUUACAUUCAAAGCAAACUAUAUCUUUGUUUGAUUCAUCAUCAUCAACAGACUUGGUCUGUUGUCUUUGAAAGCUUUGUUUCUUUGAGUUGAAUCUUCUUCCUUUUCUAUUCAUCUUUCUAAAUCUUCUUAUCAUGAGAGCAAGCUCCUUAUCGUCCAUAUCAUCUUCAGAAUCUGUAGCAUCAGAAUCAUCAUUUGAUUUUAAUGCAAUGGAUUUCUUACCUUUUGGAUCUUCGUCUUCGUUAAUUCGUUCCACUUCAUAAGACUGAAGAGUUCCAACCAGCUCAUCGACAGAUAGUGGCAUGAUUCUUUGCGUCUCUUUUAUUGAAGUCUUUAUGUGAUUCCAAUCCUUGGAGAGUCCACGCAGUAACUUGUUUACCUUCAUGGGAUUAGAAAUUGGUUGUCCUUGAUUUUCAAGACCAUUUACAAUUUCUGUAAAACGGCUAAACAUGUCAGUUAUAGAUUCUCCAGGUCUCAUUUUGAAGGCUUCAUAUUGACCGAGAAGGAUGUUGAUUCUGGUCUCUUUUACUCGAUCAGUUCCUUCAUAGGUGAUAUGUAACCUAUCCCAGACUUCUUUUGCUGUAACACAAGAAGAUAUUCUGUUAUAUUCAGUAGGUGACAAGGCACAAUAUAUAGAAUAUAUAGCUUUUGUAUCAAGAGUUUGUCUCUUGAUUAUCUCUUCUUGAGACAUUCCGCUGGUCUCAACAGUUUCUUUCCCUCUUUCUGAGACGGAUGCAACUUUAGGAGUGAUUCAUUUGUCUACAAUGUCCCAUUCCAGAGGAUCCUUUGAUCGAAGAAAUGAUUUCAUUUUGUUUUUCCAGAUGUUGUAGUCCUUUCCAUCAAAGUAAGGAGGUCUGGUAUUGCUUUGACCUUCCACCAGCCCUGGAGCUAGCAUACUAGCCAUGGAUCUUUUACUCUGAAGUAAAACACUUCAAAUAAAGUGAGUACACGAGCUUUGAUACCAAUUGAUAUGGCUAGUGUAAUUACCUAGAGGGGGGGUGAAUAGGUAUAACGAGUAAUUUCUAAUGAUAAUCGCACAAUACUAGACAGUUGAUAGAAAUGAGACAAUUUUUCCUCGUCAAUAAAUAAACAACGAUCAAAGUAAGAUUGAGAGUAGGGAAGAGAAAAUUGAACACGGGGUUUAUAGUGGUUCGGUUUAUUUCAAGCCUACGUCCACUCUUUUGCACUGACAGCCCACUGGCUGGAUUCCACUAUGAACAAAGAAAUAUUACAGCACUGUUCUUCCUUGAUUUCUUAGUGUAGAAUAUCUACCACACUCUCUCAAGGUAUCACUAAGUAUAAACUCUCUUUGUGUGUACAGUUUCGCUCAAUAUGAAUUGACUAGUAAUCAAGGAACUUCAGACUCUGGAAUUUCUCUAUCGAGCACUUGCUAGAAUAACUGGAACGUCUUCUUUUUAUACUCAUUUAUGCCAUAAUACCCGUUGACACUUACCAAAGGAAUUCUUCCAAUCUUCCCGUUGGACAGAAUCAAUUAAGAAGAUCAUUCGAGCUAUUUAAAGAAACAUGUCGAUAGCCCAUCAAUCAUGUUCGCCCAUACAAUCAGGAUCUUGGUUUCCAAGAAUAGAACCUUCCAAGAAUAUUUCGUCAAUCAUCGGAUCUUCAAACGAUCUUGAUUUCGAAUAAUUAAUCCGUUGUAUCAAAUCUAGCCAAGAGAUCUUCUCUAGUCGAUAAGACCAAAUCCUUAACCAAACACUUUAGCUCUGGAUCGCCUUCGUCACUAGAUUAGAAACUGUCAAUGAGAAUAUUCUUGAAUCUUGAGUCUUGUGUGCUGAGUCUGGUGAUCUGAAAGUCUUCAGACUCUAAGUACAAGGGUCUGCACAGCUUCCAGACUAGACUGAUAGAAACGUUUUGUCAGCUUCAAAACACUCUAGAGAUUUUCUCCAACACAAUUAAAUGCGGUCUAGUUCAAAAGGAAUCCCAUCUCCAUAAUCUCACCGUAAUUCAUAGUUGCCAAGCUAUCGCUAUUUGUAUUAACAAAAUCAGGUACACUAACUGCAGAGUCGCAGGUACUGACGGCAUAAUACAAAUAUAUUUCAUGCGAUACUUCCUCGAGAAAAUAAGCAAAAGAGUGGUGGGUGGAGUUGCUAGCAUAGUCCACUAGAUAUGUAAAAUUUGGCGGCGGUGAGGUGCAAUUAUAAUAGAAGAAGAAAUCGGCAUUAGUGGAACUGAGAAUGAGAGGCACGCUUUUGAAGUUGAUAUUACGUGGUGGAGCACCACAAGUGUCAUGGUACAUGAGGGCAUCAACCAGGAGGAAAGAAUGAUUCAUGUAGGAGAUUUCCUUGAUGAUGAACUCACUGACUGAAAAAUUCAGGACUGGGAAUAUCCCUACGUAGGUGAUCUUGAAAUUCGGAUAGCCACAAUAGGCGUCCUGCUCGCCCGAAAUCCAGAAAGGGUAGUUGAUGUUUGGGCCAUAUCCACAGUUCCGAGGUGUGCAGGCUUCAUAGUGCGCAUCUUCAGAUACAACCUAAUAGACUAAGCUAGUGAAGACAACGACAAGGGCCAACUGGCAACAAUUAGCUCUGCAGUUGAAGCUCUAGAGAUUCAUUUGGACUGGAAGGAGGUAGAGCAGGAUAGAAGAGAAAUCAAAUGGAGUUAGUUUGAAUUGGUCCUAGCUUCGAUAACUGUCGUGCACUAGUUCAUCGACUUCGAAGCAAAUGCCAAGGGAGGCAGAAAUUGGUCCCAUGCGUGCAUUAUUCAAGCACCCAAUGUAAAUGCAUUGUUGUCAUACACGGAAAAUCUGCACUAGAAAGUCUAGAGGAACCGACCAUGAUACUUCCUAGUCAAAGGGACCUCUUAAUAACGAUUACAUUAGAGGACUUGCCUACGUGUUGAAAUGUCAGAAUUGAUGAUGAUCUACCAAAUCAUUAGGAACAAACCUUGGACCAUCUGAGCCAAAGGGACCUCUAAAUUACACUCGGAACAAAGUUCCCGUUACAAAAAUAUUAGGAAAAAAGUAUCAAUUCAAUUCUAUACCUAUUAUAUGAAUGUCAAUUCAGUCAUAAUUUUUUCAAAUUUAUUAUGAUAAUUAUAAGUUUGACAAGAUAUUCUUACGUAGUUUUUUUGACUGAUUGCUGUCGGAAAUCCUUGACGUGAGAAUCCACAUAUAGUACAAUCGGCGAUGAUUGGACACCAUAUUAGCAAUUUCCAGCGUCAGUUUUUCAGAAGAACUACUUUGAAAUUUUGAGUAAAUGUUUAGGACUACAUUGAUAAAAUUGAUAAAUGCAUGACAAAAUUAGCAUUUACACAAUAAAUUUGGGACUAACUAGGUAAUUAUCCCACAAUUCUUACUAAGCAACGCAAAAAAUUGUUCAUUUUUUAUCAUUUCAUCCAUCAUACAAAUUUUAGUGCUUGCAAAAAAUAAAAAAUUAAAUAAUUUAUGUUGCAUAUUUCCUUGGGAGUUUUGUUCCACAUUGGAGUUGCAACUCCCUUUAAUGUAGCCUAUGACCCAAUGCUGUCAUGGUGUUAGUAAACACCUGCGUUUGAGUGUCUUAAAUCUCAGUUAUUAUUAGUAAGUUUUGAGGUAGCGAAAUUUUUGUGAUUAAAUUUUAUAGAAUACAGUGUCUACGGAAAGUUGCAGGAAUUGGCAUUUUUUAUGUUCUCUUUUACGCUUUUAUAACCAGUAAUUAUAUAACUCGGUGGCUCGUAUUAUAUAUGUGGCUACGAUUAAGAGAUUAACGAUCUCAAAUCAUUGCGAACAAAAUUUAAUAUGUAAUCAAGAGCUAUAAGGUUGUAGUAUUUUCAUUUUCUAAAUUCUCGAUUACAAUACUUUACAGAAUAAUAAUCCUGGGAAACUGAUAGAGAAAAAAUGUCUAAACAUCAUACCAAAUACAUAUAUACAUAUGAUAUACAUGAAAGCAUUGAAUUUCGAAAUUUGGACUGCCGGCACCGUGCAUUGACGCAAUAAAUUAUGUCAACAAUUUAAGUCAUGUAUGAAAUCUGAUCCAUUUGGCGGAUUUAUUGAUAUUUUUUCAAAAUCUAAAUGUGCAUUUUUUUUUUAAUCUGAAUCAUAUCUGGUUCUUUGGAAUUGAGCAGGUCCUUAAACUGCUCAUGGAAGGUAAAGGUGGGAGAACCGCCCUAGGGUGAGAGACCCCGUACUUGCCUUCCCCAGCCUCCUAGUUGGCUAGAAAAUAUCAACUAGGAAUUAGGGGGGCUAAUGGUGAUGAAGGUAAACAUCAUGUUUGGAGCAAUCUAGGCUACGACUAGGCUAGCAUUGGGUAACCAAACCAUGUCCCUCGCUCGGCGUGAAUGAGUGAGGGUGAAAUGCCCUCUGUUGGCUGAACAUGCCUAUGACACUUCUUGUAUUUUCAUUAUAUUACAUACACGAUGAGAAGGCGCUUCUUUUGAAUAUAUGCAAAAGGAAGGGCUCAAAUAUAUUUUCUAAAAGAAGUCGUGGACGUCUCUGCUAAAUGGCACUUGAAGUAUAUGCGGGUCCAGGUCAGAAGCAGUAGAUAUGUUGACCCCUAUAAAUACUCUAUUACAAACUAUGUUAGUCUGAUGUAAUUGAUAUUGAAUUGUCCCAAGUCGAGUCAUUUCUCUUUGGCAUAGACGAACUUUCACAUUGACAAGCCUCGGGUGAUCUUGAGAGUGAUGACAAGGAUGGUUUAGGAGGAAUUUGUAAGGUCUCAACACUACUUUUUAGCAUCUCCACAACUCUGGUCAUCGAUGGUCGAGCUCUCGGAUCGAUCUGAAUGCACCAUAAGCCUAUUACAAUCAUCUUCUUUGCAAUUCCUUCGUCCUCCUCAUUUGCGAUCCCAUGUAGGCCAAGCUUUUCUCAGAGCUCCAAGCGUCGGCGGACCCAAUGAGGAAAGUAUAUUUCACUUGUAUGAUCUACCGUGACUUCAAUGUUUUUCCUCUUGCUGACCAUCUCUAGAACUAUCAUGCCAUAACUAUAGACAUCCGAUUUGUGAGAAACCCCUCCGAUGUUCCUUAUGAUUAGCUCCGGAGCAAUAUAACCAGCGGUGCCUUGGGCACCAAGCAAUGACAUGAUGCUCUCUUCUCUUGGGCAUAUUUUGGAAAGACCAAAGUCGGAAAUCUUGGGACGAUAGUUUGCAUCAAGAAGAAUGUUGUGAGGUUUUAUGUGGAAGUGCAAGAUCCUUGUAUUAAAUCCUCUAUGCAAGUACUCUAGCCCGUGAGCUAUGCUGAGCGAAAUCUGGUACAAUAUGUCCCAACUCAAUUGCUGAUCUACCUCCAAAGUGUUACUCCUGUUGAAUAUGAAUUUUUCGAGUGAUCCAUUGGGCAUGAACUCAUAAACCAAAGCUCUUUUGCUUCCUUCAAAACAAAACCCCAAAAGGUUAAGAACAUUGAUAUGAGAAGUCCUACUUAUGCUCACAACUUCAUUGAAAAAAUCUUCAGCAUUGCCUUUCGGCUUCUUUAGAAGCUUUACUACCACAAAUUGAUCAUCUCGAAGCUUGCCUUUAUACAUGCAGCCAUAGCCUCCCUCACCUAACUUUUCUUUGAAAGAGUUGGUCAUCCUCUUGAUGUCUUUGUAGGUGUAUAUUCUCGGAUGAGUCCCUCAAUCUUCAUUUCGCCAUAGAAAUGUUCGCUCCUAUGCUUUAUCAAAGCCAUAAUAAUUCUGAUCACUGGUUUCUUCCUGAAGGGAAGCAUUAAAAUAAGGGUGAUCCCAAUUCCGGCUCCUGAUGCAGCCAUUCCUGAAAAAAAAUGGAGAAUAUUUUUGAACAGCAAUCUCACUUCUUCAAGGCUUCUAGAUAUUUUGGAAAUAUUGAUUCCAUUGAGCAACGAUGCAAGAUUACUGCCAAAAAGUCGCAACAAAUUGCAGAGGAGUGUAGAGAAGCGGAAGAGAAAGUCUUGAAAUAAUUACCUAUUCCAAUUUUCAGUCCAACCCUUUGUUUUCCUGAGACAAUAGUCAUCAAGAAUGAAAAAUGUGUCAACAAAUUGCAAAGUGAUAACUUCAAAGUGUCUAAGAGAUAUAAAGAUCAGACACAUCAUGAGGUAAUAGAUCAUUCUGUUUCAAGGAAGUAAAAGCGCCCGGCCCUACCCCGCCCCGAACGCGCCCCCCCCCCCAAUCAUUCACCAGUUUGGAUCGAUUAGUGACAUUUUUACCAGAGUAAUUGGAAACACAUGCAAAUGGAUCUGUGCCUGAUUGACCAACAAGUAUAGACAUUAGCUAAAAUCCUUAAUUCUAGAGCUAUCAGGGAAUGAACAGGAAGACAGCAAAAAAUAUUAGCUUGUCUAGAAGUAGCAAACACGCUGCAAUAUGAUCGACAAUGUGGUGUCAGAGGCGGAGACAGAUAAAAAUUUCUGUGUAUUGAAUGAGCGGUAUAUUAUGGACAUGUCUCAACCCUUUUAGCCUCUAAGUGGACCUAUAGGAUUGAUUAGAAGUCGUCCCGCGAAUAAAACAAGUGGGCAGCUCAUGUUCAGGCAAGAAUUUUGAAGCUUCUUGAAUCGUGUACACCCAAUUGAUGACUAGCUAACUAUUGCAGAAAGAUACAAACAUAGAAAGAUAGAAAUAUCAAAAUAUGAGGUUCCCAUAAGAUGUCUUGGGACCCAACAGAUCGGAGAGUUUUGUUUGCAGCGGUAAGCGAGUCCACAGUCUAAGCUAGGGCGAAGAAAUUGGAAAAGCUUGAGGACAUUAUCCACGGCACGUAUAAAGAGUAAUUAAAUAACAGUGAAAACAUUUUCAGUAUUUAUUUCUCCACUAUCAUCAUGAACAAAAUUUUCAUUGAUUGUGCAAAGAUAGAAUUAAGUGCGCAGUUCACCUCUAUCAAUAAUAUAUUUCAACUAUCGAAGCGAUCAGAUUUUAGCACCAUUUGUGGAGAUGUAGUUUUCCUUUUCAUUUGGUUGUGUUCAUAAUAAAAGCCCAAGAAGAAACCAGUAGUUUUAGCCCAACCCUUGCAGAAUUUUACAGUGAAGUUGAAGCAUCUUCACUCAAUUUAUUUAUACCUUUUGAUGUUAUGGGUAGCAGAUGCCGACCUAAAGAUCUAACUGUUAAUUGCAGUCCAGUUCAAUAGGAACCCCUUCUUCAAGCUAGUGAUUCAAGCUAGUGAAAUCGGCAUUAAUAGAAACAGGAGUGCUAACUGUGGAAUAGUAGGAGCGGACGACAGAAUAGCAAUCCAUUUCCUGCAAUGCUUCCUUGGGAAAAAAGAAAAAGAAAAAGAAAAGCAAAAGAAUGGCGCAUGGAGUUGCCAACUCGGUCCACUGGACUUGUAAAAACAUGUUGGCUACGAGGUGCAACUAUAGUAAAAGAACAGAUCAGCAUUAGUGGAACUGAGAUUGAAAGUCGUCCUCUCGAGGUUGAUAUUAUGGGGCCGGAGCAUCACAGGAUUCCUGCUACACAGGGGCAUUAGCCAGGAGGAACCAAUUGUUCGCAUAAAAGAUAUCCUUGAUAGUGAAUUCCCUGUCCGAGAAAGUCAGGACAUGAUAUAUCUCCUUGUAGGUAAUUUUGAAACAGAUAGCCCCAAUAGGACUCUUGUUCACCAUAAAUCCUAAAAGGGUAGCUAAUGUUCAGCCCAUAUCUACAAUUCCGAGGCAUGCAAGCCUCGUAUUGUGCAUCAUCCGAUAGAGCCACAUAGACUAAGUUGGUGAAGAUGAUGAUGAUGACUGAUUGGUGACAAUUAGCUACUCACAUUAAGUUUUGUGAUUCAUCUAGACUGGAAGGAGGCAGAGUAUUGCAGAGGACAGAAGAAAUAGGUAGGAGAGAGCGUGGAAAGCAUUUGCAAAAAAAUCAAAUGGAGUCGAUCUGAGUUGGUCCUAACUCCUAUCACUGUUGUGUCUCGUGUGCAGGCUGCCUUGUUUGGCCCUUCUCUCCUCUGUUGUGGCUGUUGUUUUAGCCUUUUUCUUUGCUGCUAUUCUUUCUUUCCCUGUUCUACAGCUUUACCCCUGGUACCCUUCCACUCGUUUGACUACCUUGUCUUUUGAGUUUAAGCUUUUUGGUUCCGGGUGUCACGCCCCAAUCCUCGGUCACGUGCCCAUCCUUAUUUUAUCUGGUUGAUUUUAAACUUGCGAUAUCCCAGGACUACGUAUCGCCGACACUUUCAUUUAUUAAGCACAUGCGGAAGCAGUUAUUAAUCCCCAGACAACAAAACAAUGGGAUAGAAAAGUAGGGCCAUAAUUUCCAUACUGAAAUUCACAACCACUCUUUUACACAAAGCACCUCAUAAUAUAUAAUGUAAUACUAUUCACAGGGGUCUGAUCUAACACUUCUCCACAUAUAAUCAAGGUCUGACAAACAAGAUGGGAUCUCAGUCCUCAUCCGGGUCGUACUCAGGAUCCUCCUCAUGGUCAUCUUCUUCUCCAAAAUGUUCCUCCUUAUUUGGUUCCACAUCAAGGUUCUCCUCUUCAGGUUCUUUCUCCUCAGGCUCCUCAUCAGGGUCCUGAAAUGGUUAUUCAAUAACCAUUGAGACCACGUCUCAGCAAGUUCUACCCCCUAAGACUCGAUUAGUAAACUAAUACGCCAUAGGGCUGCUUAUGCACAAUAUGAGUCAGAGGACUUACCUUGGCCUCAGAUUCCACCUGCAUAUUAGCACAGUUCAGUAGGCACCCAAGUAAUCACAUUACUGAUCGAAGCAUCGAUCAAAUCGACCUAGUCGAUUACAUGUCAAUCAGACCAUCUCAUGGUCAUUUCCAAUCAAUCAGUCAAUUCACAACAUCAGAUCAAAGAAAUGAUCAAUCGACCUAGUCGAUUACAUGUCAUCACGACCCAUGCUUGGUCGGCACAUUCAAUACUAUCUAUAAUCCGACCAUAGUCCAGGACUACUCACUCUAAGCUGAUAUAUAGGUAGUAUAGCUCGCACUAAGCUGAUAAGGUUAAGGUAUACUGCUCUCGCUAAGCUGACAUAUCGCCCGUAGGCUGAUAUAGUAUACCGGUAUACUGCUCUCGCUAAGCUGACAUAUCGCCCGCAGGCUGAUAUAGUAUACCCCCGAUGCUCACACUGAGCUGAUAAAGUGUACUGCUCGCGCUAAGCUGACAUAUCGCCCGUAGGCUGAUAUAGUACACCAGUAUACUGCUCUCGCUAAGCUGACAUAUCAUAGCCCAUAGGAUGAUAUAGUAUACUAUCCGACCAUUCAAUCCAUUCCAUCUUUUAUCCUUCUCGAUAAAAUAGUCGUGUGUGGGGACACGGUCGGCCUUAGCCAAAAUAUAAUAUUUUCCUUUCCAUAACUCCCACAUUUUCUAUAGUCCACUCAAAUAUUUUUGGCAUUAUUAAUCGAUGCCCGGUUAUUUUUCAAUUAAUAACCAAUGAUUAUCCAAUUAAAGAAUAAUUCCCUCUUUCACAAAUAAUUCAAUUUAGCAUGAAAUAGAGUUAAAUUAAAUAAACAGACUGCGCCACGACAAUCAGCAUAAAAUUUCGGUCACUGGCCAUCCCAGUUGAAUUUCCGAGAAAUAAAUAAUUAAAUAAUUAAUUUCGGAAAAUAAAUAAAUAAAUACAAUAAAUUCAAUUUAGCACAAUAUAAAGCUCAAUUAAAUAAACGGACUGCACCACGAUCAUCAGCAUAAAAUUCCGGUCGUCGGCUAUCCCUGCCUAAUUUCCGGAAAAUAAAUAAUUUAUUAAAUUAAUUUCGAAAAUUAAUAAUUAAAUACUAAAAAUCCAAUUUAGGCCCAUAAUGCCUGAUUGGAUGCCAGAACGAAUCGGGAAAAAUCCCGAGAUGCAUUCGAUAAUUAUUAGAAGCUCUCUAUUUGCUAAUGACUAAGUCUAACCACCUAACAUGCAUCAUUAAGUCACUAAUUUAAUUAUUCUAAACUAAUCUAACCACCUAAGUGCACUUAAUUAAAUCUAACCAAUCCUUAAGCAUAAUUAGCAAACUAAGAAAGCAUUAGUGAGUAAAACUCACUUAAUUAAAAGCGGGGACCGGGACACCGCGACGGCGACGCGACGACGGCCGAAAUCGGGCUUUCGACAACACCGGCGGACUUGGACCGGGCCUCGACCUUGGCUCAACAAAUCUCAGCCCAAAUGAGAUUUGUUCUUGCGCUAGACUGGGCUGAACUUGCUGGGCCUCGCUGAAACUAAACUGAACUGGGCUUCAAGAUGUGGACUGGGCUUCAAUUGCUUUGCUGGAAAAUUGGGCCUCAAACUUUCAGUUGAUGGGCUGCUGGAGAUUUGGGCCGAGCAAGUUACAAAAUGGAAGCUGGGCUGAUCAGUGGACUGUACCAAAAGACCCGAAUUGCUGUUGAAGAUGGGCCUUGCCGAACUGGGCCUGUCUUUGCUGGGUUGCACUCUGCAAACCGAAGCUGAAUCAAAGGAGCUGGCGUCGACGAAGGCUUGCUGGGAUCUUCGACGGUUGACCUGGGGAAACAGAAUCGCGGACAGCUGGCCGCGGAUGGAGAGAAGAUGGCGCUCGGUGGCUUCGCUGGCAGAGACGUGCGGACGAUGGAGUAGCUUCGUGGACGUUUGGCUGUCAACAACCGAGAGGAUGAAGCUGCUUCGUUGACCCGUGAAGUGAGCUGGCGUUGGGGGAGUUGUCGCGAACGAAGAGGGGGAAAAGCAACUUCGGGCGAGGCUUCUGGGCUCGAGGGAUGUGGAGUGGCGGACGAGCGGCAGCGUGAGAAGACUCGGUGGAGGCGUUGGACGCGUGUGGCUUCGCUGGCUUUGCUAGCUUCGUGCAACUGGGACGCGGAGGAAGAUUGGUGGAGUGGAGUCAACAAACCGGUUCGUGGUGCUUCGUUGGUUGACCGAGGCGAGGAGGAGGUGGACGCGUGGAGAAGAGGGCGCGGGCUUCGGUCAACUACGGCUUCUGUGGGAGAUAAGAGCUGACUUUGGCGGGGUUCUUUGGUGGAGAGAAGCUCGGUGGAGAUGGGCUGUCUCGGUGGAUGAAGGUGGAGUCUUCGCUGGGUUGUUUCGAAGGAGUUUCAGGGAAAUGAAAAGCAAGGUGGAGACGUGCGCAGGAGGAGUCGGUGGAUGGGCGUGCGGAAUGGAGCAAAGAGGAGAAGCCUUGGACGGCAGCUGAGUGAGAGGGAAGAGAGAGAUGGAUAGAGAUGAGGUUGAGGAGCCCACAAGCCUUCAUUUUCCACAUGAUUAUCCCCUUGAACCCUUCCUAGCCAAGUCUUCUUCCUUGCUCACCUUAGGCCAACAAUGCACUCUCCAUAACAUCUCAAUUGGUCCAAAAAAAUGCUAGGGGAAGGGGGCUACGAAUUUUAAAAUCAUGGCUUCAAAUUGGAUACACAUCCCAUCUCAAUUUCAUCUCAAAUGGCCUCCACAAAAUCAAUUAACCUCUCUAGGCCUCAAUCUCAUCCUCUAUGUCUCCCCCAUCAUUUUCAAGCAUAAAUUCCACCAUUAAACCAAUUUAAGGUCCAAAAUAAUGCUAUCCUCCCUUAGUUCCGAAUUUCACAUUUUGAGCUUCCAAUUUCUUCGACGAAUUCCCAAAUUGAGAUCCAAUCUCGAUGAAGAAAAAUCCCGAACAAUUUUCUAUAAAUCCCCGACACUCAUUGGCUUGGCUUGAAAGUCCAAACUCUCUUAAAUUCGGUCCAUACGAAUUUCUGUUAAUUUUCCGCGACGUCCGAACGAUUUUCCGUAAAAAUCUCGGAAUCUCUGAAAAACCUUUUGAGACUGAGUCGACGUUCCUAGAAUUGAUCGUGACACCACAGAACUUUCCAUUUCUGAAAUCGGACUCGAAUUCACGGUUAAUUUCCAUUUGAUGCGUUUUUAGCGUGACCUAAACUAUCGGGUAACUUUUAGAAAUUUUUAGUUCAAGUGACCCGUGGUCGAUUUUCUUCGAGCCACUAUGAACCCACUCGACUCAUUGGCGACUUUCGAUUGUCGUAAAAAUCUCGAGAAUUCAAGUACGGACACAGGUUACCAAAACGAUAAGAAAAUUAGUCUAGUGUUGGUCGACGAGAAUUUCCCAAUUUAGUGGUGUCACCCACGAUUAGCCACGCAUCUCAAUCGAACCAACCUGUAUCUGAUCUCAAAUCGAUUUAUAUCUGUGCCGUAAUGGUCUCGACAGAUGGGCAUGGUCGAGAAGUCGAUUCAUGGUCGAAUUCUCAAGUCUAUUUGCCUUAAAAUUCUUAAUGGUUUCCCUAGAUAGUCUAGUUAUCUCGAGAGUGAUCAGCUCUGAGAACAGCCUUAUAGGCGCGUCAAUGAAAUGCCCGAUUUAUUCAGUAGAAAACAGGGUCGAAAAUCUGGGAUGUCACACCGGGGUCCUUAGCUGUACAAUUGUAUAGCCUCUUGGUUCAAAAGUCAAUAUAAUACUUACCUUUUACCAACAAAAAAAAAAACUCCUAUCAUUGUUUUGUGCUAGUUCUUCAACUUCAAAGCCAAUAUCAAGUGAGGCAAAAAGUGGCCUGAAGCAUGCAUAUGUAUCGAAUUAAAGCAUAUAUGGCCAUGCUUGGAUCCACACUCAUUAUAGUGCUUAUACUAAUAAUAAAUAAGGUCAUGUCACAAUGAAAACCUAUAGCAUGAUGGAGUUAAUUAUAUUACAAUUCAAAUAUAUGAAUGUUACAUAUUUCAACUCAACACUUCAUCAGAGGAUAGGUACACUAAUGGUACCAUAAGUUGUGUACAACGCUCACUUUGGUGCCAAAAGUUUCCGUCGGAUCAUUUAAGUGCCAAAAAAUUUGAAAAACGCUCACUUUGGUGCCAACGCCGAUCUGAUCGGCCGAAAAUCUGACGUGGCAUUUUUUUAUUAAUUUCUUAUGCUGAUGUGGCUCGCCGGAGUUUCCAUUAGAUCACUUAAGCCUUCAAACGAUGUCGUUUUAGCAUCCUAACACCAAAACGACGCCGUUUUGUGUCUUUCCUCCAAAUUCAAAACCCUAAAUCCCCAAACGACACCGUUUUGUGUCAUCUUCUUCCCCAAGCAGAUUCGUCUUCUUCCCCGAACAGAUCCAGCAACACCAAUAGCACCAAACCAAUAACACCAACAGCAGAGAACUAGCAACACCAGUAAUUUUCCAGAAAAGAAACAACGCAUUCGCCUCCGCCCUCCCCUAGUAGUUUUCCCCCAUUUUCAAUUACCUUAUCAACCUUUCAAAUCCCUUAAUCUCAGCCUCACCAUCGCCUUUUCCCAAGAAAUAUCGUUGAGUGCAGAGGAAACGCGAGCUCGAAGAAUCCCCAGAAGCACGAGCGAUCCGGCCAAUGGUAGCCGCGAAGAUCUGGAACUCCACGGAGGUUGUCGGCGAAGCCAGCUGCUACGAAGGUGAUGGCCAUGGCCCCGCCAUCCCCUCCUCUGCCCUCAUCGUCGACACCUCCCUCUUUCUCGGGAUUUUCUGUUUGUUUUUCUUUUCUUUCUUUCUUUUGUCUUGCUAUGGCAAGCAACUACAAUGGAGGUUGAGGGAUGGCAGCUGAGCGACGGUGGCCGAGGGACAGCGGCCAAGUGACGGUGGCUGAGGGACGACGGCCAAGCGACGGUGGACGAGCAAUGGCGGACAAAAAAAACCCUAAUUUCAAUCUCCAAAUAAAAUUAACAAAACGGCGUCGUUUUUGUGAGGCUAUCCACAUAGGAUGGCAAAACGACGUCGUUUUCUUUAAAAGGACGGAAAACGACACCGUUUAAAAGGCUCCAUGAUUUUUUUUUAAAUAUAAAAGCCACGUAAUCAUUUUGGUCGGAAUCUGUCGUCGGUGGCACCAAAGUGAUCGUUUUUCCUCCGAUUUGACACUUAAGUGAUCCGGCGGAAACUUUUGGUACCAAAGUGAGUGCCGUACACAACUUAUGACACCAUUAGUGUACUUAUCCCCUUCAUCAGAUUUUAGCACCACUAUUCACGGAAGCUAUCUUUCUUUCUUUUUUUUGUUUGAUCCUGUGCACAAGAAAAUCCCACAAAGAAGAGCAAGUUGUUUUGGUCCAACAUUUGAAAAAAUUUACUAUGACUAUGGUGUAGCUUCAGCCUCACUCAAUACAUUUUAACCAUUGGAUCUUGUGGGAUGUAGAUACCAACCUCUGCACAUAGAAAUGAAAGAUCAAGCAAAAUAGUAGAUUUGAAAACUUAGUUGAGAAGAAAAAACCGAAAAAACUCCCCCAUGCACUCAACAUGAUAGAAGGUUUGAGAAUGAGGACCAUCUGGGCAAAAGCAAACAAAAUUAUUGUUCUCGAACCUGCACCGUCCCUCACUUCCCUCGCAGUUGCUGCAAUUAAUUGCAGUCCAGUUCAAAAGGAACCCCAUCUCCGUAAUCUCACUGUAAUUCAUAGUCCUUAAGCUAGCGAUAUUUGGAUUGACGUCAAUAGGUAGUAGCAGGAGCUGACCGCAGAAUACAAAUCUAUUUCCUGCGAUCCUUCCUUGAGAAAAAAGAGUGGUGGGUGGAGUUGCUAGCAUAGUCCACGGGAUAUGUAAAACCUAUGGGCUGCUAGGUGCAAUUGUAGUUGAAGAAUAAAUCGGCAUUUGCGGAACUAAGAUUGAAAGACGUCCUUUCAAUGCUGAUAUUACGCAGCAGAGCACCACAGGAGUCCAGGUACACGAGGGCAUUAACCAGAAGGAACGAAUGGUUUGCAUAGAAGAUAUCAUCGAUCAUGAACUCACUAUCCGAGAAAGUAGGCUAGGGUAUGUAUCUUUGAGGUAAUCUGGAAAUUCGGAUAGCCACAAUAGGACUCCUGCUUGCCGGAAAUCCAAAAAGGGUAGCUGAUGUUUGUGCCAUAUCUGCAGUUUAGAGGCACGUAGGCCUCGUGCUGUGCAUCCUCUGCUACAGCCUGAUAGACUAAUUUGGCGAAGACGACAAUGAGGACUAAUUUGGGAUUGGAAGAAGGAGGCAAAGCAGGAUGGGUGAGAAUUCAAAUGGAGUUGGUUUGGAUUGGCCCUAGCUCAAAUGGCAAGCGAAGCGAGGCAGGAAGUGGUCCUAUGUUUGCAUUAUUCAAGCACCCAAUGUAAAUGCAUCAUUGUCCGCAUCGGAAAAUCUGCCCCAGAAAAUCUUGGGGAACAAACCAUGAAACUUCAGUCAAAAGGACCUCUUAAUUACAGUUAGGCCGGAGGGCCCGCCAAGGUGUUGAAAUGUUGACAUUGAUGAUGAUAUGCCUAACCAUUAGGAACAAACCAUGAAACUUCCAAGCAAAAUCUCACGUUUUACAAAUCCUGGGAAAAUUACCAAUUGAGUUUUAAAUUUAGUGUAUGAGUAUCAAUUCAGUCCUAAAUUUUUCAAAUUCGUUAAUAUACUCUUUAAUCUUUGCUAGAAAUUCCAAUACACUUUUUCCGACCAAUUGCAGUUGAAAAUUGCUAAUAUGGCGAUCCUUAAGUUGUCAAUAUCAACUUGCCACUUAAGAUGAUCGGCGAUAAUUGUACAUCACGCCAACAAUUUCUAGUAUCAAUUGAUUAUAAUGAUUAUAUUGAAAUUUCACGUAAAUAUUUACCAUUAUAUUGGCAAAAUUGAAAAACUUACAACUAAAUUGAUAUCCGUACAAUAAGUUUAUGACCGAUUCGAUAAUUAUCUUUUUAUAUAGCAUAUUUCCUGGGGGUUUUUUCUAAUGAUAUAUACUGCUAAGAAUAAUAUUAAUACAUAUAUAAUGGGGAGAUUUCGUCCAAAAUUAAUUCAUAAAAGAUCGAGUAUUUGAGUUAUCAAAUGCUGUUCAUCUUGUAAAUAGAAUCGAGCCCCUGAUAAUUUUGUCUAUCACGGACCGAAUUAAUCACCGAUCUGAUGAGAACGAGUCAUACUGUGGCGUUGGUCCGCAGUGACGUCAAGCACGAAGAAUUCAUAUUUAUCUGCAAGAGGUGGGGACUCUCGGCCACUUUCGACUUCAUUCAUAUGACUUACUGCGCUACGCGGGAAACAUGUUUGCCUGGGAAGGAAUAUCUCAGUCUUGCACAUAAUUAUUUAAUAAAACAACCGCGUUUCCCUUCUGGCGCACAGAUUAGAUUAAGGUAGUUGAAAGUGGAGAAAGGCAGGGUAUAGUCACCCAAAAAAGGGAAAAAAAAAAUGACACCUAAGAAGCAUCGACACUUUUCAAAAGCCUUCAUGUUAUGUCGGACAUUCUGAUACGUAUCCAACACUUUUAGACACUCUCAGACACUCGGUCAACAUGUAUCGGAAAAUCCGAUAACUAAUCAAUUUUUCCGACACUCAAGUAGGAAUCUUGAUAUGUAAGUUUCUCACACCUGAUUUCAAUAUGUGGAUCAAUUUAAAAAAAUUUCAAUAAAUGAGAGGUUAAAAUGUGUGUGUAUAUAUAUAAUGGAAAAAAGGAAAACCUAAUCCUCUCAUCUUUUGACUUUUACUUCUUGUAAUAUAUAAUUUAUCCCAAAGUUUUUUUUCUCCUCUUCCAACAUGCCUACUCUUUUAACAUGUCCAACACGCGAAUCUAGAAUGUGCAUUGCUUGUUUUUUUCUCCAAGUUUUAUAAAUUAUUGGAAUGGAGUUGAAUUUGUCAAAUUGAAACAAUUAAUGAUACUAAUAAAUUAUGGAUUAAUGUUUUCAUUGUAAAUUCAUUCUAGGCUUUUAUUUAUUUGUUUGUUUAUGAAUUUGAAUUAAAUUAAUUUGAUUAGAAUAAUCAUAAAAAUAAAAAUAUAUAUUUAAUAUACAAUGUGUCCCAAUGUAUCAGACUUUUCUAUUUUUAAGAAACGGCAUGUUGGUGUAUCGUGACGUGUCGUGUCACGUGUUAUGCAUCAGUGUCGGUACUAUUUAGAGUGAUCCAUGUGAAAGAAGAAUGUCAAGUACAACACAAUCAUUGUCCCUAUGGAAGGGCCAAAUCCCGUUGCAACAAAUUGGAAGUUGGGGAGAAGAGGAGCGGUGGGGUGCAACAACUGGAUUCAGGAGAACGUUACCACUCAAAACGGGACAUCUCUGUAACGUUUUAGCUUGUUAAACUCAAACACUCAAGUAUGUGACAAUUGAAAUCUUGAUGCACAUCCAUCAAAAAGUUGUAUUUUGUGGUGUUUUCUAGGUAAACUAAAUUGCACUCUUAGACCAUAGAUAAGGCCUACCUCAUAGGUGACAAAAACAUGCAUAAAGGCACGCCCGGUGUUUAGGUAGCAUUAUAUGGCAAUUGAAAUCUUGAAGCAUAUACACAAAAAGUUGUGUCUCGGAAGAAGAGGGCAGGCUUUAGAGUCUUUGAUUUACAAGGGAAGCGUUGAAUGGGAUUAACUUGGACUCUUAAUUUGUUGAAAAAUCUUGUGAGGUUGUGUAAUUGAGUUUUGAGCUAGAACAAGAUUAUGAUCCUGUUUAGAAAGCCCUAUAGGAAUUAAGAUGCGUUUGAAAUGUACCCUUUUCUCCCAAAUUGUUGAGGAUGCAAUUGACAUGUACCUUCUUGAUCUCGACUAGCUUAUUUCCAAAAAAAUAAUUAUUUUUUCUAAAAUACACACUACGUUAUUAUAAUUUCUAUCAUAUUUAUUUACACACAAAAAAAAAGAGAGAAAAAAAAUUAGAUAAUUUGGUUUCAGAUUGUCGGUUAUUUUCUCGAGACAAGUUUGGAAGCCAAUUUAAAAGAUUGUCUUGGGUUAAGGACGAGCACGAGGUACAUUAGGGAAUAAUCGAGUACCGGCAACGAUCAGCACGAAACUCCCCGAAGAUGGACAACAAGCAUUAAGGUUUGCUUGGAGUCCGAAAAUUACAGGAAAGGGACUAACGAUUAACCCGACACGACCCCGGACCAUGGAGACUUGCGAGGGUUGGCUUUGGAGCUUGCCUUAUGGACCAAACAAGACCUCAUGGACAGCGACAUGUGACCAUGUAACACCUCAUAAACGAGCAAAAAAAUCACGCCCGAACGUCUAGAAAUCAAAGUAAACUAGCUACUGUACAUGCAUACACCAACAUACAGGCAAAUGUGAUAUAAAUGCUAUCAAAAUGAGAUCCAAAACCAUAAUAAGUUAGAACAAGACGAUGCUUGACAGAAUUUAAAUACGAGCAAAUGAGAUGGAUUUAAACACAAAAUUGGACAUAAAUAGCACGAAAUAAAAAAUGGAGCGGUCGUAUGCUAUCCUUAAAGAUAAAUAAUCGCUAAAUGAGCUGAAAUGACAUAAGGGAACAUUUUUUUUUUUUUGGUCGAAAAACACAACUUACGUUCAAGAGAACGUAAGUUUACAACCUGAAAGGAAAGCAUCAACGGUUACAAGAUCAAGUAAAGCGAAUGGGGGAAAAUAUAAGCUGUUAUGGGCCGAAGCUGAUAUGUGGGCCUUCGCAGCCCAGUCAGCAACUAGGUUAGCAUCACGGUAGCAAUGCUGCAGCUUCAGAUUCGGGAACUCAGCAAGCAAAGCGGCAGCUUCAUCGAUCACCAAUCGAAGCUCCCAUGGCGGCACUCGAUGCCCUUUUACGACUUCAACAAGAUUCAAGCAGUUGGUUUCCACCUUUAGAGAAGCUUCGUGGAGAUGUCGAUCGAUCAGAUAUUGAAGAGAAGACGUCAGAGCCUAAAUUUCUGCUUCAAACGCAGAGUGUGCCAGAACUCAAUUCGUAUACACAUCGGUAAGGCGCCCUUGAUCAUCUCUGUUAAUACAGGCUAUUAUACCUUCAGUGCUACCCGGCUGAUAGCUGGCAUCGAUAUUACAUUUUAGGGUGCCUUUUGCAGGGGGACGCCAGAGGUGAGCCCGAUCAAUGGAAACCAAACCAGAUCUCAAUUGGGAUGAAUCUGAGUGGAGUUGAUACACAGUCAUGUGAGCCAUUGCUGUCUGUACAACCAUGGAGGGAUUCGGAGGUUGAUUUCGAAAAAUAAAUUUGUUCCAUAGUCGCCAGAUCUGCCAGAGGAUGUUGGCCACGAGAGGUAGACUGGGUGAGUGCUGAGGAGCAUUCGCCCUUGCUGUAAGCCAUGUAUCAAAACUAUCACUUGUGAGCGUCGUCGUGUAUACAUUAAUCUGGGGGUUUGUCCAAAUAGCACAAGUCCAAUUACAUUGUAAGAAUAUAUGCUCUACGGUUUCUGGAACAUGCUGCUGACAUAGAUAGCACCGAGGAUCCGUAAUUAGAUGCCUAUGAAAGAGGUUUGCUCGGGAUGCCAGGGCGUUGUGGCAAGCAAACCAUAGGAAAAGUUUAAUUUUCGGUUCUGUUUUCAUAGCCCGGAUACUUUUCCAUAAUACUGAGGAUUGUUGAUUAGAGGUAGAGGGUCUGUUGUGUUGUUGAAUGUUGCAUGAUUGCUUGAUAGAAUGAUAAUUGAUGCGCACCGUAUGGUUGCCAUCUGCAUUGGCCGACCAAAUCAGUUCAUCUUUUGAAUAAAUGACCUGUUCUCCAAAAAAUUGAUGUAACAAAGAAAGAUUCUAAUUAUGAUGGAUGGGGUCAAUAAGAUCUGCUACCAUAAGAGGUUCUUCCCUAGCUUUAGGUCCAUGGAGAAUGCCCAUUGGUAACCAUCUAUGAGCUCGAAUUAUGAUCUUGUUACCAUUCCCAACUGACCAGCAAAUAUGAGGUAGAAUAACUUCUCUUCCCAUCAGUAUGCUUUGCCAUCCCCAGGAUGGCCUAGUGCCCUGAUUAGCUGAGAGGAAAUCUAUCAAAUGGAAAUAUAAACCUUUAAAUAGUUUGCUCCAUAAUGACUAAGGCUGUUGUAGUAAUUGCCAAGCCUGUUUUCCAAGCAUCGCUUUAUUAAAGGCGAUUAGGUGUCGGAAUCCCAUACCUCCUUUCUCUUUUUUUAUCUUUCAUAAGGUCCCAUUGCAGCCAAUUUAUACCUGCUCUAUUCUGAUCAUUCGUCCACCAAAAGCAAGCAAUUCGUUGUUCAAUAGAUUUGCAAAUAGAAAGAGGCAAUUUAAAUAUAGGCAUUGCAUAGUGUGGAAGAGCUUGAACGACAGACUUAAUGAGAAUUUCCUUACCCCCUUUUGAUAUAAGUUUCUCCUUCCAACCCUCUAGUUUAGCGUUAACUCUAGCCAAUAGCCAAGAAAACAUUUCCUUCUUCGAUCGGCCCCAUUCUGAUGGUAUGCCCAGAUAUUUGCCAUAGCGUUGCAUGAUAGGAGUUCUAAGUUCUCGAGACAUUAUCCUGAAGAGUAAUAGGGCAGUGUUUGCUGAAAAUCAUACCUGAUUUGUUGCGAUUAACAAGCUGUCCAGUUGCCAAGCAAUAUAGGUUUAAAAUGUUGGCCAAGUUCUGACAUUCUGAGAUAGUACCAUUCAAAAAGAAAAUCGCAUCAUCAGCAAAAAAGAGAUGGGAUAAAGUAGGACACCAUCUAUUUAACCGGAUCCCCUUCAGAUGUCCAAUACUAAUAGCUUGUGUAAUUAGGGUCGAUAGAACAUUAGCCAUUAGAAUGAAGAGAUAUGGUGAUAGUGGAUCCCCCUAGCGAAGGCCACGGGAUGGAUGGAAAUAAGGUAAUGUUUCCCCAUUUAACUUCACACUGAAAGCUACUGUGGUAAUACACUGCAUAAUCUAGCUAACCCAUUUUGGAUGAAAGCCCAGUUUAAGGAGGUAGUCCCUAAGAAAAUCCCAUUCCACUUUGUCAUACGCCUUUGUCAUGUCUGUUUUUAAAAUUGCAUUGAAUCUACAUGUCCUCUUUCUUGUUCUAAAGUGAUGGAGAACCUCUUGGACAAUAAGAAUAUUAUUUCGGAUCUGUCUUCCUUGCACAAAAGCUGAUUGUUCUUUAGAAAUAAGAGUAGGUAAACAAGGUUUGAGGCGAUUCGCAAGUACCUUAGAGAUGAUUUUAUAUGCAAAAUUGCAUAGGCUGAUGGGGUGAUAUUGCUGAAGCUUCUCAGGUUGAGGUGUCUUAGGAAUCAACGAUAUAAUAGUAUGAUUCAGACCUGUAGGUAAUACCCUUGACAUCAAGAAAUUCUGAACUAGGAGGAACAGGUCUUCUUUGACAAUUUCCCAAUGCUUUUGAUAGAAUAAUCCAUCCAAACCAUUAGGCCCAGGUGCUUUAUUUGAUCCCAUUUGAAAGGUAGCUUACCGCACCUCUUCCAUUGUAAGUGAGGCAGUAAGCUGAUCAUUCAUUUCGCUAGUGACCACCUAGUUACAUUAAUCAAGUAAAGGUUCAUAGUUCCUAUAGCCAUCAGAUGUAUAUAAGCGUGAAAAGAAAGUGGUGGCCAUAUCUUUAAGAGUAGGGAUAUCACGAACCCAUAGCUGAUCCUCGGUUUGCAACAUCGUAAUUUGGUUUCGCUGCCUGCAUUGUAUCGUAGUAGUAUGGAAAAAUCUUGAAUUUUUGUCGCCCCAUUUCAGCCAUUGAAUUCUGGAGCGUAACGCCCAAUACUGUUCUUCCUGUUUCCAAGUUCAAGAAAUUUCCUCUUUGAUUUUGGAAGCCUCUACCCUGUCAUAAUUGAGAUGUGGCUGGUUCGUUAGGUUCUUUAACUGAUUUUGUAGGCUAAGUACCUUGUUGUGUCGAUUAGAAAAUUUGUUCUGGCUCCAUGCAAUCAAAGCCUUUAUGACCCGCUCCACUUUUGUAAGGAAACUGGGAUAUAACUAACAAUGUGAGUUCCAUGCUCGAGAGAUAACUUCUUGGCACUCCUCAUCCUCAUUCCAAUAGCUCUAAGAAAGAAAGGAUUUCUUUAUGUGACGAUAGCUUGCUGAAGUAUAAAUAAGUAUAGGGCUAUGGUCAGACCCCACAGCUGGAAGUGCAUACACUCCUGCCCUUGGAAAUGAGAGACGCCAUUCCAUAGUACACAGCACCCUAUCCAAUUUCUCUUUCACAAGCUCCUCUCUCUCUCUCUCUCUCUCUCUCUCUCUCUCUCUCUCUCUCUCUAUUGUUCAUCCAUGUAUACUUACAUCUCAGUGAACUCACAAUCAUUAAUAAAAGCUCUGAAGGACAGCAUCCGAGACUGGUGAGCAGGAUGUUUCCCCAUUUUUUCCCAAGGAUAAAGGAUCUCAUUAAAAUCACCUGCACAUAUCCAUGGUAAACUGUUGCUAACAUGUAGGGGCGUGGAUAAAAGUAAUACUAAUAGGUCUACCUCUCUUCCCCUGACAACCGCUAGUAUGAAACAAGUAUGGAUUAUAAGAGAGAACCUGUAAAUAGGCCGGCUCAUUCCAAAACAAUGCUAAACCACCAGCAAAACCAACUGGGUUGAGGAUAUGAGCAUGUUGGAACUUUAAACUGUGCUGAACACGUUGAAUCUUCACUUCAUGUUGCUUUGUUUCCAUUAAAAAAAACUACAUCGAGCUUAUCUUUGGCCAUAAUGGCCUUUAGAGCCUGAAUUGUCAGGAGAUUGCUCAAACCCUCACAGUUCCAGGAUAGUAUUCUCAUUUGUGUGUGGGUGGCUAUUUGGGGCUAGCCACCAAAGCCCGGACUUCUGCUUCGUCCGCUGUAAAUAUGGGGGUGUCCAUGAGAUGUGAAUCGUUAUGGUCCUCGAUCGUCACAUCUUUUGUUUCAUAAGGGCUAUAUCUACGUUGUUUUUUUGCCGAACCCAAAGUGGGUUUUGACCUAAUGUUCUUGCCCCUCUUUGUUGCUUGAAUAUCCAUCGACCUAGUUUGAAUACCUUUCAUUUUUGUGUCUGCAGGUAGAAGUGUUGUAUAAAUAGGGGUUGGAUGCGCUGCUGAGUGCUAAAGAAGGUGCCGAUCAGCUUCAACCUUAGAGUCUUUGGAUCCUAAACCUGCAAUAACUGUGGUUGUUGCUGUAACCAUUGGUGGUGGGGGCAAUAAGGGAACCGUAGGAAGCUGUGAAUGUGGAGUUUCAGGUAUGGCAUCUUCUAUUGGUCUAACUUGUCAUGAAUAUCAUAAAAUGUAUGCCAAUAUGGACUAUGUUCCUUUACUUCGGCACGGAGCCACUGGCCAUAGGUCAUCUUCUCUUUGCCCUCAUGUUUGGCCUCAGUAUAUGGUAUGUCUUUGCAGUACGUUGCAUAGUGACCAAGCUUGCCACAGGAAUAGCAGAAGUGCGAUAAUCUUUCAUAGCGAAAAUCAAGCCAAAAAGGUUUACCUACUAUCCUUAUCUGCUUUCCCAUUUUAAGAGGUCUUUUAAAUCUAAUUCAACCCUAACUUGGCUUGCUCUUGACGAUGUUCCAUCCUUCGAAUCAACCUUAACUUCUAGUACUCGACCAACCUGCUGCACUGCCCUGAUGAGCAUCCGCUCAGAAUACCAUUCUAAAGGUAAGCCGAACACAUGCACCCAAAAAGCACAUGUAGAGAAAUCAUAGCAAUGUAAGGAAGUGUUCGGAAUCCAGGGUUUAAAGAUAACGAGAUUGCCCAAGAAAAGCUAAGGGCCACCUUCCUGAAUUCUUUGUUUGUCAACUUCAGAGUGAAAUGUUGCAAUGUAUAUCCCUUCCUCGCGCUGUGAAAUAUCGACUAGAUCAGUUCUCCAGGCUUUUUCAGUGUAUUUUGGAAGGCUGGAAAAUUGAUGGAUGGAUUGGAAAUGAUUUUACCAACAAGGGAUAAUCUACAUUCCUCUAAUUUUUCAGGCGAAAGUUCCUCAUCCCAAUCAUCUAUAAUAUGUUCGGUGGUGAGGCGACCUAGGCUAUUACAGAGAGAUGCCAGGCGAGAUGAGUCUGUAUUGUCUUCCGACGCCAUCCAAGCUAACAGAACACAGAUUGGAACAGGUACUUGCUAAACCUUGUAAAAACCAGACAUUGCGCCCCAAUAGCCAAUCCAGAGAAUUACGAGACAAAUUGAAGCUAAGACGAUAUGAUAUGGAUAAAGACUACCCCUCGACUAAUGAAAUAUCCACAAUUGCAGGCCAAAUUGAUGACAAUCGGAAACAUGCAAGACGCGAUGAAGAAACUCCAGUGCGAACCUGUCGGCGAAGACCGAUGGGGUGAAUGGCGCAGAGAACCGCUACCAAUUUUCAAAGUGAGAUGAAGGUUGAGAUGGAGGAAGGUAGUGGAUUGAAGAAGGCGUUAGGGUUUAGGGAAACUACCAAAGGGUAGGGAGAGCUCUACAUAGUGAGAGAGAGGACCCUACAUAAGGGAACAUGAAGAUUCGACAAAGAUGAUGAGGAACUCAUGGCUUUGCAAUGGUAUACAUUAGGAUUUAAAAUACUGACAGCCAUUAACCUUGAUACAAACCGAAACGUAGGUUUUUUUUUUUAACCAACAUAAAAUUAUAAAAGACUGAUUCUACCAAAGAUAUUGCUGCUUGACGUUAAAACACAUACAUCUUAUCAAAAAGGAGCUUAUUACUUUGUAAGGUUGUGACAUUUUGCUCAUAUUCGAAUUUGAACUCCGAAGUUUAAUCUCUAAUGAGGAUGAAUUGAGGAAAUAAAGAUUGAUACAAAAUAAGUACAUCAAUCUUACCAUUAAUACUUCCGCCAAGAUGAGCUCCUUCGAAUCACAAUAGCAGAUUAGAAAUGUGCAGAGUAGAAAAUUGUGGAAUUUCUAUUAUUUGAUGAAUCAUAAUGAAGUAUGGAGUUUGUUGAUAGGUUUUAUGAGAUAACUAUCUAAGAUAAUAUAUCAGGUUUACAUAAUCAAAUAAAGAUAUGUAGAAGCUCUUAGAUAUAUGUAUUAUUAUAAGAGAUGGAAAAUCAAGGAAAAAAUAUCGUCUAACCUACACGGAUGUGGCUGGAGAGAGAGAGAGAGAGAGAGAGAGAGAGGGGGGGCAGCGGCCAAUACGUGCCAUGCCGUGUGGGUGGCCACCAAAGCUCUCUCCUGGGCUGAUGCACGAAUACAACAAAUGGGCUUCAAAAUGAGGCCCGUUCUUCAUGGUGAAUUGGUGUGACAAACUUAAUGCGUCUUGAAAUAUAAAAUGAUCAGCGACCUUUCCCUUUUUUUAUUGUAUAUUUUUUAUUUUUAUAUUUGUUCUAAGUUAUUAUUCUUAUUUGUUAUUAUUUUUAUUUCAGUUAUGCCUAUGCCAUGCCGUAGCGAAAAUUUUAACAUCACAAUGUCCCUAAUCAUGAUGGGAUGUAGCGAGCAAUGUGCAUACUAAAUAAUACGGAAUCAAUUUUUGUGUUAGGGGGGCAAAUUUAUGUCAUAAAUUAGAUCCCUAAUAUUGAUAAAAAUGAAAUAGAGACCCAUAUAUGAAAAUUUCGGUGUCAACAAUACACUUUUCACUUAUUUUUGAGUCAUACUUGUAGAAAUUCAACCUAAACAUCUAAUCACAAAUUUAUGAAAAGCUCAAUAAUCAUUAAUUUUGUAGUUGCUUAGUCUAUUACAAACUAUGUUGGACUUGUAUAAUUUAUAAUGAACAAUUCCAACUUGAGUCAUUACUCUCUUGUAGAUACGAACUUUCGCAUGGACAAGCCGCAAGCGAUCUUGAGGGAGAUGAAAAAAUGGGUUUGGGAGGAAUUUGCAAGGCCUCAACACUUCCUUUUAGCAUCUCCACAACUUGGGUCAUACAUGGUCAAGCUCUUGGAUCGAUUUGAAUGCACCAUAGGCCUAUUAUAAUCAUCUUCUUCAUGAUUGCUUCAUCCUCCUCAUUUGUGAUCCCAAGCAGUCCAAGCUCUUCUUAAAGCUCUAGGCAUCGGUAGACCCAGUGAGGGAAGUAUGCUUCACCGGUUCAAUCUAUUGUGACUUCAAUAUUUUUUCUCUUACCGAUCAUCUCUAGAACCAUCAUAUCAUAGCUAUAGACAUCUGAUUUGUGAGACCCCUCCAAUGUUCCUUAUGAUCAGCUCUGGAGCAAUGUAUCCUACGGUGCCCCUAGCACAAAGCAAUGACACGAUGCUCUCUUCUCUUGGGCAUAUUUUGGCAAGACCAAAGUCAGAAAUCUUGGGACAAUAGUUUGUGUCAAGGAGAAUGUUACGAGGCUUUAUGUUGAAGUGCAAGAUUCUCGUUUUACAUCCUUUAUGCAAGCACUCUAGCCCGUGAGCUAUGUUGAGUGAAAUCUAGUACAAUGUGUCCCAACUCAAUUGUUGAUCUAGCUCCAAAGUGUUACUCUUGUUGAAUAUGAACUUCUCGAGUGAUCCAUUGGGCAUGAACUCAUAAAUCAAAGCUUUUUUGCUUCCUUCAAAACAGAACCCUAGGAGGGUGACAACAUUGACAUGAGAAGUCUUACUUAUGCUUGCAACUUCAUUGAAAAAUUCUUCUGCAUCACCUUUUAGCUUCUUUAGCAGCUUCACUGCCACAAGUUGACCAUCUUGAAGCUUGCCUUUGUACAUGGAGCCAUAGCCUCCCUAACCUAACUUUUCUUUAAAAGAGUUCGUCAUCGUCUUGAUGUCCUUAUAGGUGUAUCUUCCGGAAGAGAUGAGUCCCUUAAUUUUCAUUUCGCCAUCGAGAUAUUUGCUCCUCUGCUUCUUCAAAGUUUGCAUUAAGAUAAGGGUGACCACAAUUCCAGCUCCUAAUGCAGCCAUUCCUAAGAAAAUGAAGUGUGUUUUUGAACAGCAGUCUCACUUGAUAGAACAAUGAGGGAAGUAUACUAUCAAAAAUUGGAACAGAUUGCAGAGGAUAGCAUAGAGAAGUGGAAGAGAGAGUCUUGAAUUAAUUACCUAUUCCAACUUUAAGACCAAUCUUUUUGUUUCCUGGGACUGUCGUCAUCAAAAGUGAAAAAUGUGUCAAUGAAUUGCAAACAUAUGAUUUCAAAGUGUCUAAGAUAUAUAAAGAUCAGGGUACAUCAUGAGGUUAUAGCACAUUCCAUUUCAAGAAAGAAAAUCCAUAGCCAUUAGGGCUAGGGAAAUUGACAUUUACGUAAACAGGUAUGCUAACUGUAGAGUAGCAGGAGCUGGUGGCAGAAUAGUAAUCCAUUUCCUGCAAUUGCUUCCAUGGAAAAACUAGGAAGAAUAGAAGUCAUGGCUAUUCUAUCAGAUCGCUCUCAGUUCACGUAUCGUUUUAGGCAGAUAUUGUGAAAGCUAGUACGAGCACCUAGAGGGGGUGAAUAGGUGCGAAAACAAAUUUUGUAGAGUAAAGAUUAUAAUUUUACUUUUGAACCGACUCUGUUUAGUAAUAAAUUAUGAAGAGGAAAUUCUAACAAACGAAUAUUGAUACGAUCAAAACAAAUAGUUUAGAGAAGAGAAUAAGAACACAAAGAUUAUAGUGGUUCAGCUUAAUCCAAGCCUACAUCCACUCUUCCGCACUGAUAGCCCACCGGCUAGAUUUCACUAAAAAUCAAAAGAGUUAUUACAGUAUAGCUCUUCCUUGAAUCCACAGUGUAGAGACUCUGCUACACUUCCUCAAAGUCUCACAUAAAUAUAAACGCUCUUUUGAGUACAAGUUUUCGCUCAACAAUUGAAUUGACAAAUAACAAUGAGCUUCAGACUUUGGAAUUCUUCUAUCGCGCAUACACUCGAAUAACUGGAACGACUUCCUUAUAUACUACUCCAUGCCUUCAUACCCGAUGGCACUUACCAAAGGAGUUCUUCCAAUCUACCCGUUGAACAGAAUCAAUUAGGAAGAUUUCGAGUUAUUUAAGGAAUAUGACGAUAGCCCACCAAUCCUGCUCGCCCAUACAAUUAUGAUCUAGAUUUCCAUAAGUAGAACCUUCCAAGUAUGCUUCAUCAAUCAACGGAUCUAAAUUACCCGAAUUCAAAUCAAAAUGAAUAAUAGAUUCCAAGAUACUAUCUCUAGCCGAGAGAUCUUCUUCAGCCGAUAGAAUCAAAUCUUUAACAAGAUACUCAGUUCUGAAUAAGUCUUCUUCGACGGUCUAGAAACUGUCAAUGAGGAUAGACUCUGAAACUUGAGUUUGGCGGAUUAGCGAUCUUCAGACUUUGAUUAAAGAGACUGCAAGUCUUCAGACUAGAUUAAUGGAAACGUUUUGUCAUCUUCAAAACUCAUAAGGAAGUUCCCUCCAAUAGAUAUCCAAACAAAGCUUUUCGGGCAAUGUAGUGGAUGGUACGAACGAGACAUUCAGCACACUACAGAAGUUGAUGUUGAACCGUUUCGUGGUCACAUACCUACCCAAAAAGAGAGGCUAAGCUCUCAUGCUCAAUUUAGAAGAGAAAACAAAGACGAAAGUGUGCCAACUGCUAUGUCUCAUCCACGUAAUAUUCCCAUCUCAGUAAAGAUGCCCAGUAUGGAAGAAUAUGAUAACAAACAAAGGAAAAAUACCAUAAUGUGGUUGUCCUCUUUACCUCACUCAUGCACAUUACCUCAAUACUGUACAUAUCGAUAAUCUUCAGAAGAUCUCGUCUCCUGCAAUGGCAACCUAACCACUAGCAUUGGGUGUCGAAUCAUUGCUAACCCAUUUCGCCGCGACCGAAACCGGCGAAAAUGUUAAUGGAUUGUUCUUCAACAUAAUAGCAUCAUCUGAUAUAUUAUCCGUUUGGUCUGACUUCUCCAUGUUGUCUCCUCGGUUUUGUAUUUCCUUUAGUGUAUCCAAUGCCUCUUCCAUGGAUGGCCUCAUGUCGUGGCCUUCUUCCAAGCACCGGAACCCCAACUCUGCCACCGCAGUAAUCAUUUCUCUAGUCCUAUUGUCUGUAUCAAACCCAAGAUUUUGAUCUACAAGCUCGUGCAACGCGUGGCUUUGGAUCUUGUUAAUGGCCAGGGCGGAUAGAUUUAUCUCAUGGCGAUGACUCAUGAUAUCAACGGCUAGCAAGGAAGAUAUGAGCUCCAUUAAGACUACUCCAAAGCUAUAUACAUCGCUCUUCUCAGUCAACUAGUAGCAUUGGUGGUACUCUGGAUCGACAUAACCCGGUGUCCCUUGAGGAGCAGUUGAAACAUGAGUGGCAUUCAAUGGGAAGAGGCGCGACAAACCGAAAUCCGCAACCUUGACAGUGAAAUUCUCGUCCAGCAGGAUAUUGUUGGUCUUCACAUCUCGGUGGAUAACAUCAGAUGCGUGGAGAUACACCAAUGCGUUUGCAGUUUCUAUGGCUAUUUUCAAACGGGUGGACCACGGGGGCAAGCCGGGUUUAGCUAAAUCGCCAUGAAUAUGAUCAGCCACUGUGCCAUUUGGCACAUAUUCAUACACAAGCAGGAGUUUACGGCUCUGCCGGGAGGUGCAGCCAUACAAUGAGACCAGAUUUGGGUGGUGUAAGCAAGUAAGUAUUUCAACUUCGUUCACAAACUGCUCGACUGUUUUGUAGUUGCUUUCAUACAAUCUCUUGACUGCAACUACACGCCCAUCUCGGAGUUUGCCUGCAAAACUUGUUAAGGUUAUGGCAAAAUCUUUGAUGACGGGUUCACUAACUAUGGACAAUUUUAGUGUUGCUCUUACCUUUAAAAACAGUGCCAAAGCCUCCAUCACCAAGUUCUGCUACUGGAUCGAAAUCGUUGGUAGCCUCCUUAAGGUCGUUGUAGUCAAAGAUGGGUAGUCCAUGGUAGACACUGCCCUUCUCAAAAUCUGUCCUGGAGGAGUAAUUUGAGGAGGUGCUUCUCAAGGUGAAGGAUGACUGGCCAUACUUUUUUCUUUGGCGAGAUCGAUAGAUGUAGACACCAACAAUCAUCAACAGAGCUCCGCCUGCUGCUCCGCCUGCUGCGCUACCCAAACCAGAUUUUUAGGGGAGAGAGACCAUAUCAUUAGAUUCCAAUGAGCAAUGAGGGAAGUAUACUGUCAAAAUGGGAAAGAAAAGGUCUUGAAAUAAUUACCUAUUCCAACUUUGCGACCAAUCUUAUUCUUUCUUGAGACUGUAGUCAUCAAAAGUGAAAAAUGUAUCAACGGAUUGCAAACAGAUCAUUUCAAAGUGUCUAAGGGAUAUAAAGAUCAGGGUGCAUCAUGAGGUUAUAGUUCAUUCAGUUUCAAGAAAGAAAAAAUGCCACGAUCGAGUGGAAAGAUUACAAAUUCACCGGUUUGGCUCAGUCCUCAUCUUGAAAAUUCCACGGAUCAAUUAGUGACAUCUUACCAGAAGUAAUUGGAAGCACAUGCAAAUGGAUGUGUGGCUGAUGGACUAACGAGUAUAGACAUUAGCUAAAAUCCCGUAUUAAUAGAGCUAUCAGGGGAUGAACAGGAAGACAGGAAAUUUCUUUUUCUUGCUGGAAUAAAAGUAGCAAACACUCUGCAAUAUGGCAACAAUGUGCUAUCAGACAUGGAGAUAAAUAAAACUUUCUGUGCCACUAAUUGAAUAGGCGGUAUGUUUCUAGAUAUGUCUCAAAACUUUCAGCUUCUAAGCAGAACUACUGUUCCGCUGAUAAAAGAAGGGGGCAGCUCUUGUUCAGGCAAGAACUUUCAAGCUUCUUUAAUCAUGAACACCCAAUUGAUAACUAGAAAACUAUUGCAGUGAGAAAGAAACAUGAACAUUUCUGUUACUCUUCUUUCAAUUCCUCCAGGUUCGUGAAUGUCAAAAUCUACGAGGUUCUGAUAAUUUAUCUAGGAACCCAGGAGAUCAGAGAGUUUCAUUUGCAGCAGUAAGCAGAGUCUAGAAUCUAAGCUAUGGUGAAGAAAUUGAAGAACUUCCAGGACAUUAUCCAAGGCACAUAGAAACGAAAGAUCAAACAAAAUGGGCUCGAAAACUCAGUCAAGAAAAUAAAAGAAGAACCGAAUUACCCAUGCAUUUACCAUCAUUACAGGUUUGAGAAUGAGGGCCAUCUUGGCAAAAGCAAACAAAACUAUCGUUCUUGAAUCCACACCGUCCCUCACUUUCCUCACAGUUGCUGCAAUUAAU
rnacentral:lncRNA from 1 species